AGUUUAAAAAGGAGUCGCCCACCAGUAUUGAAAUAAUUUUAUCAGAUUCGCUUGAAAGUAGUUUUACGAGCAAGCAGUUUUUCCCUCUUGAUCCCCGUAUUCAUCAGCUCCUACUCUUUGCCUUCAAUUCCCAAUCAAGUAGUAUCAGUUUUUGUUGUCAGCUCUCUUGAAUUUCACUGGAUCAAGUUUUCUCUUGGCAUCUGUUUUGUUGUAAUCUCCAGUCUUUGUUAAUUAGUUUCUCUCCAUUCCCAAUCUUGUUGUGGCCUGCUGUACUCUCUGUUUGGUUCCAUAUCUACCCUUUGUACUUCUACCGUGUCAAGAUAUCUUCAUUUUUUCCAUCUCUAUUACCAGUCAAUAUUUUUUCCGUCUUUCUUCUGGUCAAUACUUCAGUUAUUCUGAUUGGUUCCCUUCGCCUCUAUUAUCUAAAUCAUUCCUUAUAUUAAUUCAAUCAGUUCUCGAACUAGAAACCUUUUCCUUGUUUCCAUCUUCUCACCAGAUCCAUAACAGCUUUUACUCUUUCUUUCAUUUCUCCGCUUCCACAACCGGAUAAACUGUCCAUCUUCGUUGUUUCGCUUUUUUUUUUUUUUUCACUCUCUCUAUGUUUCGCUCGUUGUUUAUUUUCUUGUCAGAACUUUGAAAAAAAAAAAAAAAAAAAGGGAUCCAGGAUGGUGGAAAGCAUUGUUACUGUUGUUUUAGAAUUUGUGAAAUGCUUGGCUCCUCCAACAGAACGCCGAUUUGGUUAUUUGCGUAACUAUAAAGCCAACGUUGAGAAUCUCAAGGCAGAAAUAGACAAGCUCAAGGAUGAAAGGAGAAGCAUUCAGCACAGGGUUUCUGAGGCUGAAAGAAAAGGGGAAAAGAUUGAAGAGAAGGUUGAGAAGUGGCUGGUUCGUGCGAACAACACCAUUGAGCAGUCAGCCAAAUUCAUUGACGAUGAGGAGACAAGAAAUAAACGAUGUCUCAUGGGCUUGUGUCCUAAUUUGAAGACCCGCUAUCAGCUUAGCAAGGAAGGAGAAACAAAGGUGAAGGCCAUUGUUGAACUCAAAGAAGAAUCUGGGAAAUUUGAUGAUAGAAUUUCCUUCCGUACCAUUCUGGAGGAUAUAUGGUUCAAGUCUCACAAAGGCUACGAGGCCUUCGAAUCAAGACUUUCUACUUUGAAGGCCAUACAAAAUGCAUUGAUCGAUGUUGAUGUCAGCAUCAUUGGGGUCUACGGCAUGGGCGGCAUUGGAAAGACGACACUGGUGAGGGAGUUUGCUAGGCGAGCCAUUGAAGACAAUCUUUAUGAUAUGGUGGCUUUUUCGGAGGUUACCCAAAGUCCAGACAUAAAAAAGAUCCAAGAGGAAAUUGCGGAAAAGUUAGGCCUACAGUUGUCCGAGGAAGCUGAGGCUAGAAGAGCUAGUACACUACAUGAAAGAUUGAAGAAUGAGAAUAAGAUCCUUGUGAUUCUGGAUAACAUCUGGAAACCUCUUGAUUUGGGGACGAUUGGAAUUCCUUUUGGAGUUGAGCACAGAGGAUGUAAAUUAUUAUUCACAACAAGAGAUCUUGAUGUGCUGUUAAGGAUGGGAUCUGAAAAAAACUUCUCGAUUGGCAUUUUAAAUGAACAAGAAGCCUGGAGAUUGUUCAAGAUAAUGGCAGGUGAUUAUGUGGAAAAUCGUGAGUUAGAAUCUACAGCAACAAGUGUAGCCAAGGCAUGCGGAGGUUUGCCUAUUGCCCUAACCACAGUAGCAAAGGCACUGAGAAAAAAAGAGCUGCCUGUGUGGAAGAAUGCCUUGCAAGAGCUCCAAACGCCUUCAGAGACGAGCUUCGACGAAGGAGUACCAGCAGAGGCAUACUCAACAAUUGAGCUGAGUUACAAGUACUUAAGAGGUGAGCAGCUCAAGAAAACUUUUUUACUGUGUAGUCUUAUUACGCCAGCACCAAUUAUGGACUUGUUCAAAUAUAGCAUGGGCUUGGGUGUAUUUAAAAGUGUCCAUAAGCUAGAAGAUGCACAUAACAAAUUAGAUGCAUGGGUCCAUCAACUAAGAGACUCUUGUUUGUUGCUUGAGGAUGGUGGCAGUAAAUACUUUUCUAUGCACGACGUUGUUCGCGAUGUUGCCAUUUCAAUUGCAUGUCGUGACAAAAUUGGAUUUGUGGUGAGAAAUGAGGAUGAUUGGAAAUGGCCAAAUGCAGAUGAAUUAAAAAAAUAUCUUGCAAUUUCUUUAAAAGAUAGUACUAUUAAUGACAUUCCUGAAGGGUCCGAAUCUCUACAACUUGAACUUCUAGUCAUGUCUCCCAAGAACUCUUUUGCUGUGCCUAAUAUUCCUGAGAACUUCUUCAAAAGGACGAAAAAGCUUCGGGUUUUGGAUUUGACUAGAAUGCGGUUAUUGUCAUUGCCAUCUUCAAUUGGUCUUCUAGUAAAUCUUCAGACACUUUGUCUUGAUCAAAGCAUUUUGGGAGGCAUAGACAUAGCCAUUAUUGGAAAGUUGGAAAAUCUGGAAAUCCUUAGCUUUUUGCGAUCUGAUAUUGUAGAGUUGCCUAAAUCACUAGGUCAACUGACUAAGCUAAGGCUGUUAGAUUUAACAGACUGUUUCCAUCUAAAAGUUAUUGCUCCAAAUGUCAUAUCAAGCUUAAUCCGAUUAGAAGAAUUUUAUAUGUAUAAUUGCUCCAUUGAAUGGGAGGUUGAAAGUGCCAACAGCAAAAGAAGUAAUGCUAGCCUUGACGAAUUGAAGCAUUUACGUCGGCUAACCACUCUAGAAAUUGAUGUUAAAAAUGAGAGUAUGUUACCAGAAAGCUUUUUGGCCAGAGAGCUCGAAAGGUUCAAAAUAUCUAUUGGAAAUGGGUCAUUCAUGCAUCCCAUGCUUUUUGGACAAUAUUGGUUUAAAAGUCGGCCGCACUUUUUGAUCGACAGUAAUCGCAAGAUUUCAAGAACAUUGAAGCUCAAGCUUGAUUUUAUGGACAUUCGCUCCAUGAAAUUGCAGGGCAUCAAUAACGUUGAAUACUUAUUGUUGGACAAGCUACGAGGUAUCGAGAAUGUUCUUUUCAAUUUGGACACGGAGGGCUUUUCACAAUUGAAGCUUCUCUGGGUUCAAAAUAAUCCAGGCUUCUUUUGCAUCGUCGAUUCAAGGGAGAUGGUCGCUUGUGAUGCCUUUCCUCUUUUGGAGUCACUUGCCCUUCACAAUUUGAUCAACAUGGAGAGGAUAUGUAUUGAUCCGCUCAAAGUAGAGUCUUUCAACAAACUCAAAACCAUAGAAGCAUAUAAUUGUGAUAAAUUGAGUAAUAUCUUUUGGCUCUCUACAACAAAAUGUCUUCCAAGACUUGAGAGAAUUGCAGUUAUUAAUUGCAGCAAGAUGAAAGAGAUUUUUGUAAUUGGGGAAGAAGUUGAUAAUGCAAUUGAGAAGAUAGAGUUUGCUCAAUUAAGAUCUUUGAGUCUGGGGAAUCUUCCAGAGGUUACAAGUUUUUGCCGUGAAGUAAAGACUCCUUCAGCAUCACCAAACAGACCAGCGAAAUCACUUUGGAUACUUCAACUCUGCUUUUCAACGAGAAGGUGCGUAGGCUAACAUUUUAUUUAUAUAUAUAUAUAUAUAUAACAGACUUUAUUCUAUCAUGCGUUCUGUUUUGAUGUCAUACGUGGAAAAUGUUGGGAAAAUAUGCUCUUUAAAAGCAUAUGUGUUUAUUUAAUUGUAAUAAACAAUUUUUCUGAUUAAUAAAAUAAAUGAGGUAUUUUAUUCAAAUAUCUUAAUUGCAUUAAUAUUUGUAUUAAAGUCCAUUUAAUCAUAUUAUAUGUAUUUAUGUGAUCACCAUGUGGAUUCACAGAAGACAUAAAUACAAGUUAUCUUAUGAUUAAAUAAAUUUAGUUCGCAGUUGAUAAAUAAAGUUGGGCACUUUAUUUAGGUAUAGACUGUAAUAAAUUCAUUGAAUGAUUUGUCUUAAUCAUGUAUGAAUUUAUUGAUGUAGUACGACUACAUUGAACAGGAUCACAUAUGAGAUUUAAUUAACUUUGUAAUAACUGUCAGACUUAUUAAAUCUCAUAGGCGUUGAUUUUACUGUAAUCUUAAUCUUGAGUUAAUUAUGAUUUCAUGAUUGUGAUUGUUAUUUCAUUUGAGUUACCAAUGGGCACGACACAUCCUUGUGGUCAAGAUUACCCGGUAUCUUGGUGGGAGCAAUUAUGAGUAUUGGAGUUAUGGAUUAACAAUAUAGAAUUUGUACAACACAUCUCUUGAUAGGUUUUCGGUACUUGAUCAUAGAAUUCUCUGGCCAGAGUGUGUCAACAUAUUUAGUAUGUUGAAAAUGAUCAUUAGAGAAAACCAGUAAGGAUCAAGGAAUAAGAUGUUAUUAAAUUGAUUGGACAGUUGAGAUAUCAAUUUAAUUAACGAUGUGGUACAAAGGAUUGUGCAGUAAAGAAAUCAAUGUGGCUUGGGACGAAUUAUUAUUCGAGCAUACAAUUAUGGAAGUCAGUUCCAAUCUUUUAGUGGAGUAGAUUUGGAAUUAAAUAAUUGGGCUAGUUUAAUUACAGGCCUAAUUAUUGUAGCCACUAUUGUAUGUUCCCAAAUGAUCCCCGGGUUAGCUCAUUUAAUUGAUUGCACCACUGCUGGACUAAUAAGCAAGAUAACUAGCUAUUUGGGUCAAAAGCCUAAAUAUAUCAUUUAGUGGGAGGCUCCAUUUAAUAAGCUUAUGUGUAAGGGGCCUUAUGUUAUUUUACAUGGUGGGUCCCCUAUUAAAUGAAAAGUAACGUGAGUUUUAUUUUGGGGGAAUCCUUGGAGCCUAGGGUUUUCACUAAAGGGAGAUAUAUAAGGCUUAUUUUCCCAAAAAGGAAAAAGCAGAAGCCACUUUAUACAAAUCAGAGAAUAAGAUUUUUCUCUCCAUUGUUGAGAGAAAAAUUUUCUCGUGCUAGUUGCUUUGGUAGUGAUAAAGGCGCCCACACGUCAAGUGCAGAUCGAACCUGAGUCAUAACCUGGAAGAUCAUUGGAGACAGUUCGUGAUCUAACAAGCGUGGUGGUGACGGAUCGUGAUCUAACAGGAGUGGUGGUGGCGGAUCGUGAUCUAGGAGCCUAAAUCACUUCAGCGGAAAAAGCAAACUCAGAUUUACAAGGUACGAUUUCUAGAAUACGAAUUCUUAUAUAUAUAACAAUUGGUAUCAGAGCCAUCUCAUAUUAAUAUAUAAGAAUUUCGUAUGAAAUUAAUCUUGAAAUUUAUGUAUUAGAGUGGCACAAUUUAUUCAGAUGUAUAUUAUUUAUUUAAUAUAUGAAUAAAGCAUGCUUAUGGUUUGUCUUAAUUCAUGGUUAGAUUUUCUUUUGUAUUGUUCUUUGGAUCUGUAACAAGAGGGGUGGUUUUUUAUCACCAUGUUUCCCUCUUGAUUUAUUUUACAGUUAUAGAAUUUUUGUAAGCCAAAAUUGGUCUAGGAAAUUUGUAAAUUAAUCUCAGAUUUUCAAGAUCGGAGCGACGGAGGCCGGAAAUUAUGACAGCGGCAGCAAACCAGGGCAUGCUGCAGCAGCGUGCGCGGCCAGCAAUGGCCAGCAUCGCGCGCUGCGCUGUGCGCAGCAAAGCAGCGCGCGCGGCCAACAUUGGCCAGCGGCGCGCGCUGCGCUGUGCGCAGCAAGCAGCGCGCGCGGCCAGCGUGGCCAGCAGCGCGCGCUGCAUGUGCUGCAGCUGGAAGCAACGCUGCCGAGGCCAGCAGAAAGUUGCGCGCGGGUUUUGGCACGUUUUCCGGCCAGGCGGCAGCAGUUGGUUUGGCGUCGGCGUCGGCGUCGGAGGUCGGCUGGCGUCUGAACAGUGAAGGAGGAUUUUGGAGAUGGCGGCUGGGGAAGAAGAAAGAAAGAAAAAUAUGGAUUUAGGGUUUCAUGGCUUUUAUCAUGGAGGUCCCUAUGGUUCCAUAAUUUUUCACUUGGGCAGUCAAGUUUUAAUUUUUUGCAUUUAAGUCUAAAAAUAGUUUUGGGCUUAAAGAAUCCUAGUUUUAGGCCCAAUUGAUAUUUGGGCUUAAUGGAUUAAAAAUGCAUAGACAAAAUUAAAUACAUUAAAUUUAUUUUUGGUCCAAAAGUUUUAUUUUAAUAAAAAAAAAAUAAAAUAAAAAUAAAAUAAUUUAUUUAUUUAUUUCCUUUCAAAAUUAAAAUUGGACCAAUUAUAAAUUUAAAAGCUCAAUUUCCCCUAGUCCAUUAACAAAAACAAGCUUAUGGAAGAUGGACAUUGACAAGAAGCCCAAUGAAGAUUAGGCUUAGGGUUAAUGUAUUUUUCAUUAUUAGGAAAGCCAUGAAUUAAGAUUAUUUAAUAGUUUUUCUAUAUGUUAUGUUUUGGAUGAUAACAUGCCAUGAUAACAUGUCAUAUAGAAUAGGUAGUGCCACUCUAUGCAUAAUGAUACAUGUCAUUCAUUAAUAAUGAAUUUCAUUAUAUUGUUUGAAAUUUGUAUAUGCUUAAUAAUAUUUGAUAUCAUCUAGAUAAUAUUAUAUGAAGCAUGCAAUUAACAAUAUGUAUGUUUUAAAAAGGAAAAACCAAUUUUAAAAUAUUGAGUGGGAGAGGGAAAAUUCAAGAUAAUUUUCCCACGGGCUCCAUUGUUAGUUCAAUAAUAAAAUUAUAUAUAUACCUCGACUUCAUGAUACGGUGAUGCUCCCUUCGGAGGGUAUAUAUAUUAGAUAUUUUAUUUGAUGAACUUCUUCAAAGAUAAAAUUGAAAUAUUUUUCAAUCGAUUGUUCACCCCAACGGUGACUAUUGAUAUGAAAAAUACGUAGAUUGAAACAAUGGUUAUACACUCAACUAAAGUUUGUUAUUAACCUUCCCAACGAAGCUCUGUUAACAAAUUUAGGUCCAAAGGGAUAACGAUAAUUAUUUAUCAUGUCUCUACAUGAAAGUAAAUAAUCCAAUGGAUAAUUGGGUCUAGUAAGUGUAGACAUGACUUCCCCAACGGAUAGCUUGUCAAAGCGGUACUAGAUUAUCGUUACAAUAAAUUAAAAUGCAUUUAUGGUUUUUUGCAUUUUUGUCAUUUAUUGUGAAUAUUGUUUCAAAGUAUUUAUGCAUGUGUAUUUUGUUUUUUCAGAAAAUGUCUUCCAUCAACCCAUUAUUAUUUAUCCUUGUUAAAAAUGAACUCACUGGCGAAAAUUAUUUAGAUUGGAAACGCAAUCUAUUUAAUAUUCUCACUGCUAAGGGAAGCAAAUAUGUGUUGACCCAGCCUUGCCCUCCUGAACCAUCGUUAUACGAUUAUAGAAAUCAGAGGGAGCCUUAUGAGAAAUGGUGCGAAGCUAACAAAAUGGCUAAGCGCUAUAUAUUGGCUUCGAUUUCUGUGGAACUGCAUAAGAAACAUCGGAGCAUGGAAACAGCUACUGAAAUAAUGGCUAGUCUUCAUCAGAUGUUUGGGCAAAAUACCCAUUUUGCCAGAGAAGCAGCAUUAAAACGUAUUACGGAUACUCAGAUGGAAGAGGGCACAAAAGUUCGUGAUCAUGUCCUCAAAAUGAUGGACUAUUUGAAUGAGGUAGAGAUUCAUGGUGUUCAAAUCAAUGAUAAAUCAAAGAUUAACAUGGUGAUUGAAUCUUUACCUGAUACAUUCAAAGAGUUUAAGGUCAGCUAUAUCUUAAACAAUAAAGAUAUGACCUUAAUUGAAUUAAUGCACGAACUACAUGCUAUAGAAGAAUUUUAUCAUAGCAGAAAACUUCCUGAAAAAGGAUUCUCUUCAAGGCUUAAGUCAAAAGACAAGAAUGAGCAAGCAAGAGUUGGGAUCGGCAAACUGUCCAUUAAAAGAAGUGGCAAGCCAAAAGGCAAGUGUUACAAAUGUGGACAGAAGGGUCACUGGAAGAAAGAUUGUCCUAAGAUUAUUAAAAUCAGGUAUAGGAAAUCUUUAAGCUUCCUAAUUAGUUUAGAUUUCUAUUGAUUCAUACAAUAAUGAAUUCUGAGAUAACUAAUCUUAUUUGUAAUUCAUUUAUUUGGUUUUCAGGAAACCAAGAGAUUAAGUGAAGAAAGCUUCAAAUAGCAGUUGAGGAUGUGCUAGUUUAUAUCAAUUGAAAGACUAGAUCAAUUUUACAAGACUUUAGUUUUGAUAUUUGUCUUUAUUUUUCCAAAUAUUAGAGGAAUUUAAUUUCAGUGGCUUGUUUUAAUAAACAGGAGUACACUGUUAUUUUUGGAUCCUCUGUUUAUUACUUAUUUUGGUUAUUUAUAAAGAUAAUUUAUAUCAUAAAAGUACAUUGAUCUAUUCAAAGUAAGAUAUAAUGAUUAAAAGUAUAUGCAUUUAUCUAAGAAAAGAAAUGUUUCUUCUAACCAAAAAUCACCUCUGAUAGUUAUGCUUAAGUCAUAUAAGCUAUAAUAAGAUUUUAAGAAAAUGAUUAAUGAUAGACUUGUUGGCCUAUUAAGAUUGAUCAUUGUAACUCUAUAAAUCUUAUUUAGAAAAGUAAUAUGACAAGGAUACUCUUUAUGAGCUAAAAGCAUAACAUUGUAUUUGAUGAUUUAGCGCAUACAAAUGUAUACGGACUAAUCAGUUUACAUGUUAUAAGAGGUUAUGAGUAUUCUAUCAAUCUAGUUGAUGAAUAUUCAUUUUAUGUUUGUCUAAAUGAGUCAUGAUUCCAUUGCUUUUGAAAUUCAAAAGAGUACGUGAAUAAGACAGAAGCAAUUAGACAGGAACAUAAAAGAAUUUCGAUAUGAUCGAAACAAAGAAUAUCUCUAUGGAGAAUUCAAGCACUAUUUGGUUGUCAAUGAACACUAUGAUACAAUAGUGUAAUUAAAUAGAGAAACAAGAUUCUUUUGGAUAAGACAAGAUAUAUACUAAGUGGUUUAUCAUUUACCUUUUUGAUUCCAGAUACUAGUAUUUGAAACUACAAAGUUUAUUGAACUUAGUUUCAUCUAUCUCGGUGUCCACUACUCCAAGAAAUUAUGAAAAAGUCACAAACAUGGUUUGAGACACAUUCGUAUUUGGAGUUUACUAGAAUCAGAGAUAGAGAAGAUGGAUUCGUGUUCAGAAGCUUGCAUGUUUUAGGUAUCUUAAAGGAAUAAGGGAAAGUCUGAAUUAUAGUCCUCAAGAUAGGAAUGUAUUUAUAGAAAUAUUUUUUACUUUCUUUGAGGAAGACUAUAUAAUGACUUAUAACCUAAGAGUAAGGUAAAACUAGAGAAAUAAAAGAGAUCAGGUUGAUGCUCAGCUUUCAACACCUGUUAUAGAACAGGAAGAACAGCAACAACCAGCUGAUCAGCACAGGAUUAUCCUUGAACAACCAUCACUUUUAGAACCUCGUCGUAGUGGGAGGGUAACUAGGUUACCUGCAAGAUACAUGUUUUUGGGAGAAACCUAUAAGGCUAUCUCAGAUGAACAUGUACAAGAUCCCACUAGUUACAACGAAGCUCUAAUAGAUAGAGAUGAUGAAUUUUGAAAAAGGCCAUGAAUCAAGAAAUGGAAUCUAUCUAUUCCAAUAAAGUCUGGGAACUUGUAGAGGCACCAAAUGGGGUAAAACCUAUAGGGUGCAAGUGGAUCUACAAGAGAAAAAGAGGAGUAGACGGAAGGGUGGAAACAUUUAAAGCAAGAUUAGUAGCCGAAGGGUUUACUCAGAAAGAAGGAAUCAAUUAUGAGGAAACCUUUUCUCCGGUUGCUAUGCUUAAAUCCAUCAGGAUUCUGCUCUCCAUUGCUGCAGUGCUAGAUUAUGAAAUUUGGCAAAUGGAUGUCAAGACUGCCUUUCUUAACAGGCAUCUUGAAGAAAACAUCUACAUACAGCAACCAGAUGGAUUUAUACAAAAAAGGCCAAGAACACAUGGUAUGUAAGUUGCAGAGAUCUAUUUAUGGAUUGAAGCAAGCAUCCCAGUCAUGGAACAUCAGAUUUGAUCAAGCGAUUAAAUCACUUGGAUUCAUUCAGAACAUUGAUGAACCAUGUGUGUACAAGAAAAUUCAGGGAAAAUUUGUAGCCUUCCUAGUUCUUUGUGUAGACAAUAUUCUCCUGAUUGGAAACGAUAUAGGAGUAUUGACUACAAUAAAGAUUUGGUUAGCAAAACAAUUUGAUAUGAAAGACCUGGGAGAGACAAGUUAUAUUCUUGGUAUCAAGUUACUAUGAGACCGGAAGAAUAAAACUUUAGCCUUGUCUCAAGCGGUCUAUAUCGAUAAGAUAUUGGCUAGAUUUAGUAUGGAAAAUUCCAAGACUGGUUUAUUACCAUUCAGACAUGGAAUUACAUUCUCUAAGGAUCAAUCACCUAAAACAUCUGAAGAGAUAGAGAGAAUGAGACGAGUUCCCUAUGCAGAAGCUGUGGGAAGUCUCAUGAAUGCCAUGCUUUGCACUAGGCCAGACAUCUGUUUUGCGGUAGGGAUGGUUAGUAGAUAUCAAUCUAAUCCUGGACCUGAACACUGGACUGCGGUCAAGCAUAUAAUGAAGUAUCUGAAAAGAACUUAAAAUUAUAUGCUUGUGUAUUCUGGUGAUGAACUUAUUCUAGUGGGUUAUACUAAUUCUGAUUUUUUGUCAGAUAAGGAUUUUAGAAAAUCAACUUCCGGCUAUGUGUUUACAUUGGGAAGUGGAGCUACUAGUUGGAUGAGUGUGAAACAAUCUUGUAUCACAGACUCAACAACUAAAGCUGAAUAUGUGGCUACAUCUGAAGCUGCAAAAGAAGCUAUAUGGCUCUGCAAGUUCCUACGAAAUCUUGAGGUGGUACCUGUUGUAACUGCACCCCUUAAACUAUUUUGUGAUAAUGGUGGUGCGGUAGCUCAAUUUAAGGAACCAAGGAACCACAAGAAACAAAACAUAUUGAAAGGAAGUAUCAUCUUAUAAGGGAAUAGUGUAGAAAGGUUAUAUGACAAUACCCCAAAUGGCAUUAGAUGCUAAAUGGCAGAUCUUAUUACAAUGGCCAUUAGUGGGAAACCUUUAUAACCUGCACUUAGAGCCCUAGAGCAUGUGCAAUAUGCCAGAUAUGCUUUGAGAGCUAGUGGGAGAUUGUUGGGAAAAUAUGCUCUUUAAAAGCAUAUGUGUUUAUUUAAUUGUAAUAAACAAUUUUUCUGAUUAAUAAAAUAAAUGAGGUAUUUUAUUCAAAUAUCUUAAUUGCAUUAAUAUUUGUAUUAAAGUCCAUUUAAUCAUAUUAUAUGUAUUUAUGUGAUCACCAUGUGGAUUCACAGAAGACAUAAAUACAAGUUAUCUUAUGAUUAAAUAAAUUUAGUUCGCAGUUGAUAAAUAAAGUUGGGCACUUUAUUUAGGUAUAGACUGUAAUAAAUUCAUUGAAUGAUUUGUCUUAAUCAUGUAUGAAUUUAUUGAUGUAGUACGACUACAUUGAACAGGAUCACAUAUGAGAUUUAAUUAACUUUGUAAUAACUGUCAGACUUAUUAAAUCUCAUAGGCGUUGAUUUUACUGUAAUCUUAAUCUUGAGUUAAUUAUGAUUUCAUGAUUGUGAUUGUUAUUUCAUUUGAGUUACCAAUGGGCACGACACAUCCUUGUGGUCAAGAUUACCCGGUAUCUUGGUGGGAGCAAUUAUGAGUAUUGGAGUUAUGGAUUAACAAUAUAGAAUUUGUACAACACAUCUCUUGAUAGGUUUUCGGUACUUGAUCAUAGAAUUCUCUGGCCAGAGUGUGUCAACAUAUUUAGUAUGUUGAAAAUGAUCAUUAGAGAAAACCAGUAAGGAUCAAGGAAUAAGAUGUUAUUAAAUUGAUUGGACAGUUGAGAUAUCAAUUUAAUUAACGAUGUGGUACAAAGGAUUGUGCAGUAAAGAAAUCAAUGUGGCUUGGGACGAAUUAUUAUUCGAGCAUACAAUUAUGGAAGUCAGUUCCAAUCUUUUAGUGGAGUAGAUUUGGAAUUAAAUAAUUGGGCUAGUUUAAUUACAGGCCUAAUUAUUGUAGCCACUAUUGUAUGUUCCCAAAUGAUUCCCGGGUUAGCUCAUUUAAUUGAUUGCACCACUGCUGGACUAAUAAGCAAGAUAACUAGCUAUUUGGGUCAAAAGCCUAAAUAUAUCAUUUAGUGGGAGGCUCCAUUUAAUAAGCUUAUGUGUAAGGGGCCUUAUGUUAUUUUACAUGGUGGGUCCCCUAUUAAAUGAAAAGUAACGUGAGUUUUAUUUUGGGGGAAUCCUUGGAGCCUAGGGUUUUCACUAAAGGGAGAUAUAUAAGGCUUAUUUUCCCAAAAAGGAAAAAGCAGAAGCCACUUUAUACAAAUCAGAGAAUAAGAUUUUUCUCUCCAUUGUUGAGAGAAAAAUUUUCUCGUGCUAGUUGCUUUGGUAGUGAUAAAGGCGCCCACACGUCAAGUGCAGAUCGAACCUGAGUCAUAACCUGGAAGAUCAUUGGAGACAGUUCGUGAUCUAACAAGCGUGGUGGUGACGGAUCGUGAUCUAACAGGAGUGGUGGUGGCGGAUCGUGAUCUAGGAGCCUAAAUCACUUCAGCGGAAAAAGCAAACUCAGAUUUACAAGGUACGAUUUCUAGAAUACGAAUUCUUAUAUAUUAUAUGAGAGCGAUCUUCAAAAGGUUUUAUAAAAAUUUAAAAACCUGAUUUUUCCCCAACAGAAAAUAAUUAAAUCAUUUAAAGAAUUGAAAGGAAAUGGAAAAAAGGAUAAAAAGAAUCUCACGCGCUCACUAAUUGAGCUCUUAACAAGUAGUAUGAAUUAGAAUGCAUACUCAGCUGUCAGUUGGAAAUUGAUUCAGACUUGCAUUAAUUUGUAAUCAAAGAAGAAAAUUUCAACAAGUGCUUCCCAUAUGGAUAUUGGAUCUAACGAGAAAUUCUUAUUUUUUUAGGUUGCGUUGCCUAACUUGGAGGCUUUGGAGAUAUCUGCAAUUAAUGUCGACAAGAUUUGGCACUACAAUCAUCUUCCAGUCAUGUUUCCUCAUUUAACACGAUUGAUUGUGCGGCGUUGUCACAAAUUAAAAUACAUAUUUUCAGCGUCUAUGAUCGGAAGCCUUAAGCAGCUCCAACACCUAGAUAUACGCUUCUGUGAGGAUUUACAGGAGAUCAUUUCUGAAAACAGAGCAGAUCAAGUGAUCCCUUAUUUUGUCUUUCCACAGCUCACCAAUCUGAUACUCCAAGAUCUACCAAAACUUAGAUGUUUGUACCCUGGAAUGCAUACUUCGGAAUGGCCCGCGCUAGAAAUGCUUUUAGUGUAUGGUUGUGACAAAUUAAAGAUAUUCGCUGCAGAUUUAUCGCAGAAUAAUGAGAAUGAUCAACUUGGCAUUCCUGCACAACAGCCCCUAUUGCCGUUGGAAAAGGUAUGAAGUCAUUUUCUAGAUUUUUUAUCAAUAGCUUAUUUUUAACUUUGAAAAAUAUGAUAAAGCAUCGAUAAAUUAAUACUUAAUAAAUUAAAAACUUUUAUUAUACAAUAAUCUUUGCUAGUCUAGACUUAGGGAUCGAUGUGGUAGAUUAAUAAUUAUAUGAACUGUUUUAGGUAUAGCAUUUAUAAAAGAAUCCUUAGUCUUUUCAUAUAGAAGAACUAACAAAAUAAAUUAGUAAUUUAUUAUUGUGUAAUAAAAUAAUUUCGAGCCAGUUUAAAUCAACCUUUUUUCCCUAAUUUCUUUUUUACCUCUAAAAUUAACAUAUAAAAUAAAUUUUAUCAAUAAUUCAAUUUUUUUAAAAAAUAUAAUAUAAAACAAAUCCUAUAAAGUCACUGCGUGUGACCGUAGAUCAUCAAUUGACCUCAUUAGUUAUUAUGAUUGAUGAUGAUCAGAUCGUACCCAACUUGAAGGAACUAUCACUAAGUGGAAAAGAUGUGAAGAUGAUUUUGCAGGCCGAUUUCCCACAACACCUUUUUGGCAGUCUUAGAAAACUAGAGAUUGCUGCAGAUGACUCAGCUUGUUUUCCAAUCUGGAACGUACUGGAGAGAUUUCACAAUCUCGAAAUACUCUCACUGUUUAAUUUUUCAUUCCACGAAGAGGUAUUUUCGAUGGAAGGAUGCUUAGAGAAACAUGUGGGGAAGUUGGCAAUGAUAAAAGAAUUAAAUCUGCACCGGCCCUAUCAUCUGAAGCAGCUGUGCAAACAAGACUCCAAACUUGGCCCCAUUUUUCAGUCUCUUGAAAUUCUAAAAGUAUAUCAUUGUCAAAGUCUGUUAAUUCUAUUGCCAUCAUCAUCGGUAUCUUUUCGGAACCUAACAAAACUUUUAGCUUUCGGUUGCAAGGGAUUGAUGCACUUGGUAACAUCCUCCACAGCAAAAACUCUAGUGCAACUCGUCACAGUUCAAGUAUGUCGAUGCAGAGCAAUGACAGAGGUGGUAAUAAAUGACAAAGAUGGAGUUGAAAAAGAAGAGAUUGUUUUCCGCAAAUUGAAGGCGUUGGGCCUGCGUGAUUUAGAAAGUCUCACAAGUUUCUGCUCUGCCAAUUACACCUUUGAAUUCCCAUCUUUGGAAUAUCUGGAAGUGAUUGGUUGUCCCAAGAUGAAGACUUUCACUACAGGAGAAUCAAUCACGCCUCCAAGAGUAAAUGUCUGGUGUGGAGCGACAUCGAAUCAACGGCGUUGGGCUAAUAAUGAUCUUAACAGGACCAUACAACAAUUACAUGCUGAAAAGGUACGGAUAUACAUGUUACUCUUUAUCUCCCAUGGAAAAAUUUUACAAAAUUUGCUUUUUUUAAAUAAAAUAUCGAAAAGAUAUUUGUUAUAAAGUAAAAGUUUAAAUUGAUGAAUAAGAAUUUUAUUUUCAGCUGUUGGCGGUGCAGUCGGCGAUCUCUACCCAGUACUAAUUUCAUAGGCUUCUUAUGACUUGGGAGUUGUGAAUUUUUAGAAGAAAGCCUCAGCUGGUAAUUAACUGGUAAUUAAUUUUUAUUUCAUUUAUUUGAUCUCAUGGCUUGUUUCGCAAUUUCAUCUGAAUUAUUUAGAAUGGGUCAAUCGGCUUACUGUUAAAUUUGGAAUGCAAUUUUAAUGAUUCGUUCAGACUUUUGUGGACAGAUUUUGCAUCAUUGAAUGUCUUCUAGUCUAGUUUAAUUUGAGUAUUUUUUUCUUUUUUUCUGUUUUUUAGAUUUCCCCUAGUUUUCUAAAAUUUUAUAAUUCCUUGCAUACUUUGUAUGAUAAAAUUUCAUCAAAAGCCUUCAUAUUUUAUAAUUCCUUGAAAACAUCAUUGCUGUUCUCUUAUUUUAGUUUGUUCAUUUGGUUUGGUUUGCUUCACACCUAUCUUUCUUUGGGAUUUUUUUUUUUUUUUUUUUUUGAUGAUCUUUCCAAAUGCUCUUCCCUAUGAACACAUAAUUAAGAACAGCUGAAAAUCAUUCAUCGGAUAAAAAAUUAAAAAUAAACAAAAUCUAAUCAGAGCAUUAUGCCUAGAACAAAUCCUUAAACCAUCAAAGCAAAACUCUUCGCUAUGAAAAACUAUACUGUGGAAAUAUUGUUUGAAAACGUUGGAUACCAAGAAAGGGACUAAUUUGGUCUAGUUUUAUGAGAAGUAUAGAAGAACGUUGUUUUCUCUGUUUUUCCUGUUAGAACUCUUUACUCUGUGAUUGUAGAAUGUCUGGAUACUGAUGAAGAUUCAAGUAACUCUUCUCCUGUGCAUCAUUUGAAAUAAGGUUUUUUUUUUUUUUGGGUAAUAUCUCCUACUGGGUUAUAGUUCAUACAAAGAGAUUCUUAAAUCAAGCCGGAUACUGCUAGAAACAAGUGGGGAAGUAGGCGCUGAUAAAAUGGUUAAUCCUGUCCAGACUUAAUCAUUGAAGCAACUCCAAACUGGACUCCAUUUUAAAUAUCUUGACAUUCUAAGACUAUUUUACAAGCAUUUAAGUCUAUUCCCAUGAUCAUCUAUAUCUUUUGGGAAUCUAACAGAACUGUUGGUUUUCCAUUGCAAGGAAUUGUAACAUCCGUCCACUACAGCAGAAAGUCUAGUGCGGCUCGUAUCAAUGAAGGUAGCUGGAUGCAGGGCAAUGACAGAGCUGGUAAUAGGUGACGGAGAAGACGAUGGAGCACCAAAUUUAAAUUAAAACAAGAGAUUGUUUUCAGCAAAUUGAAGACAUCGAGUCUGUCUGAUUUAGAUAGUCUCACAAGUUUCUGCUCUGCCAAUUACGCUUUCAGAUAAAGAUUCUUGAAAUUGUCCUAUUUACAGCUGACAUUUCCACAAGAGUUGGAGAAUAUAAAAAAUUCAUUAAUCGUUAGUUUUUAAUUUCAUUAUUCAAUGAAAAGUCCUGUCAAAUUAAAUUGCAAAUCUCAAUGUGCAAGUACCUAAAUUUACUAAAUUUACUUUAAAUUAAUGAAUGAAAGAAUUUAUUUUCUGCUGUUGGAGGAGUCGUCAUCUCUCUCGACAUAGUAUACGAUAUGUUUUGAUCCCAUAGGCUUUUUAAUAUAUUACCUUGUGUUGUUUGAUCUCUAGGUUUAUUUUAUCGUUUCAUCUUAUUAUUUGCAAUGCGUCAGUUGGUUUAUUUGUUAAUUUUGGAAUGAAGUUGAUGCAGCUGAUGGUUGCAUAGGAUGAGUAGGAUAUCACUCCUGGAUCAUAACUUGAGCGGGUAUCUAUUCGGCAAGAAAUUCUGUUUAUUUCGUAGUUAUUUUACAAAGUUUAAGAUAUUUUCUUAUUUUUCUUAUUAUUUUCAAUAUUUUGAUAUUUUUUCUCUAAAUAUAAGAUUUUAAGUAUGAUUUAUUUUAUUUUUCUUAUUUCAGUUAGGAGAACGUUAUUAUGUAAUAAUAUUUUAAGUUUGCAAUUUUAAUAAAUACAUAAUAUUUAGAAUUUGUGUAAAAAGGGUCCAAUACCCUAAUUUUGUUAUUCAAACUUCUAUUAAUAAAAUUUCAGACUUUUUAAAAAAAUUUCUCUAUAUUUUCAAUCUCAACAUCUGUGUUUCCCUUUCAUCAUAAGUUUUAAUAUCUGGUUCUGAGCUAGCUUUAUGUGCAUAUUAUACAUCAUUGAAGGUCUUUUGAUCUGAGUUAUGAUCAAAAAAUUAUGCUCGCUUCUGUCUGGUCGUAUGAAAAUUGUGCAAAAUAUAAUUCUUAUAUAAUUUUUUAUCCUCCAUUGUUACAGAAUCCCAAGCUUCGAAUUUGUAAACUUUGAAAGCAUGGCAGAAAACUUAGUACUUAAUAAGGCUCUGGAAUAAGACUCUUUAUGGCUUCAAUAUUUUACUUAACAUGAAAAUUUCUUUCUAACUAGCAUCAUUGCGAAGAUAAAUUGGGGUAGUUCUGACAAGUACUGGCACUGCACAAUUAAUGUUACCAGCAAUCAAUUGUUGUGAGCACCGACAACCAUUUUCAUAUUUAAGCCUUAAGAACAGUAACUCAAAAUAUGGCAAGUGGCAACCACAUCAAAUAAUCAAAUUGUUGAUAGAUUUAGAGAGCUUUAAUUUGCUUGAUAUAUAUUUGAAUAUUUCAACAGAUGCAUCUUUUCUCUACUCACGGGGCACGUUGAGUUAGAAACGGUUUGAAUGUCAAUAUUACUCCAAGUGCCUCAACCAAAUUCAGAAUGAAAAAAACCAUCUGGUUACCUGCACUUUAGUUUAAGCAGCUGAUUUAGUUAGCACCAAGUAAUUCACACACAAGUGAGAAAUUUCAUUAGUAAAUCAUCAUACCGGGGAGGAAACCAGCAUCUUGACGCUUUUGUGACCAAGAAAAUCUGCCACAACCCGAUUAAUCAAGUUGUUACCAAACAAAUGAUCAAUUUAAUCAUGCCUUAAUUUUUUCUUUUUUUUUUUUGUGCUGGGGGGGGGGAAUAAAAAUCGUAACUUCAUUUACAUAUAAUUUUACAAAAUCAAUAGGACACUUACAGAGCACCUCCUACAGUCAUAGCAAGUCCAUUGGCAGCUCCUCUUUGAUGCUGUUCCCGUUAUUGUGGCAUAAACCAACAAAUUAAAUUUAAACUUUGACACAUACAAAAUUUGAUAAGGCUGAAAUCAUGGAAAUGUACUAAACAAAUAAAAGAAAAAAAUAUUUACCACUGCUCUGUUUUGAAGAAGGAAUAAUCCAGUUAUUAUAGACACCUGAUGUUACAAUUCAGGAAAAGUAAAAAAGAAUUACAAGAAUUCUAAUAAAAAAGACACAAAAUAAUUUUAUACAUACUUGCUGGUGGAUAAUAUAACCUAAGUAUAUGGAUCAAUGAUUAGGAUAUCCACUUACAAAUAAAACAUUCUUCAUCACAGAAGCACAGUUUAUCAAUAAGGCAAGGCUGAACCCAGAUAACAUUGCUAUAAAAGUGUAACUUGUCAAAAGCGGCAUCGAUAAAACCUGUACAUACAUAGAAAAUUAUGGGACCAAAACCAUGAAGAAAAGUAUUUUAUAAACAGAUAUGUUUGAAACAAACUAUCAAAUGGUCUAAAUGCCACAUGGUGUGUUCAAAAUUUUACCCCUGCAAUGCGUGUUAUGAUUAUUGGCCCAAUGAUCCUCUCGACGUAAGGGUAUAGAGUGAGUUGAAAAACAAGGAGGCUGAAUCCUAUAGUAAGUUCAAAAUGAGGACAAUCAUCAAGCAUGUGAUGGUGUCAAUGUAGUCAUUAUAAGAGAAGCGAAAGUUAUAUUUUAUAGUCCCACCAAUAAGAAAAUUUGAAGUUAUGGGAGAGUUGCUAUUACAUGCACAAUUCAGCCUGAAAAGAGAGCUAAAGGCUACGUACCGGAAUCCAGCAAGAAGCAAUAGUUACCGCAAAAGCAAAGAGUGACAUACAGAGACAGGGCAGGAAGUAAGGAAACCUGCAUAAAUUUGUUUUUCAGAAUACCAUCAUUUUGAAAGUACUACAGAAAAAGAAAAGGCUAAUGGCAGUAAAAAUUCACUUACUUUCCAAACAUAGAUUCUUUGGAAAAUGCCUUUGGAUAUUUCUCUGCUGGCUAGAUUGCAAAAUUAUCCACGAAUAUAUAUAUAAGAACAAUAUUUAUCAAGCCAAACUACUAAAAAUUCAAAAAAAAUGCCCAUAAUAAUCAAGUAAAAAUUGCAGAACCCGGGCCAGAAAGCCACCCACUGCAGGGCCAAUAAUCAAUCCUGUGCCCCAUGCUGUACUGAGCUGAAAUUAUAUUGUACCUAAAAAUGUAACUUUCAGAGUCUCUAGCCACUGAUGAGGACACGUCUUUUGUCUGCUAGCGGAAAGCGCGUGACGGCAAGUUUUUUGUCAGAGCCUAGGGACGCAGAGGGAAGGAAAAAAAAUAUCAUUAAUUUUUUUUCCUCUCUCGGUGGGCCCCACGUAAUGUGGGGCUCUGGUUUUUGUCGCAUUGUGUGGAGGGUGUAUAUCUAAAUCAACCCCUUGAAUACGGACACGUGUCGAUCUCAGAGAAACUCACGUUUUGUUGUUGGGACCCAUUAAUUCCCGUAAAAGUCCUAUUCUUAAAACAAGUCGAUACGAUGAUCAAUACUCCGCCUGUGGGUCCCGGCGACGACCCCCUACGCUGGGCAGUACAACACUAAAAAAUCGCCACGUGUUAUAUUUUAAAAAGCUUUGGGGGAGCGAAUCGAUAGAUUUUUUCUUUUCGUGACAAAGCAUGCGGGGGGGGGGGGGGGCCUCCCUGGUGGAUUUGCCUAGGGGUGGGUAUAUUUUAACCGAAUCGAUCCAAACCGACUAUUUGAAUCGGUUUGAAUUGAUUUUAUUAGUAAAAAAAUUGGUUUUGAUUUAUUGGAUUGUAAACCGACAUCAUUCGGUUUGGAUUUUGGUUUGGAAGGAUUCCAAACCGAUUCAAACCGAUUCAAUCCAGAAAUAUUAUAUAAUUAUAUUAUAUUUUAAGUUAAGCAAUCUAACUAAUUAUAUUUAUCAUUUUAUACAGAUUUUGACAAAUCAAAAGUAAUUGGGCCAUAAGUUUUGACAGACAAGAUGCACAAUAUUUUAAUUGUCAAAUGUUGUUCAAGUUUAUUUUAAUUUUGUGAGUUUGUUUUGAAUGAACAUGUUAAUAACUUCUUUAUUAGGGUGUAUUAUGUUAUAAACUUGUAUGGAUGUAUCUUUGAAUUGUUAUGUAGAUGUCAAAGUAGAUAUGAAUAAUAUAAAAAAUGUAUCAAUUUAGAUUACGGACACAAAAAAAUAAUAAAUAAUUUAGGUAAAAUAAUAUAAAAGAAGUGGGCUUUUAGCUAAUAAGCUCAAACCGAGGAUCCAAACCGAUCCAGUCGGUUUAGAUCGGUUCGGUUUGAAAAAAUUUUAAGUUGAUAUCGCUUUGAAAAUAUUUCAAACCGAUAAGUUUGGAUCGGUUUGAGAAUAUAUCUCAAACCGAUCCAAACCGAAUUUGCCCACCCCUAGAUUUGCCCGCCGUUAAUCAAUUUGUUUGAUGAUAAAGAUUCAAGCAAUCAUACACGAACUUAUUCAAUGGAGCUUCAGAAGAUUGGCAUUGCAGUGAAGUCCUGAGUCUUCUACUCAUCUUUUAACAACCUUUGCAGAAGCACAACAACAGGGACAAAUUCUGCAUAAUCGGGAAAAGAAAAAUCAGAAGACGUCAUAUUGAAAUGCAUUCAUAUUAAUUUGACAAGAAGAGAAUCAAACGCAGACCUCGUUAAAAAUCUUGUAUGCAUACGCAUAUAAGAGAAGUUCAAUAAUUGCGACGCAGGAUCAUUGCCGAAGCAUUAAACAAAUACGAGGCAGAGAAAGAGGAGCUCUGAGGAUGAGCGUGUUAGUGUGGUAAUACAAUAUCCUCGAUGCUUGCUGAAUGGUGGACAGUGGCGUUGGAAUAUCAUCUAAUAAAAGGAGAGAAAGAGGUGGCAACUGGCAAAGUGGGUGAGUGAAAGCUCAAGGCUGAAGCGGUUGGCUAAACUUUGUUAAAAAGAUGCACAUAUUGAUAAUAAUAUACGACCGUACGUUGUCUGUUAACUUGGAACUCUUUAGCAUUUAAGCGAGUCUCUCUCUCUCUCUCUCUACGAUUGGGAAUUGGGAUUUCGGAUCGGGAUCUACCGUAUUCUCCGUCUAUCCUAUGCAUGUCAUCAUACAUCAGUAAGCGUGCGUGCCUCUGCGUCUCCCCCUCUCCUUCUUUUUACACAACUAUUUACUGUUACUAUUUCUUUGCCAAUUCCCUUAUUUCACGGUACUUGUAGUAAGACGAAACAAAGGAAGAAAAUGCUAAGGUACUUCAUUAGGCACAUUUCUCAUGCGUACUUGAAAGUAAUCAGAACCGUUGAUCUUUCCCCGAUGGGCCACCCACUGCAGGGCCAGUAAAAUUUUCUCAAGACCUUUGCAAUCAUACACGAACUUUGCAAUCAUACAUUCCUACAGUUUGGUGCUGAUCGCGCAAUAUUUCACAUGCAUAUGCCUGGUGGUGUAAGAGAAGUUUGAGCACAAAUAUUUACAGGAGUUAAAUUGGAAUUAUCAACAAAUACCCCCAAUCAAUACCUUAAUUGGUCCAAGUAAACCAUUCAAAGCCCCAAGGAGAAACCUUGUAGUUAUGGCCAUCCAGAAAUUCACACUAAGCCCAAAGAGAGUGUUAAAAAUAACCCUGUGAGCAUUUUAAGACAAAUAAGAAACCCAGAAAUUGCCAAAGUAUCAUCAAUUUCAAGCUUAAUCAUUUGAAAAUAGAGGUCACUAACACUGUGAUGCAUCCUAUUAUUAUUACAGGCUUUCGACCGCAGCGGUCAGCUCCCAUUCCCCACAAAACAGAUGUUAAAGCUCUGCCAAGCAUGUAUGAAGACCCUUCAAUUUCAUCAAGGUAUUAAGAUGUUUGUUACGAUAACUUCUCGAGGAAUUUGAAAUGUUACAUGCAUAUAUGUUAAUUAUUUCGAGGUGCGAUCAUCUCUACUUUUUAAAGCAUAGACUUGGCGCCCUUUACAGUAUAAAGGCGCAAGUCUGCAGUGUAAAACCCUUGUACAGUGCCUUUACAGUGUUGUAAAGCCCUCGGUAGAACGUUUUUACAGAGUUGUAAAGGCGCGAGUCUGCACUUUGUAAGGUGUGGACAUUUGUACCAAAAAAGGACUCCAUACUAUGUGCCAUUUAUUAAACACAAUAAAAUACAUAAAAUAACUCACCCACGUAACCAGCAUAGAAUCCAAUAUCUUCCUCCCUUUUUGCAAUGUGAAAAUCCCUAAUCUGAAAAGAAAUCAUAACAUACUGUUGUGAAAAAGCAAUGAAUUGUUUGAUAGAUAAAACUUGUCUUUUCUUAUAUUUCUAAGAAAAUCAGCAAGCAUGAUAGAAAAAUAUAAAUUUUCUCACUAGUAACUACUCUGGUGAAGGCAACAACAGUCCACUCACCAUAAAAUAAAGAAAGGGAAAGAGAGAUGCGACCGGCAGAACUGAAAAAAAAAAAAAAAAUCACAAAAGAAUUAAGGACAAAACUAGAAGAGCACAAUAGGCCAAAAUCAUUGUAAAUGGUUCUCUCAAAAAUCAUUAUAUCGAGUUGAAGUUGAAAAAUUUACCAGUUGCAAGCACAACAAUCUAAAUUAUAAAAAGCUUGCGAAUUGGUAAGCCUCGUUCCGACUCUUUAAGCUUAUCAACCUUACAGCCUGAGCAGUUCUCAUAAUAUUUCUUCUUCAGCAGCGGCUCUCUCACUUUCGCCUCCGCCAUACUUGAAAAAUUUUCAGCUCAAGUAAUCGUCUUAGUCUAUGCAAUCCAAUUUCAAUGCCUAAAUAUAAGUACUAGAAAAUAAGUAACAAAAUCAAUAUGCUUAAGGAUAUAGUAGAACUAUAUAAGUGAUCAUUUAAAGAAUUUUCAAUAGAAUUGUAAAAUCAGUUGAUUUUGCAGCUGGGUCUGUCACCACCAUGGUAAUUAAAAUUAUUGGAUCCCAUGUAAAACAAAAUUUUUUCAUUACAUGCCCUCAUUGCUGACGUCCAAUUAAUCAUUACUCUUAUGAGAAUAAUUUUUGGUGACAAGAACGGCGGCAUCCUAGGACGUGACAAAAUAGUCACAAAAAUCCCUUAUUUUAAAAAAUGAUCAUGAAAAUUUAUCCACGGACACACAAAUUCAGGAUCUAUGUAACUAUUUUUAAUUACAAAAAGAGGUCUAUAUAUAUAUUUGAAAAUAAGGGAUAUUCAUGAUUACCAUGUUAAGCCACGAGAUAUCAUGCUGUUUUUUUUAUUUUUCAUUAAAUCGUUGUUACACAAUUCGACAUGUAAAAGUAAUUUAUUUUUUUUGAGAGAUGGUAACAAACAUAGUGACAAAACUAUCAUAGUACAGUCUAAUGAUGAAACUAAUUGUUAAUUAAUUAAUAAAAAUACUAAGUGACUGUAGCGGUUCCGGUCACAGUCACAGUCAAAUACAAUUAGGAUAAUUUAAUUUAAAUAAUGUGUAAUUUAGCGUUAGCCCCAAUUGUUUCGACAUUUUGCAUUGUGCCCCCCAAUCUUCCGACCAUGUCCACCACCCUCAUUUCUUUCAAAUCUAAUGUUAACGGAAAGAAGGGUAGAAUGGUAAUUAACACAAGAUUAAAAUAAUAUAUAUAAUUAAAAAAAACCCUUUUUCCUUCGCCGCCUCUAUAAUUUAAUUUUGGGUUUGAUAUCUUUAGUUUUAAGAUUUUUGAUUAUUGGGUUUCUUUUUAUCGAAUUUUCUUAGUAUGAAUUUAUUUUGUAAUAGAAUUUUACAAUGAAAUUUGCUCUCAGGGAUUUUGGUAUCAUUAGUUUAGGGUUUCUUUCUAUUGGGUUUUAUGUGGGAUUAUUGGACUUAUUUUGUAAUGUACUGAUGAAUGUGUGUUUGAUUUUUUUCUUUCACAUUGGAAUCAUGCUUUGCCUUUGAUUUUGUAAUUUACUAGGUUUAUAAUCUUGGGUUCGUAAUCCGGAAAAAAAUCGUUUCCAUAUAAUUUUAAAAAUAUUAUAAUAAAUUUUUACUUUUUGAUUUAAAUUUUAUUAGUUGUAAGGGUAUUUUAAUACUUAUAUACCCAAUUCAUUUCAAAAUAGGGGUAGUAUAGUCUUUUAAAUUUAUAACAGCCUAAAUAGUUAGAUUAGUUGAUUUUUUAAUAGAAAUAGGGGGAGGUGCACAUGGUCAAAAGAUGUGGGUGCGCUGUGUGAAAUACUGAACAAUUGGGGGCUGAUGCUUAAUUAUCCUUAAAUAAAUUAUUAGUUUAAUGGAAGGAGCAAAAUUCAGGAAAAGAGGAAUCAAACUGCGAAAGGAAUUAGGAAACCUGAAAAGAAAGAAUGAAAAUAACUUUUUUUUUUAAAUUAUUUAUUUGGACAUUGUGACAAACAAGUGAUGUGCAUUGUUAAUUCUGAUUACCCCAAAAUGUCAAGUCUUGAAAAACGACAACAUUACAUGAUUCAUGAGAAGCCUAUCACUUUGAGAUUAAUUUAAUUAAAAAAAAGUUCCGUUUGCUUAAUACUAAAAUGUCACGCGCAAGUUGUCCUGGACUAGAGAGUCGUUCACCCGUACUUACACUGUCACUGCAUUUGCUUGAAAAAUGAUUUUACUAGCAAUAGGUUCUCGUGUUUCGAUAGCUUUCUAAGUGGUUUAUUUACAGGUAUUCAAAAUAUAAAUUAUUGCUAUGAUUUUAGAAAAUAUUGUAUUUUUUUUUUGUAAUUUAUAUUAAAAUUUUGCGACAAUUGUUUGGCUGGAAUUUUUUUUAAUAAGAAAAAUAGUGAUCUCACACUGAUCCAUAGUUGAGCCAAUUACCUAGUUAAAAGCUACCUCCAUAUUUUUUAUUUUUUACCCUAAUGCAUGUCUGAUUCUUUUAAAAUUUUACGUUAUAUAUAUUAAACAAAAAUUAUAAUUUUAAUCAUUGAAAAAUUCAUGACAGACAUCAUUUGAAUAAUUUUUUUUUUUUUUGAAAAAUACAGAGCUAGAGAUAAUGCUAUAAUUGAUUGAAUAAGAAGGCUACAACUUGAUGAUAACUUUAUUGCAAUGUUGCGUGAUCUCAAUAUAUUAUUGGCUUUUGUGUGAGUAAAAGUUGCUGGCUCGUGUUUUACUAAUUUGCCUUUGUAUUUGACUGGCUCGACAAAGAAUCGAUUUACCUCAUACCCAAAUUACAAACAUCGAAACCGGAUCUGUCAUUACGUUAAUUGGCCUCCUAAAAUAAUCAAUCACUUUCUCUUUAGUCUACCAUCCACUCUUUCCAGUCGCUUACUUUCAUUCUAAUCAUCUAAACGGCUCUUUGCUACUGUUUCUUCUAUUCGUCAUUGUUCUUGUUCUGUUAUUAUUUAGCUUUGCUCACUCCUCAGUCUCAUUUCUUAUUCUGUACCCAUCAGCUCUUUUACUUUCCUUUGGCUUUCUUCGCUUCUAUGUUUUUCUCAGGAUUCGAGAUGCUGGAAAUCAUUGUGACUAUCGUCUUGGAACUUGUAAAAUGCUUGGCUCCUCCAACUGAACGCCAACUUGUGCAUUUGCGAAAGCGGAACUACAAUGCCAACUUUGAGAAUAUCAAGGCGGAAAUGGAGAAGUUGAAGGUUGAACGUACGAGCAUUCAGCACAGAGUUUCAGAGGCGGAAGAAAAAGGGGAAGAGAUUGAAGAGAAGGUUGAAAAGUGGCUGGUUAGUGCGAAGUGCGAACGGCAUCAUUGACCGGGCAGCCAAAUUCAUUGAAGAUGAGGAGUCAACGAAUAAGCGCUGUGUCAAGGGCUUGAGUCCUAUUUGGAAGAGUCGCUAUCAGCUUAGCAAGAAAGCAGAGACGGAGGUGAAGGGCAUUAUUGAACUAGGAGAAGAAGUUAGGAAGUUUGAUACUGUUUCCCACCGUACCAUUCGGGAGGAGAUAUGGCUUAAGUCUAGCAAUGGUUACGAGGCCUUCGAAUCAAGACUUUCUACUUUGCAGUCUAUAAAAAAUGCAUUGACGGAGGCGAAUGUCAGCAUUAUUGGGGUGCACGGCAUAGGCGGCAUUGGAAAGACCACACUGGUGAAGGAGUUUGCUAGGCAAGCCAGGGAAAAGAAGCUGUUUUAUCGGGUGGUUUUAUCAGAGGUUUCAUAAACUCCAGAGACAAAAAAGAUUCAAGGGGAAAUUGCAGAGAAGUUAGGUCUGGAGUUGUCCGAUGAAGCUGAAUAUAGAAGAGCUAGCAAGCUGUAUGACCGAUUGAAGAGUGAGAAUAAGAUUCUUGUGAUUCUACAUAAUAUCUGGAAACAUCUUGAAUUGGAGACGGUUGGAAUUCCUUUUGGAAAUAAUCAUAAAGGAUGUAGACUGUUGCUGACAGCACGAGAUAAUACUGUGCUUUUAGGUAUGGGCUCCAAAGAUAACUUUUUGAUUGGCAAUCUAACUGAACAAGAAGCCUGGAGAUUGUUUAAGAUAAUGAAUGGUGAUGAUGUUGAAAAUUGUAAGUUCAAGUCUACAGCAAUUAAUGUAGUUAAGGCAUGUGGAGGUUUGCCCAUUGCGUUGAGGGCACUGAGAAACAAGAGUCUCCAUGAAUGGAAGAAUGCCUUGCGAGAGCUCCGAACGCCUUCAAUGGUAAACUUCGAAGGUGUGUCUGCAGAGACUUAUUCAAGUAUUGAGCUGAGUUUCAAUUAUUUAAAAGGUGAGCAAGUCAAGAAAAUUUUUCUGCUUUGUCGUCUAGUAGGUAACAGUGUUUGGUUUUCAGACUUAUUUAGAUACUCCAUGGGUUUGGGCAUAUUUCAAGGAGUCAACAUUCCCUUCAUAUUUACCAAAGGUAAGUGAUAAAUCCUACAUAUCCCGCUCAAGAAUGCAUAUGUUUUUUCAAUCUCAAGUACCUAAAGUUUUCUUCUAAGUUUAUAAAAAUUUCAGCACCAUCUCCCUAUAAUUCUCCAAGCUCACGACAAAGCUAUAUAAGUGAUGCGUUAUGCCAAAACAACACAUGACACCCAUUCACCUAGUACGUACCCAGAGAACACGAGGAGAAGCUACCGUAAAAGCCAUUUUUACGUGGGAAGAAAACUUCAGCUACUAGCUACCAGAGAGAACUAUGCAUUCCCAAACUGUCCAAGCCUGGACAAUUCAAGAAUUAUUAAUAGACAUAUGAUCCUCACUAUCAUCCAAAGAUGACACUAAUACAACAUGUGUCUAUUAAUAAUUUCUUAAACAAGUCUAAGCUUUCAAUGCACGUAUCAAAAGUUUAAAAUUGAAUCUGAAAUUUGAAUAACACAUAAAUAUCAUAAAUCUCUUCAAUUUAUUCCUGAUACAAUGUAGCAUUAUUUCACAUAUCAUUUCUUAAGCAAAACCAUAAAAAAUACAAACAAUAAAUACAUUUUCCCACUGAUGCAGAUUAUGUUUACUGAGCAAUAAGUUUUAUGUCAUUCAUGUUGAAAUACUUCUGCCUAUUCUUUCAACAUAUAACUAGUACAUACACAAAAAAAAAACCUGGUGGUGAAUCUUGCAAAAUCUUCCUUUUUUCUUUUUUUUUUCUUUUUCUUCUUUUUUUGGGGUGGGGUGUUGGGGGAACUAUGAAUCUUGCAAAUCCUCAAGAAGCCAUGUUAAGACAAGGCCAGCUUACUAUUGGGGUAUGAAAGAUAAAACCUUUUAUUUCCUUUUCAAAAUAAAAAGGACAUUGACAGUGUUAAAAAAAAUCUAGAGGAUUUCAGGCCUCCAGAUCCUUACAAAUCAAGGAUAUUAAAAAAAAUUACUUAGAGGAGAAAGGUUAUGCUCAUUUGUAUCUUGUUAGAAGAAAUUGAUCCAAAGCCUCAGUUUUAAUUUGCUUCAUAUAGCCAAUGACUAGGUGUUUAAAAACCAAUGAAUAUUUUUAUAAGAAAUCAACAAUAUUGUUGAAAGAAAAACCAAAUAAAAAUAAUAAAGCCAAUGAAUAGAUCAAGGCUCUUUGUGGUCUAAAACUAAUCAAACUAAGUUGUGGGCAAAGGCAAAUAUGUUUGUUUGGUCAAUAAUAAGCUCAACAAGUCACUAAUAACCACCUAAUCACUAUUCCUUAUGCUAUGCAAUAUAAUGGCCUGGGUAAUGGCGCCAAGGCAGACAAUAAGUAGCUAGCCAGUUAUGAUAGUUGAUUAACUUAACCUACUGGAAAUCUGAAGACCAAAACGAAGAAGCUUUGUCUAGAACUAGAAUAGGAACAUUCGUACCCAAAACUAAUAUACACAAUUAAGAAACUUGAUUAUAUGUAUAUUUCUGUUGGCCACACUUAAAGAGAAUUUCCAAAAGAUGCUAAGGUACACCAAAUCCCACUAUUUCAUACUCAUAAACACAAAAAACCAUGGUAAAAAUUAAUGACUAUAUCAAAUAAAAUCGGUGAUAGGACAUUGAGAUUAGGACAACUUGAUUUGUAUACCGUAAAAUAACUAUAUCUGCAUGGUGAACUAUAUUUCUGUUAGAAGUCUGAAGUUUUCUAUUAAAUUUUUUUCUCUGUUGGGUAAACCACUUAACUGAAGUGCUUAAGCCAAUUUUGACAAUCAUAGACAUAAAAGUAUUAAUAGGCUCAUUCAAGUGAAAUGAGCAUUAUUUCACACAUCCUUUAGGUUUUUAAGUCAUUUAGAAGUCAUUCAUGUUAAAAAAAAAAUUCAUAUACUUUCAAUAUAAUUAGAACAUACACAAUUAAUUAAUUAAAUAAAUCUGUUUCAGCUAGUAUAGGAACUUAAUUAAUCAAAGCUAGUAGUUAUAGCUAGGACUUGAACGAGGCACCUUUCAAAGUUCAAGAAGAGCAUCUGAACAUAAUGAAAGCACUUUGUAGAUAUGGUAAUGAUGCUUUACAUCUACAUGCUCUUACACAGCAUGAACUUUCAUUUACUCCAAGCUCUUAUUCUACAAGUCAAUUCAGUUUGUAGAUGCACGCCAUUGUAAAAACUUUUGUAUUAUAAUUUCUGAAAAUAGAAUGUAACAUUAUUAAUAUAGAAUCAGCAAUGUAUAUAACUUAUCAGACAAUAUAACAAGCACUUGGUGAGCAUACAAGAUAAACUAAAACAAGUCAUCCAGAAAAUGAAACUAAAACCCAAGCUCCGCUAUUCAUUGUAGAUGCUUUAAACAUAAAAUUAAACUAAAUCUAAUAGCAAAACAUUAGAAUGGAUGUUGGAAUUAAAGCUAAAUUCAAUAGUAAUUCAAAUGAAUCCAUUUGAACUUUGUAAAUUCCGCAGAACAAAAUUAAUUUGAGUGAGCAAACUCACCAAUGGAACAAGAACACAGGGGCUUCAACUUGUAGGAAUAAAAAAAUAUUGCUGGCGGGACAAAAAUUGACAAUAAUGGCUACAAUACGAAUUUAAAAAAAAUUCAAAAUCUAUAAUUACAAGCUAAGUAAGAGAAGAAACUCAUAAUCACAAGCUUACCUCAAAAGAUGAAGGGAGAAUACGAUGAAGAAGAAGAUGCCCGGUGUUUUACGCCGUUCGCCGGCAACCAGUUAGGUUUACGAUGGUGGCUAGUCCAGCGAAUAGUUUUCUAACUGGAAAUAAAUUUAAAUUUCUAAAAUAGUGCUAUGCCGAACGGCUCUUUACCGUCACGUGGUUAGUAACAUAUGUGACAGCAGUGUGGCCGUCACAUAAAGGGUAACAAAAGCAACUCGAGGUUACAAAGUUAGAAGUUAGUGGCAUGCGUAAUGGCUGCUUUUGCAAAUUUGCAUUCACAUUAGGGGUCACAUAUACCCUAUUUUCUUGUAGUACAUGGUAAAUUCUAUUUCAAAAUUGCUAAGUAUUUUAGAUUUGUAUGAAUUCAUUUUUGUGUGCUCGUUGGAUAAUAAUAUAUUAUUUAAUAAAUUAAAUUUUUGUUGUAAUUUUCACAAUAUUGUAUUAUAAAUAUGUCUCGUUGAAAGGUUUUGAAAUCGUUUUUAUUGAUCAUAAGGCGAAAGCUACUGUGCAACUGUGAUACGGUAUCACCGUUGCACCCAGCCGUUGGAUCCCACUUGAUCUAUUCAUCCGCGUGGAUCCAACGGCUGGAUGCAACAGUGAUACCGUAUCACCGUUGCACCGUAGCCGGACCCUGAUCAUAAUUGAUAUUUCCACAGUUGCAAAAGAUACCAGAGAAAAUUUGAUUAUCUUAAGAAAUGAGGGAAUGAGAUCUGAAAUCAACCAUACCAUAAAAUCAAAUUUUAUCAUGUCAUCCUUCUCGGUUCAAAUUUAUGGAAACAAUAAUCAAAUGCAUCCAUGAACUAGUAUAUUCCGAGAUAUGUACCAUCAAAUUUUUGCUAUAUCAUACUUAUAUAUGUAUAUUGAAAUUUUAAUAACAACAAUUGGGCCAAGCAUAUGUUGGUACUUGAAGAUUUAUAAGCUCCAUCCUUGAAAAAAUAAAGCUUGACUGUUUUCAAUCUGAUUCUUUUUGUUUUAAGUUCUUAAUUAAGCUUUCUUACUUGUUUUCAAGAGCCAGUUUUGUAAUGAUCCACAAACAUGAUUUGCAUAUACAGUAUUGCAGUUGGCAUUUAUGUAUCACUUAUUAAUUAGAUUUAAAUUUUAUAAAUUAAUUAAGCUGAUUAAUAUUUUAUAUGUGCACUAAAUGAUAGAUACAACAUAAAUUGGGACACUAUAACUACGUAUCCUUACUAUGUAAUAUUUGUUUGUCUCAAACCCAAUCAUGGCUUGAUAUUCUGAAUACUAUUUAGGAUAACAUUUCAAGCCCCAUGAGGGCUCUUUCCGUUUAAAAAAAAAAGUAUGAAAUAGAUGUAGAUUUUUCUUUAGAUAUUAUUAGUGAAAGUACCUUUGAUGGCAAUGGUUCAAGAUGAUUUGAGAUUUGACAAUUCCGCUCUCAUCUUAAUUAUCAAAUGGAAUGUAAGUAGAGAUAAACUCGUCCUGUUUAUAUAUUUGUGAUCAAAAUUAGGACCAAUAUCAAACCGCUCACAAUCAUGUCCCAUCCUAACUAUCUUGAAUGUCUUGAUUGCCUCCCUUAAUUAUCUUUUUAAUUCUCAUUAACAUAUUAGCAAAAUUUCCAUAUAUUAAAAAAUUAGGGUCCGACUAUCUAUACUUUAAAAAUCAUUAUGAACACUCAAUUAUUUAUGCACUCAGCAAAUAAAUUUAAAAAAUUAAGUUUUACUUUCUACACUUUUUAAAAUAACAAAAACAUCUUUACAUGAACCUAAUAAGUUUAUUUAAAAAAAUUAAAUCAACUAUUUUUAUUUAUUCAAAAUACUAAUAAAAAUAUUUAGCAAACCGUGAAAGAAAUUUUUUAAGAAAUUUAACACGAUUUUAGUUAUUACUUGUUGUUUAUUAAAGAAUGUGUUCACUAUUGUUUUUAAUUUUGUUAGUAAAAAAAAUAGAAGAAGAAGUUUGGGUUUAAGAUACAUUUAAUUUUAGUGUAACAGUUGUACUAUAUAGCUUUAUUUACCCAAGUGGGCAAUACAUUUAAUUUUUAGUGUAACAGUUUUAUUCAUACAACGCUUUUAAAACUAAAAGUACUUUUAAAAAUAAAUUUUACUAAAUAUUCAGCUUAUUCUCUUGACGAUUGAUCAAUUUCUACAAUAUAACUAAUUGUAAUUAUUUUAAAAGCUACAGGAUUACCAAAUUGACCCUAAAUCAAACCAAUAAAAAUGUUUAAAAAUAAUAAUUAUAAACCAAAGUAAACGUACAAAAAUUCAUGCAUAAUUUGAUAAUCAACAAAAACAUCCACAAGUUUACCUCCAAGUUUUCUACUCAAUUGACAUAACCCUUAAAUUUCAAAAGGCAUAAUCAAUUUUGUGUCUAAUCCUAUAAAAUUAGAAAAUUAAAGAAUAUUAUAUACUGAUAAUUAAAUAAUAUGCACUUAACAAUGUUAAAAAAAUAAUGUUAAACACAUUGUCAACUAAAAUAAUUGGGAGAAUUGGAGUUCCAAGAUAAAUUCUUAUCUAGUCCCAAAUCAAUAAUUGGGAUUAACAAGCUGCUAUUGAAAUUAAUGUUAACAACUAAAAUAGAUGCAAAAGGAGAAACAGGCAUCAUGUGCAGUACCCACUGUGAACUGCUCACAAGUUGUUGGCAGCUGGUCAAAAAUUCAAUGUUGAUUUUGAUCCCACUAAAUUAAGUCAUCAAAAAUUGCUGGGAAGGGAGUAAUAUCUAUUUAUAACUGGAAAUUACUCACCGUACAACGAUGAUUGGAGCUGCAUAUAUCAUUUAUUAUUAACAACUAACUUAUGAAAUGCUUUGAAUGUAUCUCCUAGGUCGUAUUAUUCACUAUACUAGUUAGGAGAAAUUGCAAUGUUAAAUUAUUUGAUAAAUACUUAUUAUAAUUUGAAAAUAUGUUAAUUUUGUCCUCCAUUUAUGAUAAAAAAAAUUAUAAUAUAUAAAAAUCAUUCAUUCUAUAAUCUUGAACUUUAUUAAAGUUUGAAAAACUAUUACUCUAUAUGAUAUAAUUGUGUGAUGUUAUUACACUAUUAUACCAUAUAAAAUAUAUUUGCUUUCUUAAAUUUUAAUAAAGUCUAGGUCUUGGACAGAAGCACUUUAUAUAUGUAUAUAUAAUGAUUCUCUAGUAACAACAUUCUCAUUUUAACAAAAUAAUGAUAUCACUAACAAACUAAAUAACACGUAUUUCAAUACACCAAUAGAUAAAAAAAAAUAUAAUUUUUAAUGUGUUAAAAUAUGUCUUUUGUAUAUUAUUGAUAUUUUCACUUUAACAAAGUGAGGGUGUCCACACUACAGAAGUACUUUAUAAAUAUUCUUUGUAUUUUUGUGAAAAUUAUUAUUUAAAUGUCAUAUCUUACCAAAGACUAUUAGUUUUUAUUUUAUUACUACACUAUACUUUUCAAGAUAGAACACCUUAAUACCAUGACCUUAAUUUUUGAACUCUCUUGUGCAAAGUUGUUGGCUGGUCUAUUUAGCUUAGUCUUUCAAUUAUUUGUCGUUUGAACUCAAAUGAUCCGAAUAAAGCUAUGUAUCAAUAAUUUCCUAGUGAAACUUCGGGAAAAAAUAAAAAUCCUCUCAUACAGUAGCAUUAUUUUAAUUCUCAGCUUGAUUAUGUUUUGAGUUAACUUAUAGAUUAUUUGAAAUGAAAAUAAUAUAAUUUAUUUUUUCCAACUGAAAUUUUUAAAUAAUUUUAUUAGUUUGAUGAGUAAGUAUACACUUACAAAGUUAUGAUAUAAAAUUAUAUCCCAGAAUCUGAAUAAUAUGACACCAAUUAACUACUGCUAUUUGUUUCUUAGUAUUAAAAUUUUCAUACCAUUAUUAAUGAGAUAAUUAACUUCAACACCAAUAAACAAAUUUUAUAUUAAUACAUCCUCUAGCUUUAUUAUCAAAUAAUCAUAUGUCAUAAUCAAACCAAGCUACCAGAGCCUACCACUAAAAGAUUGAUUGAAGGGUUUUCCAAGUUUGAAAAUGUUAGUAGCAUUGGCAAAUGGCAACUUCCAGGAAUCUUCCUGCUACAAUCAAUCAUUUAGUGAAAUGCCCAAAUGACACAAAGGACCCCGCCAAACAUGAAGUCACAUCAUUUAUUUAUUUGUAAAUGAAAAAUAAGGUUCCGAUCGGAAGAAAUCAGCACCUUAUAAUGCAUGAUUACUCGUAUGUCAAGUUUGGCGAUUAUAAGUCAUCAUCACAAUAACUUUGGACUUUGAUAUUUAAGUCUCCAUUUGGGACCAAUGUAUGUGUUGUGAAUUUGGCUUUGAUAAGAUUAACCAAAUUCUCCCCAAGACACUUAGUUCUGUAUCGAUGGUUUUAAGAAUGAUUAACACAGACUAUUCAGCAACAAAUACACACACGAAUCAAAGUUUUAAAGAUCACAAACAAGACACCAAGCAUAAGUGGUUCAGCACCAAGAAGUGGUGCUUACAUCCACUGGAAACAAAGCAACAGUCUUUCACUAUUUCGUUCACAAAACAAUACAAGAAUAGGAAUUGAUUUACAGAGAACAAGAACUUGUAAACCCCUUUCUCUCUCUAUCUUCUCUCUACUCUUAGUGUUUCCCAAAUCAUGUGAAGACGAUGACAAAGCCUGCACCUUUUUAUCCUCUGUUUCUGGGUUGUUACGCCAACUACCAUUCCCGCCAAAUCUAUCCAAGAAGCUCUGCCUCACGUGCCUGUCGCACGCUGAUUUAAGUGUGAUUAAGAAACGGCACUCAGAGACGUCGUUUCUUGACCCAAGCAAGAGUUAGCUUCAACACAUGUGCAAACCACGUGUACUACUAAAGAUAGAACAGAUGACUGAGAUUAUGUCGGAUCUGGCUUCAGGAACUUCUACAAGUGACAAGUCAUCCGAGACUGAAUCCUCUAAACGACUUGUAGUACUUGAGUUUCGAGUUCACUGUUUAUCAGUAUGGCAGUUGGACAACACAUCACUCAAUUAUAGAGUGUGAAAUAUUGAUAUUGUUCUUAUUAUUUUAUGUAAUGUAUAAACUUUUCCUUUUAUUUGUGUUUGUUUAUUUUUUUUAUACUUAAUAAAUAUAAAUUUAUUUUUUAAAUAUUUAACAAAUAGUCACGACCAGACAAUAUUGCCAGAGAAUAACAAACAAUGACCCAAAUCCUUUUAUCUUACAGAAAUAAUUUCAAGUAGUCACGGCCAAACAAUAUUGCCAGAGAAUAACAAACGAUGACCCAAAUCCUUUUAUCUUACAUAAAUAAUUUCAAUUCACAACAACUAUGACAUUACAUUACCAAAUAAACACUAAAUAUUUUGAUGAUUGUAGUUUAUCUUUCAUUCAUAGCAUGAAGAGUUUGAAAUAUGAUCUCAAAACAAAGAGUACGACAUGUCGUGUUCGGUUUACAGAAGAAGUGUACCCCAUGUCAUCCGAAAACUAAAAGGCGCGUAUGACAACCAGACGCUGUCAUCUCUUAUUUGCUUACACUUUAAGGAAGAAUUCUGGGUUUUGAGUGACAAUUAAAAGCUAGAGUGAGAAUUAGAGAGAGAGUUAUAUAUUCUUAUUUAUUCCUAGUCACUUGCUAUAUUGUGUAGGUCUUUUGUGAUUCCAAUAAUAAAAACGCUCAAUAUUUUUUUUUAUAGAGCAAUAUUUGUUAAAGCAUGAAGAAAGACAGAAAUAUUGUAAAUCCAUCUCAACUUUUCUGUUUAUUGUGGUCGCUGCUAGAGCUAGCUGUUUUCUUAUUUAACAUUGUUCUCUUUUGCCAUCAGCUCUUAGCAUUUUCAUUCAAUCAAGCGACCCUUUUCUUGCUUCAAUUUUUUUUUAUCUCAAAAGCACUUUGAUUCUCUUCAGUUACACUGAUUUUCUCCUUGUUUUGCACAAAUAUCAUUUCUCUUUCCCAUUUAGCCUUGAUUUGCUUCUACUUGACUAUCAAUUGCCCAGUCGUUGAACCUGUUGUAUUUUUAUUUCGUUCACUUCAAAUAGACAAAAAAAAAAAAAAAAGAUGUUGGAUAAAAGCCUAAAAUCUAAUUUGGUUUUUAAUUUGAUUUAGCUAAGAUGUCCAAUUUAAUACUAAGAGCAAUGUUAAGGAUCCCAAUAAUUGAGUCUCAAUUGAUAUGAUAGUCAUUUAUUAGAUGAUCGAAAUAUUAAUUUUACUAGUUAUGAAAUUCAUUAUCCAAUAAAAAAAUGAUACAUAACAAUUGGAUCUCAAAUUAGAAUUCUACUAUCGAAAUUCCUAACAUUAUUCUAAUAUUAAAAAUUCAUCAAAAUAAUAUCUAUUAUCUAAAAAAAUAAAAUAAAAAUCUAAAACCAUAGAUUUACUCUUCAAUCUUCGUGAUUUGGCUGAUUUCUUUUAAAGCUUUGGUUUCUUUAUAUUUUUAUCGGUCAUUUUAACGGUACUGGCGUUUGAUUUUCUGACUAAGCUACUGUUUAGUUCCAAGUUUUGGCAAUUACCCGGACUGCUUUCUUUUGUGUAACAUCGACACAAUGAGGCUUUGCAUCUAAAAGUCGGCAGCCAUGCAACUUCUUGGAAUCUUCGUGCAAGUGUUGGAUAUCGACCGUUCGAUAAUGACGGCAGCAUUGGUCUGGAGUGUUAGAUAUUUUAUUGAUUAAGGAUCACAAAUAAUGGAUAUUGGAUGAGGAUCACAUGUUUUAUGACAAUCGUAAUGUUACUAAUAUAAGUCAAGCAAUUAUUUUUAAAUAAUGAUAUUAUAAUUAAAAAUAAAAAAAUAUUUAUAAUACUUAAACACUAAUUCAGAGUAUUAAUUUUUUUAUAUGAAUUAAUUAUUUGCUGACAAAUAAUUAAAAGGUCAUAGAACAAUAUUUUCAGCUCAAAUUUUUAUUCUAAUAUGACACAACUUGGUACUUUCAUUCCUAUGCUAAAAUAUAUCUAACCUACUAAUAGUCAAGAAAUAUAUCUAUUCAACACAUAUUUGUUAGAAAGAUUAUCUACUAAUUAAUCAUUGAGACGAGAUUACGAAUCUCAACAUAAAUUAGGAUAAAAAUUAAUAUAUUGAAAUUCAGAAUAUUUCAAGCUUGUAAAACUACUUUCAAGCGAAUCUGAUAAAAUUAUUUCAAUACUCGUGGGUGACUCCUUUUUAAACCGCAGAAGGAAAUGAUUUUCUCCUUGUUUGUACAAAUAUAAUUUCUUUUUUCAAUUUUGCCUUGUUUUGCUUCUACUUGAUUAUCAAUUGCACAGCCGUUGACCCUGUUCUAUUUCUAUUUCGUUCACUUCCCUAAAAAAAAAAAAAAGAUGGACAUUUUGAAAAGCAUUGUUCCAGGAGUUGUAAACUGCUUGUCCCCUCACGCACAACGCGAAUUUAGUUACUGGUAUAACUCCGGUGCCAACUUUGAGAAUCUCAAGGCAGAACUCCAUAGGCUCAAGGUUGAAAGAGAAAGCAUUCAGCGCAGAGUUUCUGAGGCUGAAAGAAAAGGUGAAAAGAUUGAAGAGAAUGUUGAGAAAUGGCUGGUUAAUGCGAACGAGAGCAUUGAGCAGGCAGCCAAAUUCAUUCAAGACGAAGAGAAAGCAAAUGAUGGCCGAUGUCUCAUGGGGCUGUUUCCUGAUUGGUUUGCUCGCUAUCAUCAUGGAAAGAAAGCAGAAACAGAGAAGGAGGCCCUUUUUAAACUCCGAGAAGAAGCUGGGAGAUUUGAUGAUAGAAUUUCCUACCGUACCGUUCCGGAGGAUAUAUGGCUCAAGUCUCACAAAGGCUACGAGGCCUUCGAAUCAAGACUUUCUACUUUGAAAGCCAUACAAAAUGCAUUGAUCGUUGUUGAUGUCAGCAUCAUUGGGGUCUACGGCAUGGGCGGCAUUGGAAAGACGACACUGGUGCAGGAGGUCGCCAGGCAAGCUAUGGCAGACAAGCUCUUUGAUACGGUGGUCUUUUCAGAGGUUUCGCAAACUCCAGACAUAAAAAAGAUUCAACAGGAAAUUGCCGAGAAGUUGGGCCUGGAGUUGCACGAGGAAGUUGAAUCUAGAAGAGCAAGUAGGCUAUGUGAGCGAUUGAAAAAUGAGAAAAAGAUCCUUGUGAUUCUGGAUAACAUCUGGAAACCUCUUGAUUUGGGGACUAUUGGAAUUCCUUUUGGAGUUGAGCACAGAGGAUGCAAAUUAUUAUUCACAACAAGAGAUCUUGAUGUGCUGUUAAGGACAGAAUCUGAAAAAAACUUCUCGAUUGGCAUUUUAAAUGAACAAGAAGCCUGGAGAUUGUUCAAGAUAAUGGCUGGUGAUUAUGUUGAAAACCGUGAGUUAAAACCUAUAGCAACAAGGGUAGCCAAGGCAUGUGGAGGUUUGCCUAUUGCCCUUAACCACAGUAGCAAAGGCACUGAGAAACAAAGAGCUGCCUGUGUGGAAGAAUGCGUUGCAAGAACUCCAAACGCCUUCAGAGGCAAGCUUCGACGGAGGAGUACCAGCAGAGGCAUACUCAACAAUUGAGCUGAGUUACAAGUACUUAAGAGGUGAGCAACUCAAGAAAACGUUUUUACUGUGUAGUCUUAUUACGCCAGCACCAAUUAUGGAUUUGUUCAAAUACAGCAUGGGCUUGGGUGUAUUUAAAAGUGUCCAUAAACUAAGAGACUCUUGUUUGUUGCUUGAGGAUGGUGGCAGUAAAUACAUUUCUAUGCACGAUGUUGUUCGCGAUGUUGCCAUUUCAAUUGCAUGUCGUGACAAAAUUGGAUUUGUGGUGAGAAAUGAGGAUGUGUGGAACUGGCCAGAUGCAGAUGCACUAAAAAAAUAUCUUGCAAUUUCUUUUAAAGAUAGUAUUGUUAAUGACAUUCCUGAAGGGUCCGAAUCUCUACAACUUCAACUUCUAGUCAUGUCUCCCAAGAACUCUUUUUCUGUGCCUAAUAUUCCUAAGAACUUCUUCAAAAGGACGAAAAAGCUUCGGGUUUUGGAUUUGACUAGAAUGCGGUUAUUGUCAUUGCCAUCUUCAAUUGGUCUUCUAGUAAAUCUUCAGACACUCUGUCUUAAUCAAAGCAUUUUGGGAGGCAUAGACAUAGCCAUUAUUGGAAAGUUGGAAAAUCUAGAAAUCCUCAGCUUUUUGCAAUCUGAUAUUGUAGAGUUGCCUAAAGCACUGGGUCAACUGACUAACCUAAGGCUGUUAGAUUUCACAGACUGUUUCCGUCUGAAAGUUAUUGCCCCAAAUGUCAUAUCAAGCUUAACCCGAUUAGAAGAAUUGUAUAUGGGUAAUUGCUCCAUUGAAUGGGAGGUUGAAAGAGCCAACAGCAAAAGAAGUAAUGCUAGCCUUGAUGAAUUGAUGCAUUUACCUCGGCUAACCACUCUAGAAAUUGACGUUAAAAAUGACAGUAUGUUACCAGAACGUUUUUUGGCCAGAAAGCUUGAAAGGUUCAAAAUACAUAUUGGAAAUGAGUCAUUCACGCAUCCCAUGAGAGUCAGACAAGCUUGGUUUAAAAGUCGGCGACACUUUUAUAUCGACAGUGAUUGCAAGAGUUUAAGAGCAUUGAAGCUCAAGCUUGCUUUUACGGACAUUUGCUCCAUGAAAUUGCAGGGCGUCAAUAGCGUUGAAUACUUAUUGUUGGACAAGCUGCGAGGUAUCAAGAACGUUCUUUUCAAUUUGGACACGGAGGGCUUUUCACAAUUGAAGGUUCUCUGGGUUCAAAAUAAUCCUGACUUCUUUUGCAUCGUCGAUUCAAGGGCGAUGGUCGCUUGUGAUGCCUUUCCUCUUUUGGAGUCACUUGGCCUUCACAAUUUGAUCAACAUGGAGAGGAUAUGUAUUGAUCGGCUCAAAGUAGAGUCCUUCAACGAACUCAAAAAUAUAGAAGUAUAUAAUUGUGAUAAGUUGAGUAAUAUCUUUUGGCUCUCUACUAAAAAAUGCCUUCCAAGACUUGAGAGAAUUGCAGUUGUUAAUUGCAGCAAGAUGAAAGAGAUUUUUGCAAUUGGGGAAGAAGUUGAUAAUGCAAUUGAGAAGAUAGAGUUUGCUCAAUUAAGAUCUUUGAGUCUGGGGAAUCUUCCAGAGGUUACAAGUUUUUGCCGGGAAGUAAAGACUCCUUCAGCAUCACCAAACAGACCAGCGUCGCAAGAGGAAUCGACGACUAUGUAUAGCUCCAGCGAAAUCACUUUGGAUAUUUCAACUCUGCUUUUCAACGAGAAGGUGCGUAGUGUUGCGGACCGCCCAAUUCGCUAGCCCAAUUGCCCACAAUUUCGGGCUAGAGAGCCAACACAAGGCCAAGAGUGCUAGCUUGGCCCAAUUCCGGAAGGUUCUAGGCAACUCUAGCACAUGUGAACAUGUAAAUAUUCUAGAAUACUUUAUACAAUUCCAGCACAUGUAAAUAGCUAGGAAAUUGUAUAAUACUCUAGAGUUUGACCAAGUUUGGCAAAGUUAGGCAAAGUUAGGCAAAGUUAGGCAAAGCCUCCCCUAUAACUAUGGGAUGGCAUUAGGCAUUUGUAUCCAACAAGCAUUGUAAUCUCUCUUUGUGCAAUACAAGUUUCUUUGGCUCAAUUGCUCUCUUCUCUUGUUCGAGAAUCUCUAGGCUUACUUAGCAACAUUCGGCAAAGUUGUCUAAGUGCCGCACGGGUUAGCUGCGCAAAACACUCAUCCCGUGACAAGUGGUAUCAGAGCUAAGGUUUGCACGCACGCAAAUUAGCUCACGAAGCAAUGGCCAACCCUUCGAACGUAGCACAAGAGGGUGUUGUUGGUGUGGAUGUUCCACCGGAACCAAGCCGUGGCCGAGAGGGAGAACGCGCCCAAGGCAAGACUCGCGGCAAGUCCAAGGCCCUAUCCGUGGAUGCGUUGGAGCCUCGUGUAGGCACUCUCGAAAUAGCAUUGUCCGCCGCUCAAGAUAGCCUCGUGGGAUUGGAGGAAAGAGUGGAUGGUCUCGAGGGAGAAUACGCCAAGUUCACGGUGGCCACAAAAGCUCUCAUCCAUGAGCAAGCGAACAUUCUCCGAGGUGAGUUUCGUUCUUUCCAUGAUGAGUUGCUCAAACUUCGUAGUUUUGUUCAGGACGAACUACGUGCUGUCCGUGCGGAAGUGGAUGAAGUCCGCUCGGAUUGGGCAUGGCACAAGCGCACACUCUCCACAAGUCCAGCUUCCGCAAACUCGAGUGAUGCGCGCCGCAUUGACGUGCCAAAGCCCGACACCUACGAUGGCACACGCAAUGCCACCAUCGUGGACAAUUUCCUCUUUGGGCUGGAUCAAUACUUCGAUGCCAUGGGUGUCCGAGAUGAGGCAUCGAAAGUGGGCACUGCACCCACCUAUCUUAGAGGCGCUGCACAACUAUGGUGGCGUCGCAAGCAUGGCGAGAUGGGCAAGGGCAUUUGCGCCAUCAACACUUGGGCCGACUUCAAGCAAGAACUCCGAAAGCAGUUCGCCCCAAGCAAUGCGGAGAAGGAAGCGCGAGUGCGCUUACGUCGCCUCAAGCAAUCGGGUAGCAUUCGGGACUACAUCAACGAGUUCACUACCCUCAUGUUGGAGAUAAGCGACAUGUCCAACAAGGAUUCACUCUUCUACUUCCAAGAUGGCCUCAAGGAUUGGGCCAAGACCGAGCUUGAUAGGCGUGGUAUUCAAACACUUGACGACGCCAUUGCCGUUGCGGAGUCGCUCACCGAAUACUCUACCCAAUCCAAGGACAAAAAGGCCAACCAAGGCAAAGGUGGGGGAGAGAGUCGCAAGGACAAGGGCAACAACCGCAAAGAUUGGGGGCAGAAAAAGCCGCCUAGCAACAAGAGUUGGCAAGGAAAAUUGGAGGGCAAGAAGGAGGCGCCAAAGCCGCGAAGCCCAUGCUUCAUAUGCAAUGGUCCUCAUUGGGUACGCGACUGUCCGGAGAAGAGGUUGCUUAAUGCUCUUGCUGCCCAACUCAAGAGCAACCCCACAAUGUCCACGGAGGAACCCCAACUCAGCAUGGGUUCUCUCCAACGCCUCGGCGCCCUCAAUCGCCAACAGCCCGCACUCGUCAAGAAAGGGCUCAUGUAUGUAAGCGCAAAGGUAAACGGUCAGUCCGUUCGCGCGCUGCUAGACACGGGAGCAACACACAAUUUCGUGUCCGUAGACGAGGCCAAGCGCUUAGGCCUCAAGGCCACCAAGGAAGGAGGCACAAUGAAGGCUGUGAACUCACCCGCCAAGCCAAUUGCGGGAAUCGCACAAGGCGUGCACAUCACACUUGGUACGUGGAGCGGAAAGCUUGACUUCUCCAUCGUGCCCAUGGACGACUUCAAGAUGGUCCUCGGCAUGGAAUUCUUCGACCAAGUCCAUGCCUUCCCACUGCCCGCUACAAACUCCCUAAGCAUCCUCGACGGGAGUAAAGCAUGCAUGGUACCCACGGAGCGAGGCAAGUCCGAGGAGAAGACACUCUCCGCCAUGCAAUUCAAAAGGGCUUUCAAGAAGGACCCAAGCUUCUUGGUCUCCAUUCGGGAACUAAAUGAGGAAGGAAAUAGCGGAACGUCGCCAAGCCAAGUCCCUCCACAAAUUCAAGCCGUCCUCGAAGAUUACAAGGAUGUGAUGCCUCCAGAACUUCCAAAGAAGCUCCCACCUCCGCGAGAGGUAGAUCAUGCGAUUGAGCUAGAACAAGGCGCGAAGCCACCAGCCUUGGCACCCUACCGCAUGGCGCCACCCGAAUUAGAGGAGUUGCGGAGACAACUCAAAGACUUGCUGGAUGCCGGCUACAUUCGCCCCUCAAAGGCCCCAUUCGGUGCACCGGUCCUCUUCCAAAAGAAAAAUGAUGGAUCGCUGCGGAUGUGCAUCAACUAUAGAGCGCUCAACAAGAUCACCAUCAAGAACAAGUAUCCGAUUCCAUUGAUUGCGGACUUGUUCGACCAGCUUGGCAAAGCGCGGUACUUCACCAAACUUGACUUGCGCUCCGGGUACUACCAAGUGCGCAUCGCCAAGGGAGACGAACCGAAGACAGCGUGCACAACAAGGUACGGGUCUUUCGAAUUCCUUGUGAUGCCUUUUGGCCUUACUAAUGCACCCGCCACAUUUUGCACACUCAUGAACAAGGUACUCCAACCAUUCCUCGACCGCUUCGUGGUCGUGUACUUGGACGACAUUGUGGUGUAUAGCACCACACUCGAGGAUCAUGCCCAACACUUGCAACAAGUCCUCCAAGUACUUCGAGACAAUGAGCUCUUCCUCAAACUAGAGAAGUGCUCGUUUGCCCAACAAGAGGUGGAGUUCCUUGGCCACAAGAUUGCGGGCGGGAAGAUCAUGAUGGAAAAUGACAAAGUAAAGGCCAUCCUCGAUUGGGAGCCUCCCUCGAAAGUACCCGAGCUUCGCUCAUUCCUUGGGCUGGUGAAUUACUACCGCCGCUUCAUUAAGGGCUAUUCAGCCAAGGCGGCACCCUUGACGGAUAUGCUCAAGAAAAACAGAACGUGGCAUUGGUCCGAAGAGUGCUAACGUGCAUUCGAGGAGUUGAAGGCAAUUUCGGAGGAACCAGUCCUCGCUCUUCCGGACCACACCAAGCCCUUCGAAGUUCAAACGGAUGCCUCGGAUUUCGCCAUAGGUGGAGUCCUUAUGCAAGAAGGCCACCCAAUAGCGUUCGAGAGUCGAAAGCUAAAUGACACGGAACGCCGCUACACGGUGCAAGAAAAGGAGAUGACAGCCAUCAUCCAUUGUCUAAGAGUGUGGCGACAUUACUUGCUUGGCUCACACUUCACGAUCAUGACGGACAACGUGGCGACAAGCUACUUUCAAACUCAAAAGAAGUUGAGUCCGAAGCAAGCACGGUGGCAAGAUUUCCUUGCGGAAUUCGACUAUCGGCUAGAGUACAAACCGGGGAAAGCCAAUGUUGUUGCGGACGCUCUAAGCCGCAAGGCGGAAUUGGCAACACUUAGCAUGAGCCAACCGAAGUCCGACCUUGUCUCACGCAUCAAGGAAGGCCUCCAACAAGAUCCGCUAGCAAAGGAUUUGCUGGAGAAGGUGCUCGAGGGAAAGACAAGGCGGUUUUGGCAAGAGGAAGGCAUCCUCCUCACCAAGGGAGAUCGGCUGUUCGUGCCAAGGUGGGGAAACUUGCGGAAGGAAGUAAUCAAGGAGUGCCACGACUCUAAGUGGGCUGGUCACCCAGGAAUCGAGCGCACCACCGCACUAGUUCAAGCCUCGUAUUUUUGGCCGCACAUGAGGGACGACAUUGAGGCAUAUGUGCGAACUUGUCUUGUGUGCCAACAAGACAAAGUGGAUCAUCAACUUCCAGCGGGAUUGUUGGAGCCGCUACCACUAGCAACAAGGCCAUGGGAAAGUGUCUCCAUGGACUUCAUCACAUCGCUGCCCAAGUCCGAAGGUUGCGGAAGUAUCAUGGUCAUUGUCGACCGAUACAGCAAGUACGCCACAUUCAUUGCUGCACCAGUCGAUUGCAAAGCGGACGAGGCAGCCCGCCUAUUUGUCAAGCACAUUGUGAAGCUUUGGGGAGUACCGAAGAGCAUUGUGAGCGACCGAGACCCUCGGUUCACUGGACGCUUUUGGACGGAACUCUUCAAAAUGUUGGGGACCGAUCUCAAGUUCUCGACAAGCUUCCACCCACAAACGGAUGGGCAGACCGAGCGCAUUAAUGGCCUCCUCGAGAUGUACCUGAGGCAUUAUGUGAGCGCUCACCAGCGGGAUUGGGCGAAGCUACUCGACAUCGCCCAAUUUUCUUAUAACUUGCAGCGAAGUGAGGCUACGGGCAAGAGUCCGUUCGAGAUCAUCAUGGGAUUCCAGCCCAUGACCCCCAAUGCCAUAGCCUCGACUUACGGAGGGAAAAGCCCCGCGGUACACAAGCUCGCCCGCGAACGGCAUGAGGAAGCGGACAUCACACGAGCCUACCUCGACAAAGCCGCGAGGAAGAUGAAGAAAUGGACGGAUACAAGGAGACGACAUGUUGAGUACAAGGAAGGUGAUCAAGUCAUGAUCAAGCUCCUACCCCAACAAUUCAAGACUUUGCGGAAAGUUCACAAGGGGUUAGUGAGGCGCUACGAGGGACCCUUCCGAGUUGUUCGACGUGUGGGCAACGUCUCGUAUCAACUCCAACUUCCGCCAAGACUCAAGAUCCAUCCGGUCUUCCAUGUGAGCCUUCUCAAGCCAUAUCACGAAGACAUGGGAGAACCAAGUCGCGGAGAAUCGAGGCGCGCGCCAACUGCCGUUGUCACCGCGUUCGACAAAGAUGUGGACUACAUCAUUGCGGACCGAACGGUUUCGAGGAGGGGCGUGCCAGCACAUAGCGAGUACUUGGUGAAGUGGAAAAACCUCCCCGAGAGCGAAGCCACUUAUCGCUGAGCACAUCCAGCACUUCAAGCACGAGACCGCGACGAGGACGCCACGAGCUUAGGUGGGGGAGGAUGUUGCGGACCGCCCAAUUCGCUAGCCCAAUUGCCCACAAUUUCGGGCUAGAGAGCCAACACAAGGCCAAGAGUGCUAGCUUGGCCCAAUUCCGGAAGGUUCUAGGCAACUCUAGCACAUGUGAACAUGUAAAUAUUCUAGAAUACUUUAUACAAUUCCAGCACAUGUAAAUAGCUAGGAAAUUGUAUAAUACUCUAGAGUUUGACCAAGUUUGGCAAAGUUAGGCAAAGCCUCCCCUAUAAAUAUGGGAUGGCAUUAGGCAUUUGUAUCCAACAAGCAUUGUAAUCUCUCUUUGUGCAAUACAAGUUUCUUUGGCUCAAUUGCUCUCUUCUCUUGUUCGAGAAUCUCUAGGCUUACUUAGCAACAUUCGGCAAAGUUGUCUAAGUGCCGCACGGGUUAGCUGCGCAAAACACUCAUCCCGUGACAGUAGGCUAACAUUUUCUUUAUUCUAUCAUGCGUUCUGUUUUGAUGUCAUACGUGGAAAAUAAUUAAAUCAUUUAAAGAAUUGAAAGAAAAUGAAAAAAAAAGGAUAAAAAGAAUCUCACGCGCUCACUAAUUGAGCUCUUAACAAGUAGUAUGAAUUAGAAUGCGUACUCAGCUGUCAGUUGGAAAUUGAUUCAGACUUGUAUUAAUUUGUAAUCAAAGAAGAAAAUUUCAACAAGUGCUUCCCAUAUGGAUAUUGGAUCUAACGAGAAAUUCUUAUUUUUUUAGGUUGCGUUGCCUAACUUGGAGGCUUUGGAGAUAUCUGCAAUUAAUGUCGACAAGAUUUGGCACUACAAUCAUCUUCCGGCGGCCGUGUUUCCUCACUUUCAAAGUUUAACACGAUUGAUUGUGUGGCGUUGUCACAAAUUAAAAUACAUAUUUUCAGCGUCUAUGAUCAGAAGCCUUAAGCAGCUCCAACACCUACGUAUACACUACUGUAAGAAUUUACAGGAGAUCAUUUCUGAAAACAGAACAGAUGAAGUGAUCCCUCAUUUUGUCUUUCCACAGCUCACCACUCUGAGACUCGAAGGUCUACCAAAACUUAGAUGUUUGUACCCUGGAAAGCAUACUUCGGAAUGGCCCGCACUAGAAAUUCUUGUAGUGUAUCGUUGUGACAAAUUAAAGAUAUUCGCUGCAGAUUUAUCGCAGAAUAAUGAGAAUGAUCAACUUGGCAUUCCUGCACAACGGCCCCCAUUGCCAUUGGAAAAGGUAUGAAGCCAAGUUCUAGAUUUUUUAUCAAUAGCUUAUUUUUAACUUCGAAAAAUAUGACAAAGCAUCGAUAAAUUAAUACUCAAUAAAUUGAAAACUUUUAUUAUACAAUAAUCUUUGCUAGUCUAGAUUAAGAGAUCAAUGUGGUAGAUUAAUAAUUAUAUGAACUUUUUUUGGUAUAGCAUUUGUAAAAGAAUCUUGAGUCUUUCCAUAUAGAAGAACUUACAAAAUAAAUUAGUAAUUUAUUAUUGUGCAAUAAAAUAAUUUCGAGUCAGUAUAAAUCAACCUUUUUUCCCUAAUUUCUUUUUUACCUCUAAAAUUAACAUAUAAAAAAUCAUUUAAUAAAUUUUAUCAAUAAUUCAAUUUUUUUUUUAAAAAUAUAAUAUAAAACAAAUACUAUAAAGUCACUGCGUGUCAUUGGAUUACUCAAAAUCAUUUGAGAGAUCAUCAAUUGACCUUAUCAGUUAUUAUGAUUGACGAUGAUCAGAUCUUACCCAACUUGAUGGAACUAUCACUAAGUGGAAAAGACGUGGAGAUGAUUUUGCAGGCCGAUUUCCCACAACACCUUUUUGGCAGUCUUAGAGAACUAGAGAUUGCUGCAGAUGACUCAGCUUGUUUUCCAAUCUGGAACGUACUGGAGAGAUUUCACAAUCUCGAAAUACUCACACUGUGUGAUUUUUCAUCCCACGAAGAGCUAUUUUCGAUGGAAGGAUGCUUAGAGAAACAUGUGGGGAAGUUGGCAAUGAUAAAAGAAUUAGAGCUGUACCGGCACUAUCAUCUGAAGCAGCUGUGCAAACAAGACUCCAAACUUGGCCCCAUUUUUCAGUAUCUUGAAAUUCUAAGAGUAUAUCAUUGUCAAAGUCUGUUAAUUCUAUUGCCAUCAUCAUCGGUAUCUUUUGGGAACCUAACAAAACUUGUAGCUUUCGGUUGCAAGGGAUUGAUACACUUGGUAACAUCCUGCACAGCAAAAACUCUAGUGCAACUCGUCACGGUGCGUAUACAAGGAUGCAGAGCAAUGACAGAGGUGGUAAUAAAUGACAAAGAAGGAGUUGAAAAAGAAGAGAUUGUUUUCAGCAAAUUGAAGGCGUUGAUUCUGUGUGAUUUAGAAAGUCUCACAAGUUUCUGCUCUGCCAAUUACACCUUCAGAUUCCCAUCUUUGGAAUAUCUGGAAGUGAUUGGUUGUCCCAAGAUGAAGAUUUUCACUACAGGAGAAUCAAUCACGCCUCCGAGAGUAGACGUCCAGUAUGGAGAGACAUCGAAUCAACGGCGUUGGGCUAAUAAUGAUCUAAACACAACCAUACAACAAUUACAUGCUGAGAAGGUACGGAUAUACAUAUUACUCUCUAUCUCCCAUGAUAAAUUUUUACAAAAUUUGCUUUUUCUUUUUAAAUAAAAUAUAGAUAAAAUGUUUGUUAUAAAGUAAAAGUUUAAAUUGAUGAAUAAGAAUUUUAUUUUCAGCUGUUGGCGGGGUCGUCGAUAUACUCUACGCAGUACGACUAAUUUCAUAGGCUUCUUAUGACUUGGAGUUGCGAAUUUUAUUUAAUUUAUUUAAUCCCAUGGCUUGUUUCGCAAUUUCAUCUUAAUUAUUUAGAAUAGGUCCCUCGGUUUACUGUUAAACUAGGAAAUAGAACCGCGCUUCGCGCGGCUUUAAAAAUAUCAAAUUAAAAAUAAAAAAUUUGAUGAAAUUCAAAUUUCUUAAGAUAACCUUCUGAUCUCUUCUCAAAAGGAAGAUUAAACAAGUUAAUUUUGUAUGUUUAUUUCAAUAAUAAUAACGAUCGCACAUAAUAAUAAUAAUAAUAAAAAUAAUAAUAAUAAUAAUAAUUGGCACCUGACGACGUUGAGGCUCAUGAGCAUUCCACAAAAUAUAAGUUUCAAUUGCAUCGAGCCCUCCAUCCUUUGCCUUCUGUAUAAGAUCUGGCCACAUCUGCACAAAUAUAACGCAUAUAGAAAUAAAUCAUAUCAAAUUUUACAUAUUUUAAGAAUAAUAAUGCUGUUGGAUCCAAAAAUAUUGCCCAUAAUUUUUCCUAAACAUGAAAGCGCACCGUUUUGAAUGUGGGAUCAUGUUUGGCUUGUUAGGAAAAAAAAUUAAGAUAAUAUUUUUGCAACAAAGUAGCUUUUUUUUUUUUGGUUAAAAGAAGAAGAAAAUGUGAAAGUGCAAGUGAUUUGAGAAAUUGUAAAUUAAUUAUUUGCAUACAGUACUUGUGGACUACUGCGAAAAUAUAAUGAAUUGCACCAGAGAAGAUAACUCGUCGUUCUCCAUUAAUUAUAAUGGUAGUUGCAUCAUAAUCGACUUGUGUUGCUGAUGAUGACAAGCAACUUAAAUUUAGAAUAAGAAGAAUUAUGCCUUAGUGGCAUUGUUGAGGGAAGAUGAAAGAACCUCUCUUCCUAUGUUAAUUAAUUAAUGUAUUUUAAGCCGCUAAAGUUUAAUUGCUAGUAUAAUAAAAUUUGAAGAAGCCAAAAGACACUAAAUAAAAGGUUGCAUAAUUAAAUAUGAGAUUAUGGCAUUAAAAUUAGGCCCUUAUGACAUUGUUGAAGGAAGAUGAAAGAGCCUCUCUUCAUAUGUUAAUUAAUUGAUGUAUUUUAAGCUACUAAAGUUUAAUUGCUAGCAUAAUAAAAUAAAUGAAUGUUUCAAAAGAUUUAUUAUUAAUUAUUAUUCAUGAUUAUAUAUUGUUGGAUUUCAAUAGAAAGAGGAAGAGACAUGAAAAUUAAACUUAGGCCCUAGCUGCAUUAUUGAGGGAAGAUGAAAGAACCCCUCUUCCUAUGUUAAUUAAUUGAUGUAUUUUAAGCAACUAAAGUUUAAUUGCUAGCAUAAUAAAAUAAAUGAAUAUUUCAAAAGACUUAUAAUUAAUUGUUAUUAAUGGUUACAUAUUGUUGGAUUUAAAUAGAAAGAGGAAGAAAUAAUGAUGCCACAAAUCUUAAAUAUUUAAUGUUUAUAGAGUUUGAAGAAGCCAAAAGGCACUAAACAAAAUAUUGAAUAAUUAAAUAUGGGAUCAUGACAUUAAAAUUGGGCUCUAAUGGCAUUGUUGACAUUAAAAUUGGACUUAUAAUUAAUUAUUAUUAAUGAUUACAUAUUGUUGAAUUUAAAUAGAAAGAGAAAAAAAGUACAAAGAAUAUUCACCAAUAUUUUAGAUAUUUUAGAUAAUAGAAAAUAUAAAAAGAUGAGGAAUGAUAUAUAUUAAUAAAGUUACUAUUUAUUAAAUGAGUUAAAUACAAUCAAAUUAAUUAUGAGAAGAUGAAAAGCUAAAUCUAAAAAAAAUUCUCUAUUUAUUAGAUAAUAGAGAAUAUACAAAGAAGCAAAAUGGUGAUGCCACAUCACCUCCUCAAGUCCUAGCUUUAUAUAGAUAUAUAGAUAUAUAGAUAGAUAGAUAUAGAUUUGCAAUGCAAUUUUAAUGAUCCCUUCAGACUUUUAUGGACAGAUUUUGCAUAAUUGAAUGUCUUUUUAGUCUAGUUUAAUUUGAGUCUUUUUCUUCUUCUUUUUUUUUUUUUUUUGGGAGCUCCCCUCGUCUUCUAAAAUUUUAUAACUCCUUGCAUACGUUUUUAUGAUAAAAUUUCAUUAAAAGCCUUCGUAUUUUAUAAUUCGUUGAAAACAUGCAUACUUUUUCCAUUCUUUCUUUGCCAAUUAUUUAUUCUCAUCAUUGCUGUUCUUUUAUUUUAGUUUGUGUUCUGUUUGUUCAUUGGGUUUGCUUUUCUUCACGCCUAUAUUUCCUUGGAAAGUUAGAAGGCAAGGAAAGUACUUAGAAAAUGUUCUUGUUCUUCCCUAUGAACACAUAAUUAAAGAACAGCUGAAUAUCAUUCAUCGGACUAAAAAAAUUUAAAAAAAAAAACGUAAUCAGUGCAUUGUUCCUAUAACAAAUGCUUAAACCAUCAAAUGUUAGCUAUGAACAAGUAUAUUGUGGAAAUAUUGUUUGAAAAUAUUUCAUAAAAAAUCAAGUUUUCACAAACCAAAAAGGGACUAAUUUGGUCUAGCAUAUUCAUAAUAUUUUCUCCACUGUUCCUGUUAAAAUUUCUCUACUCUAUGAUUGCAGAAUGUUUGGAUACUGAUGACGAUUUAAGUCACUCUUCUUCUGUGCGCAAUUUGAAAUAAGGUCGUUUUUCUUUUUUCCUCUAUUCAAAGUUUACAUUCUGAGGGGUUCCCGUUUCCAUCUUCGUGAUCUUCUUGUGAUUCACUGCAUCGUGUCGCUACAUCUGUGAUAGUGUGAGUUGCAACCUGUCUGUUUUCUUUGUUUGAUCAUUGUAUGUAUUAAAAAAGUUUACAUUUCAUUCUAGAUAAGCUCUUUGUAUGUAUUAAAAAAAUUUUAUUCUCAAUAUAUAUGACUCAAUGAGAGGUCUUUUAUUAUAUAUAUGUCAUGAAUUUCUAUUGUAUUUUGAGAUUUGAUGGUGUAUUAUUGUCUCAUUGCAAGGUCUUGUAAUCACUCUGAUUCUCAUUUGAGGAGGUUGGUCUCGUCUAUGUGUAUGUAUUUAUAUCCACAAGAAAUUUGAUAAAUGGUCUUGUCGUUUUCUCAUUAAAACAUCUAGUGCUUCAUGGGUUGGAGGGCUACUAGGCAUCAGGGCCAGAUCUUUAAACUCAAAGUUCUUCGUGUCAUUUACCCAUUUGAUUAUCAAAUAGUCAUAAAAGCAUAUAAAUUCAAGUUAGUGUAUCAUUUUUACACAAUAUACUAAAACUAACACAAGAACUUGGCCGACAUUUUCAGUUGAAUAACUCAGACCCCCGAACUUCCUCGGGCUGACAUCCCAAAGUGAAAAUGUCUAAAAAAAUAGUUGCAACAUUUACCCAUUUGAUUAUGAUUCAAAAAAAAACACAAACGGAGAAAUUAUUGGGAUUGUUAAGAUAGUUAAAAUGGUUAGUUAUUGUUUCAGUUUGUUAAGCAAGAUAGGUAGAGUUACUGACGUGUUAGCUGAGCUGGCAUAAGUUAUUCAACUCUCAGGUGCUUAGAAACCUUGUAUAAAUACAUUUGUAAUCAGCUAAAGAAUGGAUGAUUCAGAUUUAUUCAUCAAAUCCAGCUCUUAGAUGAUCUCUGUUCUUUCUUUCAUUUUCUCUCAUUUUCUUACUUAUCAAACAGAUUAGAAACUUUAACUUGGUAUCAGAGCCUGAAAGGUUUGGUAGUUGUUCUGUUUUAUCUUCAGUUUCAUUUUGUGAUCACAGAAACGUUAGGACUUGCUUGCAUGAACGCACAUUAAACCACGGAAAUUUUGUCAGACAUGCACGCAAAUGAAAUUUUAUCAGCAGUCUUGUAAUUUUCUAUUUUUGUUGUUGUCGUCAUUUUUUUACUACUAGUACUGUUUGAAAUUCUAGUAUUUUGGAUGUGAAAUUUAUUAUAUUAUGAUAGGUCCCAGUCAGAAUUAGCGGAAACAACAAGUAAAUAAUUUGUUCUUCUUAGGGUAAGAACUACCGCAAUUGCUAAUUGAAUUAGAUAAAAGUCUGAUAUCUUUUUAUUGAAUUAUUCGAGUCUAUUUAUAGAACAAAAUUAAUGAAAUAAAGUAGUUAAAAUCAAUUAAACCACUUAGCUAUAAUUUCGAAGUAAAUAAUAAUCUUAAAGGAAUCAUGAUUAAAUCUGAAUUCUUCAUCAAUACGGCUUGACUUAGUAAGCUUUCCGUUGAUUUUGUGAAGAGUCCUUGAAGGAACGUGAUGCCCACCUCAUGCAUGGCUUGCAUGUUACUUGCAUGUGCCCAUACAUUUUCGUUAUUGGCUUGCAUGGUUGCUUGCAUGUGCCCAUGCAUAUUCGUCAUAUUUGUUGUUGGGUUUUGCUUCUCACUUGGACUUGCGUAUACUCUUAUCAUAUUAGAUAUUCGACAUAUAUAUGAUGCUGAAUACAGGGUAUGUGUUGUCUAAAUUUAUUUUAUUUUGUUUGCUUCACAUCCAAUUUUCAAAAGCUUUGAAGAAUGCUAAGAGAAGGAGCAAAGGGCUAAAGAGUCAAAUGUAACAUUGCUAUUAAUUUGUUAAUUGCCAUCAUUUUUAAUUUUUGCCCUGCUUGUUCUGUUUACUCAUUUAUUUCACUUGGUUUUGCUCCACGUCUAUCUUUCCUAACUUAGGAAGGCAAGGAUUUUGAAAGUUCUGAAGAAGAUUCAGGUCACUCGUGUGAAUAAGAGCUGUGUUACUGUUUAAAAGUUUUCAUGCUCUGGAAUAAAAUUUGCUUUACUGUGUUACUGGUCAACUUCAUUAUUCUACUAAUGCUUUACUUCAUCUUCAUUGUAUCACUACAUUGACAGCGUUGACAGUGUAAGAGUCGUUUUCACGAUUUUUAAGAAAUUUUGAUCACAUUAAACUUUUGAUCUGAGUUCAUAACAAAAAUCAAAACGGCGCAUGACAUCAAGAUUAUGAUGAAUCAAAUUGAACUCCCAAUACGUUAGUUCAUAAAAAAUGCUUUUCUUCUUCCAAGUAAUCUUAUCAUUUCUUUCAUUUUAUUCAUUCUCCUCUUUUCUCCUCUUUUCAAGUCUUCAAUCUUAUACUCAGUAAGUACAUUACUGAACUGCUUUUUCACCUCAGCUCCAGACAACCGAGAAGGUGCUUGUCCGGUUGUCCCCACUCUCUAGUUUUAUCAGAUGGCACUAUAUUUUCGGAACCUAUGAUUUGUUGGUAAAAAUCGACGGUGACCCACGUGACAAUUUUCUACUAUGUAUCAACCAAUUAGAUCUAGUGUUUUGUUGGCAAACAAGAAAUGCUUAUUUACCUUUAAUACUCCACCCAAACAAGUUGGCAUAUGCUAGAAAGUCGGAGAUAGUCCAUAACAAUGCUGCGUGUGACUUGAACAUUUGAUUAUGUGAUGCAUUAUGCAUCAUUCCAACCAUACUAGCAUCACUACCCGAGUCAUGACUAACCUGUUUCUUAGUUAGAUUUCAAAGAUGAAGAUGGCUCACCCUCCAAUAUCCAGUUUUAAUACUUUAACCAAUAGCCAUUUAUAAUGAUAUGGUCUCUUGCCACUUUCCUUAUAAGGAAAUAUCGAUAUUACGACACUUCUUAGAAGGACAAUAAAUUCUUUUAUCACCAACAACAUUCUCAAAUGCAAAAUCUAUAAAUUUUUUGACCCAUCAGUAUAUGAAUUGGAUAUCUAUUUGGCAAACCAACCCAACUCUGGUCCAUGACUAUGUCCUUUUAAUGCACUAGAAAAAUUAGUUAAAUAAAUCACUUUAAUUCUUCAUUUCUACUACUAAACAAGAUAUUUUCAUGUGUGCGCAGUUUCGCAAUAUAAUAAAAAAAAUUAUUAUACAAUUUUAUGGUUAAUCUCAUUAGAACGUUUAUAUAUAUGGAAGCAAGCAAAGCCACAAGAAUCAGAGAAAAAGAUGUGAAAAUUAAAGUAUAUAUACAACAAUAAUUAAUCUAAAAAACAGUUUGCAAUACCUUCUGUAAAGAAAUAUCCUCACCCACUGCUGAGAACUUCACUUGGCUAUCAAUUACAGAUAUAUAAAGCCUGUUACCUAGAAACAAAAAAUUAGGUCAGCCAGCUAAAACAUAUUUAUAAACCAACAUUGGAGAUAGUACUCCAUUUAUAAACAAAAUUACAAGACUCAAAACCAAGUCGACUCAGCAAAAUCAUAACCGAUUACAUUCAUCCCACUCAGCUCCUCCACUCCCAUCAAUAUAUCCAACAUUCCCUUCAUAUUUACAAAAGGUAAGUGGUCCUAUAUAUCCCACUCAAGAAUGCAUAAGUUUCUUCAAUCUUAAGUAUCUAAAGUUUUCCUCUACGUUUAUAGAAACUUCGGAAGCAUCUCCCUAUAGUUCUUCAAGUACACGACAUAGAUAUAUGAAUGUUUAUGUGUUAUGCCAAAACAACACAUGACACCCAUUUGUCUAGUAUGCACCCAGAGAACAUGAGGAGCAGCUGCUGAAAAACCCAUUUUUACGUGGGAAAAAAAUUUCAGGCACUAGCUGCCAUAGAAAUCUAUGCAUUACCAAACUGUCCAAGCCUAGAUAUUUCAAGAAUUAUUAAUAGACAUAAGAUCCUCACUAUCAUCCAAAAGAUGACACUAAUAAAACAUGUGUCUAUUAAUAAUUUCUUAAAGGAGUUUAAGCUUUCAAUGCAUGUAUCAAAAGUUUAAAAUUGAAUCUGAAACUUGAAUAACACAUAAAAAUCAUAAAUCUCUUCAAUUUAUUCCUAAUAAAAUGUAGCAUUUUUUCACAUUUCAUUUCUUAAGCAAAACCAUAAAAAAUUACAAACAAUAAAUACAUUUUCUAGCACUGAUGCACAUUAUGUUUACUGAGCAAUAAGUUUUAAGUCAUUCAUAUUAAAAUACUUCUUCCUAUUCUAUCAACAAAUAACUAGUACGUACACACAAUUAAUAAAUUAAAUGUAACCUGGUUGUGAAUCUUGCAAAGUCUUCCUAUUUUUUUUUUUUUUUUUUGGUGGGGGGGGGGGGGGAGGGGGGAGGGGGUGGUUAUGCUCAUUUGUGUGUUGUUAACAGAAAUUGAUCCAAAGCCUCAGUUUUAAUUAGCUUCAUUAUAGCCAAUGAUUAGGUGUUUAAAAACCAAUGAAUAUUUUUUAUAAGAAAUCAACAAUAUUGUUGAAAGAAAAACCAAAUAAAAAUAAUAAAGCAAUGCAUAGAUUAAGGCUCUUUAUUAUCUAAUAACUAAUCAAACUAAGUUGUGGGUAAAGGAGAAUAUGUUUGUUUGGCCAAUAAUAAACUCAAGGAAUCACCAAUAAUCACCUAGUUACUAUUCCUUAUGCCAUGCAAUGUAAUGGCGUCGGUAAUGGCGACAAGGCAGGCAAUAACUAGCUAGCUAGUUAUGAUAGUUGCUUAACUUAACCUACUGGAAAUCUGAAGACCAAAAUGAAGAAACUUUGCCUAGAACUAGAAUAGGAAAACAUUCAUACCCAAAACCAAUAUACAUGAUUAAGAAACUUGAUUAUAUGUAUAUUUUUGUUUGCCACACCAAAUCCCACUAUUUCCAUACUCAUAAGCACAAAAAACCAUCGCAAAAAUGAAUGACCAUAUAAAAUAAAAUAGGUCGCAGGACAUUGAGAAUAGGACAAUAUGAUUUAUGUACUGUAAAAUAACUAUAUCUGCAGUCAACUAUAUUUCUGUUAGAACUCUAAAGUUUUCCAUUAAAUUUUUUUCCCUGUUAGGUAAACCACUUAACUGAAACACUUAAGCAAGAUUGACAAUCAUAGACAUAAAAGUAUUAAUAGGCUCAUUCAAGUGAAAUGAGCAUUAUUUCACAUAUCCUUUAGGCUUUUAAGUCAUUUAGAAGUCAUUCAUGUUAAACAAUUUCUUCAUAUACUUUCAAUAUAAUUAGUACAUACACAAUUAAUUAAUUAAAUAAAUCUGUUUCAGCUAGCACAGGAACUUAAGCAAUCAGAGCUAUUAGUUAUAGCUAGGACUUGAAUGAGGCACCUUUCAAAGUUCAAGAGGAGCAUCUGAACAGAAUGAAAGCAGUUUGUAGAAAUGGUAGUGAUGCUUUACAUCUACAUGCUCUUACACAAUAUGAACUUUCAUUUAUUCAAGAACAUAACACUAAUCCAAGCUCUUACUCUACAAGUCAAUUCAGUUUGUAGAUGCAAGCCAUUGUAAAAACUUUUGUGUUAUAAUUUCCGUAAAUGGAACAUGACAUUACUAAUAUAGAAUCAGCAAUGUUAUAUAACUUAUCAGACAAUAUAACAAGCACUUGGCGAGCAUAUAAGAUAAACUAAAACAAGUUAAUUAGAAAAUGAAACUAAAACCCAAGCUCCGCUAUUCAUUGUAGAAGCUUUAAACAUAAAAUUAAACUAAAUCUAAUGCCAAAACAUUAGAAUGGAUGUUGGAAUUAAAGCUAAAUUCAAUAGUAAUCCAAAUGAAUCCAUUUGAACUUUGUAAACUCCGCAGAACAAAAUUAAUUUGAGUGAGCAAACUCACCAAUGGCACAAGAACAGAAGGGCUUCAACUUCUAGGAACAAAAAACAUUGCCGGUGGGACAAAAAUUGACAUUAAUGGCUACAAUACGAAUUAAAGAGAUCAAAACCUAUAAUUACAAGCUAAGAAAGAGAGGAAACUCAUAAUCACAAGCUUACCUGAAACGAAGAGAGAGAAUAAGAUGAAGAAGAAGAUCGCUGCCGUUUUACGCCAUUCUCCGGCUACCAGUAAGGUUUAGGAUGCUGGCCAGGCACGAGAGAGAAUUUGGGACUUUGGUCUUCAAAAUAUUGACUCCAGCAAAUAGUUUUCUAUUUAGAAACAAAUUUAUAACUCUACCGUCACUCUCUACCGUCACGUGGUUAGUAACAUAAGUGAGAGCAGUCUAGCCGUCACAUAAACGGUCACAAAAGCAACUGGCUGUUACAAGUUUAGGAAUGGCAGAUAUUGCCGCGGGGACAUGACCCUCGAGAUUUUCCCAAUUCAGGUGGGUACAUAAUUUUUUACUUAAUUUUUUAUUUGAAAAGGAGACGGAGAUAGUUUUUUUACCUAAUUUCUUAUUCAGAGAAAGAAUGGGGGAUCGGCAGAAUCCCUAUUCUCUUCUAAUUUUUUGAUUUAAUUUUAUUUUUUAAAAUUAUUUGUAAAUAAAUAAUAAAAUAUAAAUAAUAAAAUAUUAAAUAUUAGUAUAAAUAAAAAAAUAAAAUAAUUAUAUUAUUAAAAUUUAGGCCUAAUUGACUACAUUAAUAUUUGGAUGAGAAAGUUAUGCUUAGGAUGAAAGAUUUUAAUAUUUUGAGUUGGUGUAAAAUAAAUGUCUAUAGAUAUCCUAUACUGGCAUGAAUUGCUAGAGAUAUUUUGGCAAUUCUAAUUACAAAUGUUGCUUCUGAAUUAGCUUUUAGCACCAGUGGUAGAGUACCGUAACACGCUUUAUUCAAGCACAUUGGAGGCUUUAAUAUGUUGUCAAAGUUGACUACAAGCUUACAAUGACAGUAUGAGUUUAUUUUACAUUGUAAUUAUAUUAUAUAAUUAUUAAUAUUUUCACUUAGAAUUUACAUUACUUAUAUUAUUUUUGUUGUUUUAAAUUUGAAAUCUGAGGCUAUCUCUCAAUUUGUCACAUUCCUCGAGGAAGAACAAGAAGAGUAGGAGACACAAGAGGUAAAUACUUUUAUUAGAAAUAUUGAUUAAGUAUCUAUAUUCAUUUCAUUUAUCUCAUUGUUGAUAUAAAAGUAAUUUCUUUUUUUUUAUUAUAUGAUUUUGAAGAUUGCCGAAGAUAAUUAUUAUGGUGAUUUAUACUUUGUAAUGUGACUUUUGUAAUAGAUUAAUGUUAAUGUAAGAUAUAUCGUCAAACUUUAUUUUUAUUUUUAUUUUUUAUUUUAAUAUGAUUAAAUUAAAAUUUAAAACUAAAAACGUAUCAGUUAUUCGAGAAUCGAGGACCUUUAAGGAUCCCCUAUUAUUAUUUGGGGAGGGGAGGGGGAUUCCCUAAAGCAAUUUUGUGAAUGGGAAGAGGCCAGGGAUAUAUACAGAAUAUCGAGAAUGGGUACGGGGAGGUCGGUCUCUUCCCCUCCCCUUCCCAUUGCCAUUCCUAACAAAGUUGGCAAUACAUGUACGGGCCGCUUUUGUAAAAUUGCUUUAAGGGUCGUUUGGGAUUGCUUUUGGGAAUAGCAUGCAAGAUAUAUAUAAAAAAUAAAAUCGUAGAAUAACUUUUACCUCUAAUUCGAUUUUUUCUUCUUUUUUGUAAAUUAUUAUGCAUUUAUAUUAAAGUCACUGUGUAUGAUUGGAUUAUUAAAAGUUAUUUGAGAGAAUAUGAAUUGACUUAAUAAGUUAUUACGUGAUUGAUGAUGAUCAGAGCUUACCCAACUGGCAUUAAGUGGAAAAGACUCGAGGAUGACUUUGCAGAGCGAUUUCCCACAACACCUUUUUGGCAGUCUUAAACUACUACAAACAGUGGAUGAUGACUCAACUUGUUUUCCACUUGAUUUACUUGAGAGAUUUCAUAAUCUGGAAACUCUCAUACGGCGUCGUUGUUCAUGCGAAGAGGUAUUUUCGAAUGGAGGAUACUUGAAGAAACAUGUGAGGAAGUUUACAAUGAUAAAACAUUUAGAUCUGCACAAAUUUAAUCAUCUGAAGCAAUUGUGGAAACAAGACUCCAAAUUGGACUCGUUUGUUCAAUGCCUUGAAAUUCUAAAUGUACAUUAUUGUCAAAAUCUGUUAAUUCUUUUGUCUUUGCUGCUAAUUCUUUAAUUCUUUUCGGUUCUUAAGUUUCUCUGUGAUUUGUUCUGGAUUGAUUCUUUUUGCAUCUUGGUUGUUUGAUUUGCGAUCUUGGCGAGUAUUUGGAGUUGAUCAUUAUCGAAUCUGUCACUCCAAACUCUACAGCGACUCUUAUCAAUGUUGGUAUAUGGAUGCAGAGCAAUGAGAGAGGUGGUGAUAAAUGACGAAGAUGGAGCAGCAAAUUUUGAAGAAGAGAUUGUUUUCACCAAAUUGAAGAUUUUGUAUCUGUAUGAUUUGGAUAGUCUCACAAGUUUCUGCUCUGCCAAUUACACCUUCAAAUUCCCAUCUUUGGAAGAUUUAUCUAUAAUUGGUUGUCCCAAGAUGAAGAUUUUCACUAAAGGAGAAUUAAACGCGCCUCUCAGAGUAAACUUCUACUAUGGAGAGAGAGACGAUCAACAGCCUUGGGCUAAUAAUGAUCUUAACACAAUCAUACAGCAUUUACAUGCUGAGAAGGUACGAAUAACUCACUAUCACCAGUGGAAAAAUUUUAUAAAAUUUCUCUUUUAAAUAAAAUGCACCAAAUAGAUCAGAUAUUUGUUAUAAAGUAAGUUUAUGAUCACGUACUGGCAGAUGGGAUACAUAUGUGCUUCAUUCUUGAAACUCUACCCUAUUUAAAAUUGAUAUUUUCACAAGAGUUAGAGAAUCCUAUUCAUUCAAUUAUCCAAAAUCAGAGAAUCUUAUUCAUUCAAUUACAAAAUUUCGUUAAUCGUUAGUUUUUAACUUCAUUACUGUAUGGAAGUCCUGUCAAAUUAAAUUGCUGUUGUUAAAUUUAUUAAAUCUCUUGCUUCCCUGCAAAUCUCUGCGUGCUUUACUUUUAAUUGAAACUAAUGAAUGAAAAUUUUACUUUCAGCUGUUGGAGGGGUCCUCAUCUUAUUCAAUGAUGUAUAUGUCCUAAUGGCAUUGGCCUUUUACUUUAAUUACAAGCGAGUUGUGAAUUUGAAAAACAAAGUCCCAGGUAAUUCAAUUUCAUUUCAUUUUAUUUUAUUUCUUGGCUUGUUUUAUCGCUUCAUCUAAAUUGUUUGGAAUACACCACUAGUUUAUUUUUACUUUUAGAAUGAGUUUUAAUGUUUUGUUCUGAGAUUUAUAUGCUGAUUUUAUAUCAUUAAAGGUCUUAGUGACUUAGUUUGGUCUUCACUUAUUUAUUUAUUUAUUUUUUUGACGUCGUGGCUUUAUAAUGUGUUUUUUUUUUUAAUUUUGAAUUUUAUAAUUCCUUGAAAAUGUCAUUGAAAGGGCCAGCACUUUUAUGUGGAAACCAUCUCAUCCUCCUUAUUUCAAACUAUUAAACAACCAAAUGUAUCCUAACAUAUAUGUUUAGAAUCAAUCUACUCAUUAAGAUAUAUGGUAAUGGUGUCAUCUGUUUGCUAUAGUUUGAUUACAAGAGAACUUUUCCAUUUGUUAGUUGCCAUCUUUGUUGAUCUGUUAAUUCAGUCUUCUUCUGUUUGUCCUGUUUAUCUGUUUAUUUCAACCUUUCUUUCAAAACUUAGAAGGUAUGGAAAGAGCAAGUACUUAGAAAUUGCGAGAAUUAUAUCAAAUCAUGCAUAUAUGCCCCUGCCUAUGAACUCUUAGGAACAAUCGAAUAUCUUUCCUUGAAUAGCAUAAAACAAAAUCUACAGAUCAUUAAACCAUCAAAAGUUAGCUAUGAACAACUAUAUAAAAAUCAUUUGUUUCUCACCUUUUCGUGAGUCUGAGAAGUUGUAAAUUCUACUGAGUUUCUCACCUUUUUUUUUUUUUGGACAAUUGGAGUUUUUAGUUUAUGAAACUUAAUGCCUAUAUUUCUCACAUUGUAAAAGUGUUUUGAAAAGAUGGUUUAUAUUGCACCAUAAAAAUGUGGUCUGAUAAACCAACAGGGGAGUAGUUUGAUCCAGUUACGUGAAAUGCAUGCAAAAUAAUAUUUUCUCUAUAGUUACUGAAGAGAAUUUUGGUCACUUUGGUGUGCAUUAUCUGGAAUAAAGUCGUUUUCCAGUUUCUUCAAAGUUUAUGUGCGGAGGACUUCCGGUUUCCAUCUCAAGUUCAAAUACUAAUAAAGAUGAGUAAAUUCAUCAUCCGUGUGUCUGCUCUUUCUAUGCAUUUUGACAUUUUUUAUUAAUGCGUCUUUAACAGUAGUUUUUUUUCACAGAAAAAAUUGUCAGUAUUUUGUGUCAAAUAAAAAAUUAAAAAAUAUAUAUGUAUUUUGGGCGAAACUUUUUGCGAAAAAUAAUGAGUGCCAACACUUUAUAACUUAAUAUGUAUUUUGGGCUUGGCGAAGUUACGGUUCAUGUAACUAAUCAAUUUAAUCAUUACCGGAUAAAAUUGAAUACACCAGUAGUGUUUUUCCACGGAGAUAUUGCCAAAUUUUGUGUCAAAUAAAGAAUAAAAACCAUAAAUACCAGUAGUGUCCGAUUUUGAAAGCAAAGCAGCAUACAUAUUAACUACUAGGCUUUGAUGGUGGUUGCAGUAAAAAGGAUUAAAAGAGAGAGAGAGAGAGAACUUGAAAACUAUGGAAUGGAAGAUAAAUCAAAGUUAUAAAUUUGGACUCAAUAGUUUUGAUGUUCAAUCAAAUAUGGAGGGGCGAUUAGAAAUUAUCAAAAAUUUAGAGGGAUUUCAACCGUUCAAUUCAUUAUUAGGCGUUGUAGACUGCAGGGAUGCAGAAAUUUCCACAGGGACGAUGGCCCCGAGGGAUCUUCCUCAUUCGGGAGUUUGAUAAUUUUAGAUCUAAUUUUUCUAUGUGGAGACAAGACUGUGAUCAAUUAAUAUGUGUGGGUGUAAGUUACAUGAAAUAUAACUUAGUGUUUGCCCUAAUAUUUUAUUUGGCUCCACAUUUUUCUAUUUCUAUCUUUAGUUCUAUUUUUAAUUAAUUUAUUUCAAAUUUAUAGUAAAUACAUUUAAAAUUUCAAUUAUAAUAGUGUGAUGUAAAUAAAAAAUAUCACAAUACAUUUAUAAAAAUAAUAUAAAUAACAGCCAAUAUAAAGUAAAUAUAAACAUUUUAAAAUUGACAAAGAUAAUUUAAUUGAUGGUUUAUACUAUAUGACAUUUAUGGAUGAGUUCAACUUUGAAGAUUUACUUUUGCUUAAUUAGUUCAAAGAUUAUCUUCUAAUUUGAUGACAUUGACUUAAUUUGAUGGAAAUGAUUUUAAUCACUUUAGUUAAUUUGAUAUUUUUUGUGUUAAUAUGAUUUUAUAUUUUUACUUUAAGAUGAUUAAAUUAAGAAAAAAAAGAAAUUAAAUAAUCAGAGAUCGGAUAGCAUCGGAGAUCCCUUUGUAUUAUUUAGAAACAUCCAUCCCCUUCUUUCAAGUGAUUUUGAAGGAAAUGUCUAGAGUACAAAGAGAUAGACAGAGUAUUAAAGAUGAGUAUGGGGAAAUCAAUCCCCUCUCCUUCCCUUCUUAUUGACAUCUUUACAUGUGAGCCCAAGGGGAAAUGCACCAUGCCUGAUAAAAGUAAAAUUAAAAAUAAAAAUUUUCUUUUAUCAAAUCACUCUAUGUGGUGGAGAUUAUUGUAUAAUCAAGUACACAUGGCAUUUUUAAAAGCUUUUUCUUUAUUUAAAGCUCUAAAGGUUUGCCUAAGAGUCAAGGUUGGUGCCGUUCUUCUAGAAGAACAACCCGUAUCUUUUGAUAUUCAAAGUUUGAAUAUCAAGUUCAAACUUUAAAUUUUGAAAUAAUAAUAAUAAUAAAUAUAAAAAGUGCCAAAUUUUUAGCUAUAAAUAGAGGGGUUCACCCCCUCAUUUCACUCAUUCCAUUCUUUUCUUCUUUAGUUCUAUAAUGAGAGAGUAAGAGUUUUAUACUCUUGAGUGACUAGUGUUUAGAGAGAUUGGGUGUAUUAAGGUUUUGAUAAGUGAAACAAAAUACUAAAAUACUUAUAAUUCUCAUUUCACUAGUAAAGUUUUAUCCUUUUGUCCUUGCCUAUGGGCAUAAGUUAAAAGCCGAACCAAAUAAUUUAUGGUGUCCUCUGUGUGCUUGUUCUUCAUUUUCUUCCAAUUUCAUUUUAGUCGUGGCCCUACUUCACCAAUCAAUUUUCUAAUAGUGGUAUUAGAGCCGGGUUGUAUUUUUUGGGGUCGAGAUACUAUUUACAUAUAUUGUAUUGUUCAUGUAUAUGAUAUUGUUUCUGUAUACGACACUUUAUUCAUAUAUACAGUUACUGCUCAUGUGAAAUGGUAGGAAUCGAUCUUAGCAAAGGUAGCUCGUGGUGAAAAGUGAUGGCGGAAAAAUACAAAAUUGAGAAGUUCAACAGAAAUAAUUUUUCGUCAUGAAAAAUGAAGAUGAAGGUUGUAUUGAGGAAAAGUAAUUGCUUGGCAGCAAUUGAAGAGAGGCUCACAAAGAUAACUAAUGAUGGCAAGUGGAAUGAGAUAGACAAUAAUGCCAUUGCAUAUCUACACUUACCACUUUCAGAUAGGGUAUUUUUCAAUAUGGUAGAGUAAAAGAGAGUAAAGGAAAUAUGGUUUACUCUCACAAGACUAUACGAGGUCAAAUCACUACAAAAUAAAAUCUUCUUAAAGAUGAGGCUUUAUACUCUUCAAAUGGAGGAAUCUACAUCAGUGAUCGACCAUAUCAACACUUUAAAGACUUUAUUUUCAUAACUUACAACGUUGGGUCAUAAAAUAGAGGAAAAUAAACAUAUAGAGCUUUUACUUCAAGGUUUACCAGAUUCGUAUGAUCAAUUCGUCAUUAAUAUAACUAAUAACAAUCGAGCAAACAAGUUAGUCUUUGACAAUAUGGCAGCCUCCGUAUUAAAUGAGGAGAGUAGCAAAAAAUAAAAAAGAUAGACAGAAGAGUUCGCAACAAGUAGAAGCGCUAUUGGUGAUGAAAGGAAGAUCCAUGGAACGUGGCCCUAGUGAGAGCCACAGUCACGGUAGAUCAAAAUCUAGAAGUAAAAAGAAUGUCAAAUGCAACAACUGUUGCAAGAAAGGGCAUGUCAAGGAAGAGUUUUGGAACAACUAGAAGAGAAGAGAUGGUAAAGAUUCUGAGUCAUCAAAUGCUCAAGGGUAUGUAGUAAGUACCUCGUAUGAUGGCAAAAUUCUCUACAGUAAGGCAACAACUGCUUCAGAAGAUAGAAAACCACUAUAUGACAUCUGGCUUAUAGACUUAAUAGUUGCCUGGCACAUGAUCUCUCCAAGAGAAUGAUUUCACAAAUAUGAACCUAUUUCAAGAGAAUUUGUAUACAUAGGUGAUGAUUAUGCCUUUGAGAUUACUGAUAUUGGUACUGUCAAAAUAAAUAUGUUUAAUGGUAUGGUUCGCACAAUUGAGAAGGUAAGACAUGUCAAAGACUUGAAAAAUAUCUCUUGUCUUUAGGACAAAUAGAUAGUCUUACGCGCAAAACUCAUGUAGAAAAUGGGAUCAUAAAGAUAGUCAAAGGCGCACUUGCAUUAAUGAAGGUGGAAAAGAUCGGUGAUAAUUUAUUCAUGCUUAAAGGGAAACACUACAGAAAGCUUUUGUGUCAGUCACAUCAAAUAGAGAAAAUUCAGUGAUGAUGUGGCAUCUUAAACUUGGCCACAUGUCAAAACAAGGAAGCAACAUAGAUGAAAGUUUAGCAGAUCCACUUUCAAAAGUAAAUGUAUUUUAGACUUGAUUCAUUCUAAUGUUUGGGAAUCAAUUGAUAUAUCUAUGGGAGGUGCAAAGUACUUGGUGACUUUUAUUAAUGAUUAUUCUAGGAGAUAUUUGGUGUAUCCAAUCAAGAAAAGGUCAAAUGUAUUUCCAUUGUUCAAAGAAUUCAAAGCGUAGAUUGAACUUAAAUCAGGGCAAGGGAUCAAGUGCCUGAGGACAGACAAUGGUGGAGAGUAUACAAAUAGCAUGUUUCUUGCAUAUGUAAGCAAGAAAGUAUCUAGAGAUAGUUCACGGUGGCAUACACUCCUCAAUAAAAUAGAGUAGUAGAGUGAAAGGGCAUGACUCUUAUAAAAAAAAAAAGAGUUAUGUUGAGAAAUGCUGGUCUACCAACUCAUUCUAGGUGGAAGUAGCAAAAACUACUUAUUAUGUGGUAAGUGGGUCAUCAUUCAAUGCAACCGGGUUGAAAAUUCCAAUGGAAAAAAUAGACAGGAAAGCCAGUUGAUUACUCUCAUCUCAGGCAUUUUGAUGUCCUUUUACGUGAUAUACAAUACCCAAGUGAGAUUAAAGAUGGAUCCAAAAUCCAAGAGAUGUAUCUUCUUAGGAUAUAUUGAUGGAGUGAAAGGGUAUUAUCUGUGGGACCUCAAUGCCCAUAAGAUCGUUAUCAGUAGAGAUAUUAUCUUUGUAGAAGAUCAAAUGCAAAAGAGAGAUAUGGAUGAUAGCACUAUAAAAAUUCAGAGAUUGUGCUAAUAUAUGUUGAAAAUAAUCUGGAAAAUGAAGAUUUAGAUUUUUUUGAAGCAGCACCAAAGUAUGAGAACAAGAACCAAUCGAGUCUGAGGCCCCAAAAGUUUGUUGGUCAACUCGUGAUAGAUAAUUGUCAGUGUGGCAUUUGGAUUAUGUCACAGAUAUCAAUUUUGCAUACUGUCUUUUAAUAGAGAAUGGAAAGCCAUCAACUUUUCAUGAAACCUUAAACAGCUCAGAUGUUACUUUGUGAAUGAUAGCAAUGCAGGAAGAAAUUAAGGCUCUACACAAGAAUAUGACAUAGGAACUCGUACUACUACUAUAUGAAAAAAAAAAGACCCAUUGGUUGGAAAUGGGUCCAUAAGAUCAAACGUGAUGGUAAUAACCUAGUGGAGCGGUAUCAUGAAAGAUUGGUGAUGGAAGAAUAUCCUUAGAAAGAAUGUAUUAACUUCAAUGAGAUAUUUUCUCCAGUGAUUUGACUCAGGACAGUCAGAGUGGUCUUGUCGAUGUGUGCUACAUUUGACCUAUAUUUGGAGCAGUUAGAUGUGAAAAUUUCAUUUCUUUAUGGAGAACUUGAAGAAAAGAUUUCUAUGCUCUAACUAGAAGGUUUUACUAAAAAGGGACACUUGGUUUGCAAGUUAAACAAAUCUCUAUACGAUCUCAAACAUGCACCGAGAUGUUGAUAUAAGAGAUUUGAUCCAUUCAUCAUAAACCUUGGAUACAAUAGAAUCAGUUCAGACUGUUGUACAUAUUACAACAAGUUUGAUAAUAAUAAUUUCAUCAUUCUACUGUGGUAUGUUGAUGACAUAUUAGUAGCAGGCCCCAACAAAGAUCGAGUCCAAGAACUAAAGCACAGUUAACUAGGGAGUUUGAAAUAAAAGACUUAGAACCAGCAAACAAGAUUUUAGGGAUGCAAAUUCACCGAGAUAGUAAUAGCAAAAAGAUUUGGCUUUCUACCCCGCCUCCCAUUAAUUUCAAGUUAUUCUUAAGUAUUCAUCUAGUAAUGAAGUAGAGAAGAAGAGAUGUCUUGAGUACUGUAUGCAUCAGCAGUGGAAAAUUUAAGGUUCGCUAUGAUUUGUACAAGUAGUGGGAGAGGUUAGUCGAUACAUAGCGAAUCCUUGCAAAGAACAUUGGAAGACUAUUAAGAGGAUUCUGAGAUAUAUCAUAGGAACAUCAGAUGUUGCAUUAUGUUACGAAGGAUACUGUCAAGGGCCAUGUGCAUUCAGAUUUUGCAGAAAAUCUUAAUAAAAAAAAAUCCACUACUGGCUAAGUAUUUGCACCAGAAUGAGAAAUUGUUAGUUGGAUUUCAAAAUUGCAGACCAUUGUGGCUUUAUCAACAACAGAAGCAGAUUACAUAGCAGCUACACAAGCUUGGAUGAGCUAUUUAGAUACAAAGGUUACUGAAGGAGCUUGGGCAUAAAAUUUUUUAUGGCUUGUGAUAGUUAGAAUGCAAGGAAUCCAACCUUUUAUUUUAGGACAAAGAAUAUAGGAGUACAAUAUCACUUCUUCGUGAAGUAGUGAAAGAUAUAAGAGUGGAUACCAAGGAGAACUUAACAAAUGUUUUGCCCAAGCCUAUCAAUGCUGAUAAAUUUGUUUGGAGUAGAUCAUUUUACGGCCUAGUAGAGACAUAAACAACAUGACAGCGGCGAAGUAGAAAGGAUGGUGUGGAGAUUGAUUGAUUCUCAAUCAAAUUUCUAAGUGGGAGAAUAUCAAAGUCAAUGUCGCUUUUCUAGAAGAGCGACCAAUACCUUUUGAUAUUCAAAGUUUGAAUGUCAAGUUCAAACUUUGAAUUUAAUAUAUAUAUAUAUAUAUAUAUAUAUAUAUAUAUAUAUAUAUAUAUAUAUAUAUAUAUAAAUAGUGCCCAAAAUUUUAACUAUAAAUGAGGGGUUCACCCCUGCAUUUCAUUCUUUUCUUCUUCAAUUCUAGUGUGAGAGACUAAGAGUUUUAAUGCUCUUGAGUGAUUAGUGUUUUAAGAGAUUGAGUGGAUUGGGGUUCUGGGAAGUGAAACAAAAUAUUAUAAUACUAGUAAUCCUCAUUUCACCACUAAAGUUUUAUCUUUUGUCUUUACCCAUAGACGUAGGUUAAAAGUCGAACCACGUAAUUUUUAGUGUCCUCUGUGUGCUUGCUCUUCAUUUUCUUCCAAUUUUAUUUUAGCUAUGGACCUACUUCACCAGUAAAUUGAAGACGUUGGAACUGCGUGAUUUAGAUAGCCUCACAAGUUUCUGCUCUACCAAUUACACCUUCAAAUUCCCAUCUUUGCAAGAGUUAUGUGUGAUUGGUUGUCCCAAGAUGAAGAUUUUCACUACAGGAGAAUCAAUCACGCCGAGUAAACGUCUGCUAUGGAGAGACAGCGGAUCAACGGCGCUGGGCUAAUAAUGAUCUAAACACAACCAUACAACAAUUACAUGCUGAGAAGGUACGUAUAUACAUAUUACUCUCUAUCUCCCAUGAUAAAUUUUUACAAAAUUUGCUUUCUUAAAUACAAUAUAGAUAAGAUAUUUGAUGAAUAAGAAUUUUAUUUUAAGCUGUUGGCGGUGUCGUCGUCAUACUCUACGCAGUAGUACGACUAAUGUCAUAGGCUUCUUAUGACCUGGAGUUGCGAAUUUUUAGAAGAAAGUCUCAACUGGUAAUUAAUUUUUAUUUCAUUUAUUUAAUCCCAUGGCUUGUUUCGCAAUUUCAUCUGAAUUAUUUAGAAUGGGUCCCUCGGUUUACUGUUAAAUUUGCAAUGCAAUUUUAAUGAUCCUUUCAGACUUUUAUGGACAGAUUUUGCAAAAUUGAAUGUCUUUUAGUCUAGUUUAAUUUGAGUUUUUCUUUUUUUUUUUAGAGCUCCCCAUGUUUUCUAAAAUUUUAUAAUUCCUUGCAUACUUUUUAGGAUAAAAUUUCAUUAAAAGCCUUCAUAUUUUAUAAUUCCUUGAAAACUUGCAUACUUUUUCCUUUUUUUUUCUUGCCAAUUAUUUAUUGUCAUCAUUGCUGUUCUUUUAUUUUAGUUUGUGCUCUGUUUGUUCAUUGGGUUUGCUUUUCGGAAAGUUAGAAGGCAAGGAAAGUACUUAGAAAAUGUUCUUCCCUAUGAACACAUAAUUAACAGCUGAAUAUCAUUCAUUGGAUUAAAAAAAAUUAAAAUAAAAAAAAGUAAUAAGCCCAUUAUUCCUAGAACAAAUCCUUAAACCAUCAAACGUUAGCUAUGAACAAGUAUAUUGGUCUAUAGCAUAUUCAUAAUAUUUUCUCUGCUGUUCCUGUUAAAAUUUCUCUACUCAAUGAUCGCAGAAUAUCUGGAUACUGAUGAAGAUUUAAGUCACUCUUCUUCUAUGAAUAAGGUCGUUUUUCUUUUUUCUUCUAUUCAAAGUUUCCAUUCUGAGCAGUUCCCAUUUCCAUCUUCGUGAUCUUCUUGUGAUAGUGUGAGUUACAACCUGUCUGUUUCCUUUGUUUGAUCAUUGCAAGUUCAAAGACAUUUUAUUCUAGCUAAGCUCUUUGUAUGUAUUAUAACAUUUUUAUUCUCAAUAUAUAUAUGACUCAAUGAGAGGUCUUUUAUUAUAUUUAUGUCGUGAAUUUCUAUUGUAUUGUGACAUUUGAUGGUGUAUCAUUGUCUCAUUGCAAGGUCUUGUAAUCACUCUGAUUCUCAUUUGAGGAGGUUGGUCUCGUCUAUGUGUAUGUAUUUAUAUCCACAAGAAAUUUGAUAAAUGGUCUUGUCAUUUUCUCAUCAAAACAUCUAGUGCUUCAUAUGUUGGAGGGCUACCAGGCAUCAGGGCCAGUUUUUUAAACUCAAAGUUCUUCCUGUCAUUUUUUAACAAUAAUAAGGAAAGCCCAAGAGAAAAUCUAGAAGUCCUAAUAAGGACCGCUUCUGCAUAUAUUGUUCAUUUUCUUAAUUACCUUCAUUAUUAUUUUCGUUUUCAAUCGAUCAAACUUCAGUUUCUUAGCAUUAAUCUAAUUAUGUACUUCAUCUUGAAAUCCUUAAAUUACCCAUCAAAAUGUGAACGAUUAGUGUAUCAUUUUUGCACUAUAAGAAAUAGUUGUAUUACCGACCAGACAUUUCCACAAUAUACUAUUGAAAAUAAGUACUUUUUACAAAGGUAUUGUCAUUGAUGAGCCGUUGGAUAAAUAUGAAAAGUAUCAUACCUCGGUGAUAAAGAAAAUUCGUUUGUCGGAAAUGGAAUGUCGAGCCCAAAAUUACUCUAAACUUGGUAAAGUUAGAUUUUGGCCCAAUUUGUUUGAAAGUUUUAUACAUAAAGCACUUUUUUUUUUAUGUAAUUUGUGCAAUCUGAAGGGAGGUAUUGUAAAAUUAACAUAAAUAAAUGUAAUAUGCCAAUACCGUUUAAAACAAAAAAGAUAUCAUGAAAUUGAAAAAAAAUAAAUAAUAAUAAUAAUAACAACAUUAAAAGAAAAAGGAAAUUACGGAGAAGAAUAAUCGCUUCUUGAUCUCAACUCUCAAUUUGAAUACAAUCUCUGAAUCUCACUUCUCGAUCUGUCUCCAUUCUUCAUUCGCAUUUACUCGGUGGUAAUUAAUUCUUCACUCUCACUCGCCUUAUUUCCUGCAGAUUUCUUCAUUUUCCUUCACUGUUCGUUUUUAAGGUUCCAUUGUAUUUCCAUUGAGUUUGCAACUGUUCAAUUGCUCGAUCCACAUUAGUUUUAAGGUACGAUUGUUGGUUAUUUUCCUAAUCAAUAGACAACCCUAGAUACGAUCAUAGGAUUUAAUCAAUUGACAGUCUGAAAAAUCAGAGAGACCCAAAUCCUAAUCAACAAACGCAUACGAUGAUUCAUUUAAAUUAGAUUGUUUAUUCUCAUAACACAAUGCACUGCUAUGCUAUUUGUCACAAACAUUAAAAUCUUCAUACGAUAAAUCUUUUAAUUGACAAUAGAUUAAGUUGAUAAUUAAAUAGUAGCCAAUUAUCUAAUUAACAAACAUAAUCAUGACAAUAAUUCAGAGAAUAAACAAAUACCCAAAAAGUAAUAAAAUAAUUAAAGUAUAAGAAAGAUCUCACAGCAGUGAUGAAUCAAAGUUUCAUUAACCUUCAACCAGAAUAAUAGAUUUAGUUUUUCAUAGACAGGAGAGAAAAAUUUAGAUCUAGGGUUUCUUUCUCUUCAAAAAUCUCCGUCUUUGACAAUAGAUUCCUCCCUUAAAUUCUCUUCUCUCUCUUCUCCUCUAGAGUUCUUUUUAAAAUAAAAUACUAAUUUCUAAAAUAUUAUCUAAAUAUUAAAUGCGUAAUUACAAAAAUAACUAAAAAUACAAAACACGUUAAACUAAAAACUGCAGGUCCGUAGUAGACAGCAUGCGCCCACACCUUAUCAACAAAGUUCUUCUGAAGCUCAUAAUUUCUUCAAGAAAACAAUCAUCCUCAAACAUCAUCUUGUAGCUCAAUUUUAGCACCAAUCAAUAAAAUUGCACCUACCAAAAUAAAACACAAGUAAAUCACUAUUAUUAAGUGCAAAACAUCGAUAUUAAAAGAAGUAAAUAAUGCAAAACUAGUGCAUAAAUUGUACUCUAACACUUCAUUCCGAUCCCUUGAUCAUUACUCAUUUAUUUAUUUAUUCUUUGCUUCACUUCUAAGCUUAGCAAAGGAACUUGAACUUUGGCUUUUCAAAUAGGUCACUUUUGCUUUUAAUCUCGCCCAUGAUCUUCAUCAUGAAGAUGACAAACCAUUAUUCUUUAUUCUUCACUUUUGCUUUUAAUCUCGCCCAUGAUCUUCAUCGUGAAGAUGACAAACCAUUAUUCUUUAUUCUUCACUUGUUGAAUUUACAGAAUAUAUAGCAUUCUUAAAAUUUUAGCAAAUCGUUAUUCUUCAGCUUCAGCACCUCAUUAAAAAGUCAUUCUUUGAACUUAUUCUCAAUCAAGAAAAACAUAUGCGUUCGUUCGUUGUAGUCACUGUUGUUUUGUUAUUAAUGUUUGCUCCCUAUUGCCGUUAACUCUCUUGAGCUUCACAGGAUCAGGAAACCCUUUUCUCUUGGCAUCUGUUUUGUUGUAAUCUCUCAGUCCUUGUUGAUUAGUUUCUCUCCGCUCCCAAUUUAGUUGUGUCCUGCUGUUGUCUCUGUUUUGUUCCAUAUCUACUCUCUGCACUUCUGCUGUGUCAAGACAUCUUCUUUUGUUCAUUCGGUUGUGGUCUAUAAUAUAUUUUUCAUCUUUCUUUUGGUCUAUACUUAAGUUAUUUUGAUUGGUUCCUUUCUCCUUUAUUAUCUAAAUCCCUCCUUAUAUUUAUUCAAUCAGUUGUUACGCUUUCUUUCAUUUCUCCGCUUCCACAACCAGAUAAACUGUCCAUCUUUGUUGUUUCUUCUUUUUUCUCUUCUGUGGUUGGCUCUUGUUUAUUUGCUUUUCAGAACUCAAAAAAAAAAAAAAAAUAGAAGGAUCAAAGAUGGUGGAAACCAUUAUUACUGUUGUUUUGGAAGUUGUGAAAUGCUUGGCUCCUCUAGCAGAACGCCAACUUGGUUAUUUACGUAACUAUAAAACCAACUUUGAGAAUCUCAGGGCAAAAUUUGAUGAACUCAAGGAUGAAAGUAGGAGCAUUCAGCACAGAGUUUCUGAGGCUGAAAGAAAAGGAGAAAAGAUUGAAGAGAAGGUUGAAAAGUGGCUGGUUAGUGCAAACGACAUCAUUGACAGCGCAGCCAAAUUCAUUGAAAAUGAGGAGUCAACGAAUAAGCGUUGUCUCAAGGGCUUGUGUCCUAAUUUGAAGACCCGCUAUCAGCUUAGCAAGAAAGCAGAGACAGAAAUGAAGGCCCUUGUUGAACUUGGAGAAGAAGUAAAGAAGUUUGAUAUUGUUUCCCACCGUACCAUUCCGGAGGAGAUUUGGCUCAAGUCUCACAUAGGCUACGAGGCCUUCGAAUCAAGACGUUCUACUUUGGAGGCUAUAAAAAAAGCAUUGAUCGAUGUUAGCAUCAUUGGGGUGUACGGCAUGGGCGGCAUUGGAAAGACGACACUGGUGAAGGAGGUCUCCAGGCAAGCUAUGGAAGCCAAGCUCUUUGAUAUGGUGGUCUUUUCAGAGGUUUCGCAAACUCCAGACAUAAAAAAGAUUCAACAGGAAAUUGCCGAGAAGUUGGGCCUGGAGUUGCGCGAGGAAGUUGAAUCUGGAAGAGCAAGUAGACUAUUUGAGCGAUUGAGAAAUGAGAAGAAGAUCCUUGUGGUUUUAGAUAACAUCUGGAAACACCUUAAUUUGGAGACUGUUGGAAUUCCUUUUGCAGAAGAUCAUAAAGGAUGCAAACUACUGCUGACAGCAAGAGAUCGUAGUGUCCUCUUACAAAUGGGAUCCAAAGACAACUUUUUGAUAAACAACUUAAAAGAAGAAGAAGCCGGGAGAUUGUUUAAGAUGAUGGCCGGUGAUGAUGUUGAAAAUCGUGAGUUGAAAUCUACAGCAAUAGACGUCGCCAGGGCAUGUGGAGGUUUGCCCAUUGCCUUGAGUACGGUAGCAAAGGCAUUGAGAGGCAAGAGUCUGCAUGAAUGGAAGAAUUCCUUGCGAGAACUCCGAACGCCUUCAAUGGUAAACUUCGAAGGAGUAUCUGCAGAGACUUAUGCAAGUAUUGAGCUGAGUUUCAACCAAUUAAAAGGUGAACGCAAGGAAAUUUUUCAGCUCUGCAGUCUAAUGGGUAACCGUAUUUUUACUUUCGACUUGUUUAAGUACUCCAUGGGUUUGGGUAUAUUUAAAGGAGUCAAUAAGAUGGAAGAUGCACGAGACAAAUUAUAUGCAUUGGUCCAUGAACUUAGAGACUCUUGUUUGUUGCUUGAGGGUGAGAGCAAUGAACAAUUGUCAAUGCAUGAUGUUGUUCGCGAUGUCGCGAUAUCAAUUGCAUGCCGCCAGCAACAUGUGUUUUCGGUGAGGAAUGAGGAUGUGUGGGACUGGCCAGAUAAGGAUGCACUUCGAAAUUGCAAAGCUAUCUCUUUAAUAAAAAAUAGUAAUCGUGAAUUUCCUGAAGGAUUAGAAUGCCCAAACCUUGAAUUUUUAUAUAUCUCUCUCAAAGAUUUUUCUCUUGAAAUCAAUAUUCCUGAGAACUUUUUUGUAGGGAUGAAAAAGCUUAGAGUUCUAGAUUUUACUCGAAUGCAGUUUUCUUCUUUUCCAUCUUCAAUUGAUCUUCUAGUAAAUCUUCACACACUAUGUCUGGAUAAAAGUGCGUUGGGCGACAUAGCAAUCAUUGGGAAGUUGAAGAAUCUAGAAGUCCUUAGCUUUUUGAAGUCUGAUAUAACGCAGUUGCCAGAAGAACUAGGUCAAUUGAAUAAGUUGAGAUUGUUAGAUUUAACCAAUUGUUUCCGUCUGAAAGUUAUUGCCCCAAAUGUCAUAUCAAGCUUAAUCCGAUUAGAAGAGCUGUAUAUGGGUAAUUGCUCCAUUGAAUGGGAGGUUGAAAGAGCCAACAGCAAAAGAAGUAAUGCUAGCCUUGAUGAAUUGAUGCAUUUACCUCGGCUAACCACUCUAGAAAUUGAUGUUAAAAAUGACAGUAUGUUACCAGAAGGUUUUUUGGCCAGAAAGCUCGAAAGGUUCAAAAUAUCUAUUGGAAAUGGGUUAUUCACACAUCCCAUGAUUGCUGAACAAAAUUGGUUCCAAAGUCUGCGGCGCUUUUCUCGCAAAAGUGAUCGCAAGAGUUUAAGAGCAUUGAAGCUCAAGCUUGCUUUUAUGGACAUUUGCUCCAUGAAAUUGCAGGGCAUCAAUAACGUAGAAUGCUUAUGGUUGGACAAGCUGCAAGGCAUCGAGAAUGUUCUUUUCAAUUUGGACACAGAGGGCUUUUCACAAUUGAAGCUUCUCUGGGUUCAAAAUAAUCCUGACAUCUUUUGUAUCGUCGAUUCAAGGGCGAUGGUCGCUUGUGAUGCCUUUCCUCUUUUGGAGUCACUUGGCCUUCACAAUUUGAUCAACAUGGAGAGGAUAUGUAUUGAUCGGCUCAAAGUAGAGUCCUUCAACGAACUCAAAAUCAUACAAGCAUAUAAUUGUGAUAAAUUGAGUAAUAUCUUUUGGCUCUCUACAACAAAAUGCCUUCCAAGACUUGAGAGAAUUGCAGUUAUUAAUUGCAGCAAGAUGAAAGAGAUUUUUGCAAUUGGGGAAGAAGUUGAUAAUGCAAUUGAGAAGAUAGAGUUUGCUCAAUUAAGAUCUUUGAGUCUGGGGAAUCUUCCAGAGUUUACAAGUUUUUGCCGUGAGGUGAAGACUCCUUCAGCAUCACCAAACAGACCAGCGUCGCAGGAGGAAUCGACGACUACGUAUAGCUCCAGCGAAAUCACUUUGGAUACUUCAACUCUGCUUUUCAACGAGAAGGUGCGUAGGCUAACAUUUUCUUUAUUCUAUCAUGCGUUCUGUUUUGAUGUCAUACGUGGAAAAUAAUUAAAUCAUUUAAAGAAUUGAAAGAAAAUGGAAAAAAGGAUAAAAAGAAUCUCACGCGCUCACUAAUUGAGCUCUUAACAAGUAGUAUGAAUUAGAAUGCAUACUCAGCUGUCAGUUGGAAAUUGAUUCAGACUUGCAUUAAUUUGUAAUCAAAGAAGAAAAUUUCAACAAGUGCUUCCCAUAUGGAUAUUGGAUCUAACGAGAAAUUCUUCUUUUUUUAGGUUGCGUUGCCUAACUUGGAGGCUUUGGAGAUAUCUGCAAUUAAUGUCGACAAGAUUUGGCACUACAAUCAAAUUCCAGCGGCCGUGCUUCCUCACUUUCAAAGUUUAACACGAUUGAUUGUGUGGGGUUGUCACAAAUUAAAAUACAUAUUUUCAGCGUCUAUGAUCGGAAGCCUUAAGCAGCUCCGACACCUAGAUAUACGCUUCUGUGAGGAUUUAGAGGAGAUCAUUUCUGAAAACAGAGCAGAUGAAGUUAUCCCUUAUUUUGUCUUUCCACAGCUCACCACUCUAAGACUCGAAUGUCUACCAAAACUUAGAUGUUUGUACCCUGGAAUGCAUACUUCGGAAUGGCCCGCACUAGAAAUUCUUUUAGUGGGUCGUUGUGACAAAUUAAAGAUAUUCGAUGCAGAUUUAUCGCAGAAUAAUGAGAAUGAUCAACUUGGUAUUCCUGCACAACAGCCCCUAUUGCCGUUGGAAAAGGUACGAAGCCAUUUUCUAGAUUUUUUAUCAAUAGCGUAUUUUUAACUUCGAAAAAAAUGACAAAGCAUCGAUAAAUUAACACUCAAUAAAUUGAAAACUUUUAUUAUACAAUAAUCUUUGCUAGUCUAGAUUAAGAGAUCAAUGUGGUAGAUUAAUAAUUAUAUGAACUUUUUAAGGUAUAGCAUUUAUAAAAGAAUCCUUAGUCUUUCCAUAUAGAAGAACUUACAAAAUAAAUUAGUAAUUUAUUAUUGUGCAAUAAAAUAAUUUCAAACCAGUAUAAAUCAACCUUUUUUCCCUAAUUUCUUUUUUACCUCUAAAAUUAACAUAUAAAAUAAAUUUUAUCAAUAAUUCAUUUUUUUUUUAAAAUAUAAUAUAAAACAAAUACUAUAAAGUCACUGCGUGUGACCGUAGAUCAUCAAUUGACCUCAUUAGUUAUUAUGAUUGAUGAUGAUCAGAUCGUACCCAACUUGAAGGAACUAUCACUAAGUGGAAAAGAUGUGAAGAUGAUUUUGCAGGCCGAUUUCCCACAACACCUUUUUGGCAGUCUUAGAGAACUAGAGAUUGCUGCAGAUGACUCAGCUGGUUUUACAAUCUGGAACGUACUGGAGAGAUUUCACAAUCUCGAAAUACUCACACUGUUGUUUUUUUCAUCCCACGAAGAGCUAUUUUCGAUGGAAGGAUGCUUACAGAAACAUGUGGGGAAGUUGGCAAUGAUAAAAGAAUUACAGCUGCGCUGGCACUAUCAUCUGGAGCAGCUGUGCAAGCAAGACUCCAAACUUGGCCCCAUUUUUCAGUAUCUUGAAAUUCUAAAAGUAUAUCAUUGUCAAAGUCUGUUAAUUCUAUUGCCAUCAUCAUCGGUAUCUUUUGGGAACCUAACAAAACUUGUAGCUUUCGGUUGCAAGGAAUUGAUACACUUGGUAACAUCCUCCACAGCAAAAACUCUGGUGCGACUCAUAGCAAUAGAAAUAUAUGGAUGCAGAGCAAUGACAGAGGUGGUAAUAAAUGACAAAGAUGGAGUUGAAAAAGAAGAGAUUGUUUUUAGCAAAUUGAAGACGUUGGGACUGUUUGAUUUAGAUAGCCUCACAAGUUUCUGUUCUGCCAAUUACACCUUCAAAUUCCCAUCUUUGGAAUAUCUGGAUGUGAUUGGUUGUCCCAAGAUGAAGAUUUUCACUACAGGAGAAUCAAUCACGCCUCUAAGAGUAAACGUCUGCUAUGGAGAGACAGCGGAUCAACGGCGCUGGGCUAAUAAUGAUCUAAACACAAACAUACAACAAUUACAUGCUGAGAAGGUACGUAUAUACAUAUUACUCUCUAUCUCCCAUGAUAAAUUUUUACAAAAUUUGCUUUCUUAAAUACAAUAUAGAUAAGAUAUUUGUUAUAAAGUAAGUUUAAAUUGAUGAAUAAGAAUUUUACUUUCAGCUGUUGGCGGUGUCGUCGUCAUACUCUACGCAGUACGACUAAUUUCAUAGGCUUCUUAUGACUUGGAGUUGCGAAUUUUUAGAAGAAAGUCUCAACUGGUAAUUAAUUUUUAUUUCAUUUAUUUAAUCCCAUGUCUUGUUUCACAAUUUCAUCUGAAUUAUUUAGAAUGGGUCCCUCGGUUUACUGUUAAAUUUGCAAUGCAAUUUUAAUGAUCCUUUCAGACAUUUAUGGACAGAUUUUGCAAAAUUGAAUGUCUUUUAGUCUAGUUUAAUUUGAGUUUUUCAUUUUUUUUUUAGAGCUCCCCUUGUUUUCUAAAAUUUUAUAAUUCCUUGCAUACUUUUUAUGAUAAAGUUUCAUUAAAAGCCUUCAUAUUUUAUAAUUCCUUGAAAACGUGCAUACUUUUUCCUUUUUUUCUUUGCCAAUUAUUUAUUGUCAUCAUUGCUGUUCUUUUAUUUUAGUUUGUGCUCUAUUUGUUCAUUGGGUUUGCUUUUCGGAAAGUUAGAAGGCAAGGAAAGUACUUAGAAAAUAUUCUUCCCUAUGAACACAUAAUUAACAGCUGAAUAUCAUUCAUUGGAUUAAAAAAAAUUUAAAAUAAAAAGAAAGUAAUCAGCCCAUUAUUCCUAGAACAAAUCCUUAAACCAUCAAACGUUAGCUAUGAACAAGUAUAUUGGUCUAUAGCAUAUUCAUAAUAUUUUCUCUGCUGUUCCUGUUAAAAUUUCUCUACUCUAUGAUUGCAAAAUGUCUGGAUACUGAUGAAGAUUUAAGUCACUCUUCUUCUGUGAAUAAGGUCGUUUUUCUUUUUUCCUCUAUUCAAAGUUUCCAUUCUGAUGGGUUCCCAUUUCCAUCUUCGUGAUCUUCUUGUGAUAGUGUGAGUUACAACCUGUCUGUUUCCUUUGUUUGAUCAUCACAAGUUCAAAGACAUUUUAUUCUAGCUAAGCUCUGUGUAUGUAUUAUAACAUUUUUAUUCUCAAUAUAUAUGACUCAAUGAGAGGUCUUUUAUUAUAUAUAUGUCGUGAAUUUCUAUUGUAUUUUGACAUUUGAUGGUGUAUCAUUGUCUCAUUGCAAGGUCUUUUAAUCACUCUGAUUCUCAUUUGAGGAGGUUGGUCUCGUCUAUGUGUAUGUAUUUAUAUCCACAAGAAAUUUGAUAAAUGGUCUUGUCAUUUUCUCAUCAAAACAUCUGGUGCUUCAUAUGUUGGAGGGUUACCAGGCAUCAGGGCCAGAUUUUUAAACUCAAAGUUCUUCGUGUCAUUUUUUAACAAUAAUAAGGAAAGCCCAAGAGAAAAUCUAGAAGUCCUAAUAAGGACCGCUUCUACAUAUAUUGUUCAUUUUCUUAAUUACCUUCAUUAUUAUUUUCGUUUUCAAUCGAUCAAACUUCAGUUUCUUCAUCUUGAAAUCCUUAAUUUACUCAUCAAAAUGUGAACGCUUAGUGUAUCAUUUUUACACUAUAAGAAAUAGUCGUAUUACCGACCAGACAUUUCCACAAUAUACUAUUCAAAAUAAGUACUUUUUACGAAGGUAUUGUCAUUGACGAGCCGUUGGAUAAAUAUGAAAAGUAUCAUUCCUUGGUGAUAAAGAAAAUUCGUUUGUCGGAAAUGGAAUGUCGAGCCCAAAAUUACUCUAAACUUGGUAAAGUUAGAUUUUGGCCCAAUUUGUUUGAAAGUUUUAUACAUAAAGCACUUUUUUUUUUUUAUGUAAUUUGUGCAAUCUGAAGGGAGGUAUUGUAAAAUUAACAUAAAUAAAUGUAAUAUGCCAAUACCGUUUAAAACAAAAAAGAAAUCAUGAAAUUGAAAAUAUAUAUAUAAUAAUAAUAAUAACAACAUUAAAAGAAAAAAGGGGAUUACGGAGAAGAAGAAUCUCUUCUGGAUCACAACUCUCAAUUUCACUCAGUGGUAAUUAAUUCUUCACUCUCACUCGCCUUAUUUCCUGCGGAUUUCUUCAUUUUCCUUCACUGUUCAUUUUUAAGGUUCCAUUGUAUUUCCAUUGAGUUUGCAACUGUUCAAUUGAUCGAUCCUUAUUAGUUUUGGGACUUCAAUGACCAUAGAAGAAGAUUCUCACAGACAACUCUUCCUUCUUUUGUCUUUGUUUUUUUUUUUAUUUGUUUAUGCAUGUUUCCUUUGCUGAUUUAUUUACUUAUUUCUUUCUCUGAUGUCCCAAUUUAUCCUAUGAUAUUUCAAUUGAUGUAUUACGUUCAUGUUAUGUUUAUGGAUGCUUGCUCUACUGUCCUAAUUUACAAUUAAAUUUUACUCCGUCCUUAGCUAUCGAUUCACAGUGGUGUGUCAUUAAUAUGUACUUGUCUUAUUUUAUAUUUCAUUAACUAUUAUUUCAACAAUUGCUGCAGGUGUCAAAUAAUGAAUUUGUAUGAGCUUCAGUCCAAGGUAAUUAUCUUUUUCAUUUCAUGUUAUUUGAUCUCUAGGUUUAUUUUAUCGUUUCAUCUAAAUUAUUUGGAAUGCAUCAGCUGGUUUAUUCUUAAUUUUGGAACGAAUUUGAUGCAGCAGAUGGUUGCGAAGGAUGAGUGGAGUAUCUCUCUAGGGUAACAACUUGAGCUAUAAGUAUCUAUUUAGGGUGCAUAAUAUACAUUUCGAAGUUCGCGACGAGGGGAAUCUAAUCUAAUACUGUAGCGCCGCAUUAGUCUCGUGGUUCGAUUGAAAAUUAUAUUUAUUUCAUAUUAUUUUACAAGUUUAAGAUCUAUUUUCCUAUUGUUUUCGGGAUUUUUAUCUUUUUUUUUUUUCUAGAUAUAGAAUUUGAGUAACAUUUAUCUUAUUUCAGUUAGGAGAAUGUUAUUAUGUAGUAAUAUGUAGGUUUACUUAUUUUGGUAAAUUUGUGAUAUUUAAGUUUAGUUUAAAAGAAGUCCAAAACCUUAAUUUUGUUAUUCAGACUUUCAUUAAUAAAAUAUAAAACUUUCUAAAAAAGAAAAUGCUCGUCUGGUACCUAUAUUUUAACUUCAAUGCUCGUUUAGUUUUUAUAUUUUAAAAAAUACCUCAAUAUACCUUGAUAUUAAAUACGUUACAUUUUUCCUUAAAUUUUAUUUACUUUUACAAUAAUAUCUUGGCAAUAAUAUUCUUAAAUUAAUUAAUUUAUUUAUAAAAAAGUUAAUUGGAAAAUUAAUCAAGAAAUAUCAAUAUGAAAUAACCAGUAUUUUUUGUACUUUUACAACAAUCUUGCCAAUAAUUCUUUAUAAAUAAAUUAAUAGCAGCCAUCUUAAAGUAAUGUUUAAUAUUCUUAAAGCAAUCUUACUAAUAAAUGCAUAAAAAAUUUAAUUUACGAAAUUAGUCCUAAAACUAAAAUAAUAACAUAAAAGUUUUUAUUAAUAUUUAUUUUGUUUAAGGCUGGCUAGAUGAAUUACCAUUUUUUUCUUUUCAUUGAUAUUCCCAAAAAUAUUAUUCCAACACAGUAGGGGUGUCUUGAGGUUAGGGAUGGCAAUGGGGAGGGGAGGGGAGGGGACUAAUCUCCCCGUACCCAUCCCCGAUAUUUUGCGUAUGUCCUCGUCCCCUCCCCGUCCCCGUCCCCGUCAGAAUUACUUGAGAGAAUCUUCAUCCCCUCCCCGAAUAAUAACAGAGGAUCCCCGAUCCCCGAAUAACUAAUACAUUUUUUUUUUUCAAUUUUGAGUUAAUUAUAUUAAAAUAAAAAAAUUCAAAUAAAAGUAAAUUUCGAAAUAUAUCUUACAUGAAUAUCUAUUUCAAAAGUCACAUACAUUAAAUUAGUAAGUAACGCAGCAUGCAAGGGAUACAAACUAUCAUGAACAAAUUAAUAGUCUAAUACAAAAUUGUUACAAAUAAAAUCGAAUUUAGAUUCAAAAUUAACUUUUUCAAUGGUGGCGUGGGCACUUUAUAAAUGUGGACUAUUCCCUUUACAGCACAAUAGUUAAGUCCGAGCAAAUCAAGAGCAAAUAUUAGAUUAGAUUAGAUAUUAAAAUUGUGAUUCGCUGUGGGCAAUUAUAACAUCUAAAAAUAAAUAAAUAAAUAGAUUUAAGUUUAAAAUAUUUAAUGAAUAUUAAAAUUAAAACAAAAUUUUUGGGCUAAUAGAAUCUACUGGUCUUUUUAAUGUCCUAAAUAAAAAUUUAAGACUUUAAUUUGUUAAUUAGGCCUAAAAGUUUAAUAAUAUAAAUAUUUUGAUAUUUGUUAUUUUUACCAAUAUUUAUAAUUUUAUAAUUUAUUUACUAGUAAUUUUAAAAAAUAAAAAUAAAAUUAAAAAUUAAAAUGGGGAAAUGGGUAGGGUAUGGGGAUUCCACCUCAUCGCCGUCCCCUCCCUAAAUAAGAAAUUGGGUAAAAAAAUUUGCCCGUCCCUUCCCCGAAUAAGAAAUUGGGUAUGAAAUUAUCCUCAUACCCUCCCCGAAUAGGGAAAAUCCCCGAUGGUACCCGUCCCCGUGGGGAUUUUUGCCAUCCCUACUUGAGGUUGAGGCACUUUUUAAAAUAUAAGAACUAAAUGCGCUCUCAAGUCAAAAUAUAGAGACUAAAUGAACAUUUAUUCCUUUUAAAAAGCUUGUGUUUCUCUAUCUUUUCAAUCUCAAUGUUUUUGUUUCCGUUUCAUCAUAAGUUCUAAUGUUUGGUUCUCAUCUUAAUGUGCAAAUUUUACAUCAUUGAAGGUCUUUUGAUCUGAGUUAAGAUCAUAAAAUUAUACUUGCAUUGGUCAGGUUAUACGAAAAUUGUACAAAAUAAUAUUCUUAUAUAACUGUUGUCCUCUGUUAUUACGGAAUCCCCAAGUUCUGAAGAAGGUCGAAAUCAGGUCUCUCUACUGUGAAGCCCCUGGAAUAAGAGCUACAAAUGUGUUACCGUUGAAAGCAUGGCAGAAAACUUAGUACUUAAUUCAGACUCUUUGUGGCUUCAAUAUUUUACUUAACAUGAAAAAUUCUUUCUAGCUUGCAUCAUUGUAAAGAUAAAUUGUCGCAGUUCUGACAAUGAACAAGUAUAAAUGUCCACAGAGAAAAGUACUGAACAAUUAAUGUUAACAGCAAUCGAUUGGUGUGAGCGCCAACCACCAUUUUCAUAUUUAAGCCUUUAGAACAGCAAAACAAAAUACGGCAAGUGGCAACCACAUCAAAUAAUCAAAUUGUUGAUAGAUUUUGAAAGCUUUAAUUUGCUUGAUAUAUAUUUAAAUAUUUCAACAGAUGAUCUUUUCGCUACUCACGGGGCACGCUGAGUUAGAAACGGUUUGGAUGUCAAUAUUACUCCAAGUGCCUCAACCAAAUUCAGAAUGAAAAAAAACCAUCUGGUUACCUGCACUUUUGUUUAAGCAGCUAAUGAAGCUAAUUAGCACGAAAUAGUACACAAACUCGCGAGAAAUUUCAUUAGUAGAUCAUCAUCCUGGGAGGAAACCAGCAUCUUGACGCUUUUGUGAUCAAGAAAAUCUGCCAGAACCCCAAUUAAUGAAAAAGAAAUUAUAACAUCAUUUACGUAUAGUUUUACAAAAUCAACAGGACACUCACAGAGCACCUCCUACAGCUGGACCGGCAGUUUUGGUAAGCGACACUACAGUCAUAGCAAGUCCAUUAGCAGCUCCUCUUUGAUGCUGUUCCUUUUGUUGUGGCAUAAACCAACAAAUUAAAUUUAAACUUUGACACAUACAAAAUUUGAAAAAGCUGAAAGCAUGUAAAUGUACUAAACAAACAAAAGAAAAAAAAUAUUUACCACUGCUCUGUUUUGCAGAAGGAAUAAUCUAGUUAUUAUAGACACCUGAUAUUAUAAUUCAGGAAUAGUAAAAUAGAAUUACAACAUUUCUAAUAAAAAAAGACACAAAAUAAUUUUAUACAUACUUGAUGGAUAAUAUAACCUAAGUAUAUGGAUCAAUGAUUAGGAUAUCCACUUACAGCUAAAACAUUCUUCAUCACAGAAGCACAGUUUAUCAAAAAGGCAAGGCUGAACCCAGAUAGCAUUGCUAUGUAAGUGUAACUUGUCAAAAGCGGUAUCGAUAAAACCUGUACAUACAUAGAAAAUUAUGGGACCAAAACCAUGAAGAAAAGUAUUUUAUAAACAAAUAUGUUUGAAACAAACUAUCAAAUGGUCUAAAUGCCACAUGGUGUGUUCAAAAUUAUUGUUCUGUUUUAGUGACAAAACACUCAUCCCAUGACAUUGAGCUAUCAAUUCUCAUGGAUUCGUCACGCUUGAAAGGUUUGGUAGUUGUUCUGUUUUAUCUUCAGUUUCAUUUGUGAUCACAGAAACGUUAGGACUUGCGUGCAUGAAAGCACAUUAAAAUUUGAAAGUUCUGAAGAAGAUUCAGGUCACUCGCGUGCAGCCUCUGGAAUAAGAGCUGUGUUACUGUUUAAAAGUUUUCAUGCUGUGGGGCUUCCAUCUUCAUUAUUCUACGAAUGCUUAACUUCACUAUUCUACGAAUGCUUCACUUCACUACAUUGACAGCGUUGAAAGUGUAACUAAAACCCUUGCUUUCACAAGCAAGCAUCGGUGAAUGAAAAAGAAAGUCUCUCUCGAAGGUAAUUGACAGAGGAGCAAUCUUCUUACUCUUUAACUAAAUAUCAGAAAUACAAGGUUAAGGCAGCUAGGGUUGCGAAGGAGAAGGAUCGUUCCCGGAUUUUGCCUGCUUCAAGUUGUUGGGCUUGGUGAACCAAGUUGUGUACACGAAUUGCUUAUGAGGGCCCACAUGGUUGCAGACAAGCCUGAGCUUUUGUCUCUCCCUCAUGUCUCACAUUUUAUGAUGAAUCAAAUUGAACUCCCAACACGGUAGUUCAUAAAAUAUGCUUUUCUUCUUCCAAGUAAUCUUAUCAUUUCUCUCAUUUUAUUCAUUCUCCACUUUUCAAGUCUUCAAUCUUAAACUCAGUAAGGAUAUUAUUCAACUGCUUUUUCACUUCAGCUCCAGACAUCCGAGAAGGUGCUUGUCCCCACUCUCUAGAUUUAUCAAAAGGCACUAUAUUUUCGAAACCUAUGAUUCGUCAGUAAAAAUCGACGUUACCGACGUGACAAAAUUUUCUACUAUGUAUCAACCAAUUAGAUCUAGUGUUUUGUUGGCAAACAAGAAAUGCUUAUUUACCUUUAAUACUCCACUCAGACAAGUUGGCAUGUGCUAGAAAGUCACUGAUAGUCCAUAACAAUGCUGUGUGUGAAUUGAAUAUUUGAUUACGUGAUGUAUCAUGUAUCAUUCCAACCAUAUCAUCAUCAGCACCCGAGUCAUGACUAACCUGUUUCUUGGUUAGAUUCCAAAGAUGAAGAUGGCUCACCAUGCAAUAUCCAGUUUUAAUACUUUAACCAAAAACCAUUUAUAAUGAUAUGGUCUCUUGCUACUUCCCUUAAAACGAAAUAUUCGACACUUCUUACAAGGAUAAUAAAUUCUUGCAUCACCAACAACAUUCUCAAAUGCAAAAUCUAUAACUUAGAUAUCUAUUUGCCAAACCAACCCAACUCUUCUCCAUUACCAUCUCCUUUUAAUGCACUACAAAAAUUAGUUAGAUAAAUCAUUUUAGUUUUUCAUUUCUACUACUGACCAAGAUAUUUUCGUGUGUGCACAGUUUUGCAAUAUAAUUAAAAAAUCAUUAUACAAUUUUAUGGUUAAUUUCAUUAGAAUUUAUAUAUAUGAAAGCAAGUAAAGCGACAAGAAUCAGAGAAAAAGACGUGAAAAUUAAAGUAUAUAUACAACAAUAAUUAAUGUAAAAAACAGUUUCCAAUACCUUCUGUAAAGAAAUAUCCUCACCCACAGCUGAGAACUUCAGUUGGUUAUCAAUUACAGAUACAAAGCAUGUUACCUAGAAACAAAAAAAAAGGUCAGCCAGCUGAAACAUAUUUAUAAACCAACAUUGGAGAUAGUACUCCAUUUAUAAACAAAAUUACAAGCUCAAAACCAAGUUAACUCAGCAAAACUAUAACCGAUUACGUCCAUCCAACUCAGCUCCUCCACUCCCAUCAAUAUGUCCAACACUCCCUUCAUAUUUACAAAAGGUAAGUGGUCCCGUAUAUCCCUCUCAAGAAUGCAUAAGUUUCUUCAAUCUCAAGUACUUUAAAGUUUUCUUCUACGUUUAUAGAAAUUUCGGCAGCAUCUCCCUUUAGUUCUCCAAGCAACGACAUAGAUAUAUGAGUGUUUAUGUGUUAUCUAGUAUGCACCCAAAGAAGAUGAGAAGCAGCUUGCGAAAAACUCAUUUUUACGUGGGAAAAAAACUUCAGCUACUAGCUACCAUAGAAAACUAUGCAUUCCCAAACAGUUCAAGCCUAGACAAUUCAAGAAUUAUUAAUAGGCAUAUGAUCCUCACUAUCAUCCAAAGAUGACACUAAUAAAACAUGUGUCUAUUAAUAAUUUCUUAAACGAUCUAAGCUUUCAAUGCAUGUAUUGAAAGUUUAAAAUUCAAUCUGAAAUUUGAAUAACACAUAAAUAUCAUAAAUCUCUUCAAUUUGUUCCUAAUACAAUGUAGCAUUAUUACGCGCAUCAUUUCUUAAGCAAAUCCAUAAAAAAUACAAACAAUAAAUACAUUUUCUAGCACUGAUGCAGAUUAUGUUUACUAAGCAAUAAGUUUUAAGUCAUUCAUGUUAAAAUACUUUUUCCUAUUCUUUCAACAUAUAACUAGUACGUGCACACAAUUAAUAAAUUAAAUAUAACCUGGUUGUGAAUCUCGCAAAAAUCUUCCUAUUUUUUUUUUUUUGGUUGGGGGGGGGGGGGGGGGGUGUGAGCUGCUUGUGAAUCUUGCAAAUCCUCGGGAAGGCAUGUUAAGUCAAGGCCAACUUACUAUUAGGGUAUGAAAGAUAUAACCUUUUUUUUCCCUUUUCAGAGUAAAAAGAACAUUGACAGUGUUAAAAAAAUCUAGAGGAUUUCAGGCCCAUAUCCUAACAAAUCAAGGAUAUUAGAAAAAUUUACUGAGGAUAUAGUUUAUGCUCAAUUGUAUCUUGCAGGAAGAAAUUGAUAAGCCUCAGUUUCAAUUAGCUUCAUUAUAGCCAAUGAUUAGGUGUUUAAAAACCAAUGAAUAUUUUUAUAAGAAAUCAACCGUAUUGUCGGAAGAAAAACCAAAUAAAAAUAACAAAGCCAAUGAACAGACUAAUGCUCUUUAUGGUCUAAUAACUAAAAACCAAUGAGUAUUUUUAUAAGAAAUCAACAGUAUUGUUGGAAGAAAAACCAAAUAAAAAUAACAAAGCCAAUGAACAGAUUAACGCUCUUUAUGGUCUAAUAACUAAUCAAACUAAGUUGUGGGUAAAGGCGAAUAUGUUUGUUUGGUCAAUAAUAAGCUCAACGAAUCACUAAUAAGCACCUAAUCACUAUUCCUUAUGCUAUGCAAUGUAAUGGCCUGGGUAAUGGCAGCAAGGCAGGCAAGAACUAGCUAGCCAGUUAUGAUAGUUGAUUAAGAAACUUGAUUAUAUGUAUAUUUUUGUUUGCCACAUUUAAAGAGAAUUUUCCAAAGAUGCUAAGAUACACCAAAUCCCACUAUUUCCAUACUCAUAAAAACAAAAAGCCAUGGCAAAAAUGAAUGACUAUAUAAAAUAAAAUAGGUCAUAGGACAUUGAGAUUAAGGCAACAUGAUUUGUAUACCAUAAAAUAACUAUAUCUGCAUAGUCAAUUAUAUUUCUGUUAGAACUCUAAAGUUUUCAUUUAAAUUUUUUUCCCUGUUAUGUAAACCAUUUAACUGAAAUGCUUAAGCCAAUAUUAACAAUCAUAGACAUACAAGUAUUAAUAGGCUCGUUCAAGUGAAAUGAGCAUUAUUUCUCAUAUCCUUUAGGUUUUUAAGUCAUUUAGAAGUCAUUCAUGUUAAAAAAUUUCUUCAUAUACUUUCAUUAUAAUUAGUACAUAGACAAUUAUUUAAAUAAAUAAAUCUGUUUCUGCUAGUACAGGAAAUUAAUUAAUCAAAGCUAGUAGUUAUAGCUAGGACUUGAAUGAGGCACCUUUCAGAGUUCAAGAGGAGCAUCUGAACAGAACCUUUAUAGAAAUGGCAAUGACGCUUUACAUCUACAUGCUCUUACACAAUAUGGACUUUCAUUUAUUCAAGAACAUAACACUACUCCAAGCUCUUAUUCUACAAGUUAAUUCAGUUUAUAUUAUAAUUUCUGAAAAUAGAACGUAACAUUAUUAAUAUAGAAUCAGCAAUAUAUAUAACUUAUCAGACAAUAUAACAUGCACUUGGUGAGCAUACAAGAUAAACAAGUUAUCUAGAAAAUGAAACUAAAACCCAAGCUCCGCUAUUCAUUGUAGAAGCUUUAAACAUAAAAUUAAAGUAAAUCUAAUAGCAAAACAUUAGAAUGGAUGUUGGAAUUAAAGCUAAAUUCAAUAGUAAUUCAAAUGAAUCCAUUUGAACUUUGUAGAACAAAAUUAAUUUGAGUGAGCAAACACACCAAUGGAACAAGAACACAGGGCUUCAACUUGUAGGAAUAAAAACAAUUGCUGGCGAGACAAAAAUUGACAAUAACGACUACAAUACGAAUUAAAAAGAAUCAAAAUCUAUAAUUACAAGCUAAGUAAGAGAAGAAACUCAUAAUCACAAGCUUAACUCAAAAGAUGAAGGGAGAAUACGAUGAAGAAGAAGAUGCCCGGUGUUUUACGCCGUUCGCCGGCAACCAGUUAGGUUUACGAUGGAGUCCAGCGAAUAGUUUUCUAACUGGAAAUAAAUUUAAAAUUCUAAAAUAGUAGUAUACCGAACGGCUCUUUACCGUCACGUGGUUAGUAACAUAUGUGACAGCAGUGUGGCUGUCACAUAAAGGGUAACAAAAGCAACUCGGGGUUACAAAGAAGUUAGUGAUAUACGUAAUGGCUGCUUUUGCAUUCGCAUUAGGGGUCACAUAUACCAUAUUUUCUUGUAGUACAUGGUAAAUUCUAUUUGAAAAUUGCUAAGUAUUUUAGAUUUGUAUGAAUUCAUUUUUGUGUGCUCGUUGGAUAAUAAUAUAUAAUAAAUCAAAUUUUUGGUGUAAUUUUCACAAUAUUGUAUUAUAAAUAUGUCUCGUUGAAAGGUUUUGAAAUCGUUUUGAUUGAUCAUAAUUGAUAUUUCCACAUUUGCAAAAGAUGCCAGAGAAAAUCUGAUUAUCUUAAGAAAUGAGUGCAUGAGAUAUGAAAUCAACCAUAUAAUAAAAUCAAAUUUUAUUGUGUCAUCCUUCUUGGUUCAAAUUUAUGGAAACAAUAAUCAAAUGCAUCCAUGAACUAGCUAGUAUAUUCCGACACAUGUACCAUCAAAUUUUUGCUAUGUCAUACUUAUAUUUUGAAAUUUUAAUAACAACAAUUGGGCCAAGCAUAUGUUGGUACUUGAAGAUUUAUAAGCUCCAUCCUUGAAAAAAUAAGGCUUGACUGUCCUCAAUCUAAUUCUUUUUGUUUUAAGUUCCUAAUUAAGCUUUCUUGCUUGUUUUCAAGAGCCAGUUUUGUAAUGAUCGACAAACAUGAUUUGCAUAUAUUGCACUUGGUAUUUAUGUGUCACUUAUUAAUUAGAUUUAAAUUUUAUAAAUUAAUUAAGCUGAUUAAUACUUUAUGUUGAUGCAGAAAUCUAGUUGAGUUGGUUGUUGACUCAAAACCACAUCCCCGCAUCAGUAAUAAAUUUGUUUGGUGAAGAAGCGGCUUAUUAAUCUUCAAGAAAAUCCUCUAACCAUGAGCAGAUAAUUCAUGAGCCGAUAAUCUAUGAGCUGUUGAUUAGUGAGCACCAUGAGCAGAUAAUCCACGAGCUGCUGAUCAGUGAGCACCGUGAGCAGAUGUUCUAUGAGCAGAUGAUCCAUGAGCAGAUAACCCGCGAGCAUGCAAGCACAAAGAACAGUCAGGGGGCGCUAGAAGUUUUUCUGGUGAAAACCCUCCGACGCUCAAGUCACAAUAUUGUAUCCAACCAAUAAAAACUAAAAGAUCCAAAAGUUACAAGUUCUAACACCACCCAAAUAAAGGCAUGUUAGGAUUGUUUUUGGGAAGCUCAAAAGUGAUUUUAAAAACUAAAAGCUAAUUUUUAAUGUUUUAUAAAUUUAAAAACUAAAAGUUCUAACACCACCCAAAUAAAGGCAUGUUAGGAUUGUUUUUGGGAAUCUCAAAAGUGAUUUUAAAUAUUAAUGGUGCGUUUACUUCUUGGAAUAGGAAUGAGGUGGAAUGGGAAUGGACUGGAAAGGAAAUGAGGAAUGGGAAUGAGAUUUCAAUGUUUACUUGGCAAAAAUAAAUGGGAAUGGGAAUGUGCUGGAAUGCAAUUGAUGUGUUUACUUGGAAAAAUAAAUGAGAAUGAGAAUCAAUUUACCAUAAUACCCAUAGUAUUAAUAAUUAAUAAAAAUAAUUAAUUUAUCAUUAUUGUUGUUAUUAUUACUAUUAUUACUAUUAAAAAUAAUAUUAACAAUAAUUAAUAAUAACUAAAAUAAUAAAGUUAAUAAAAUAUUAUUAAAUUUUAUUAACUCUAUUAUUUUAGUUAUUAUUAAUUAUUGUUAAUAUUAUUUUUAUUAAUAUUAUCAUUAUUAACAUUUAUUAUUAUUAUUAAUAUUAUUAUUAUAUUUUAUUAACUUUAUUAUUUUAGUUAUUAUUAAUUACUGUUAAUAUUAUUUUCAUUAAUAUUAUCAUUAUUAACAUUUAUUAUUAUUAUUAUUAUUAUUAAAUUUUAUUAAAUUUAUUACUUUAGUUACUAUUAAUUAUUGCUAUUUUUAUUUUUAUUAAUAUUAUCAUUAUUAAAUUUUAUUAUUAUUAUUUUAAUUAAUAUCAUUUUAAUAAUAAUAUUUAUACAUGUAUCUAGAUAAUGAAAAUUACAUUAUUAUUAUUAUUAUUAUUAUUAUUAUUAAAUUUUAUUAACUUUAUUAUUUUAGUUAUUAUUACUUAUUGUUAUUAUUAUUAUUAAUAAUAAUAAUAAUAAUAACAAAAAUAAUGAUAAUAUUGUUAAUAAUGAUAAAUUAAUUAUUUUUUAUUAAUUAUUAUUUUUAUCAUUAUUUUUAUUGUUAAUAAUAAUAAUAUUAAUAAAAAUAAUUAAUAAUAACUAAAAUAAUAAAGUUAAUAAAAUUUAAUAAUAAUAAUAUUAUUAUUAUUAUUAAUGAAAUUUUAAAUAAUAAAAUUAAUUGUGAUUUGAAUGAGGGUAAUUUGGGAAAUAUGAAAAAAUUAGAGGGAUACAAAAGUAAAUAUAUAUUUCAUUCUCAUUCCCUCAUUUUUAUUCCCAACCCCUCAUGGGCUUGGGAUUCCCAUUCUUUAUUCCCAAAUUGUGUGAGACCCACACAUUUUAUUCUCAUUCCCAAAUUAUAUUUUGCCAAGUAAACAUGGGUUUCAUUCUCAUUCUUUCAUUCACAUUCCUCAUUCCAUGAAGUAAACAUACCAUAAAAGCUAAGUUUUAGUGUUUUAUAAAUUUUUUUAGUAAUUACUUUUGGUAAAAUCAUCUCAUCAUACAGUAGAUUUUGAAAAGUAGUGAAUGAAUAGUUUUUCAAAAUUUGAUUUUGAGAAUUACUUUUAUACUUAAUCCAAUUCUAUAUAUAUCCUCAUUAUAUAAUAAAAAUCCAAAAUUAUCUUUAUGAAUUAAGAAAUAAAAUCAUUAACUUAAAAUAGAUUAUUAUUAUUAUUACCAAUUAUAUUGAGAUAACAAAAUAGAGAAUACAAUUUAAUAAUAUAAAAUAUUUAUUUUAGUUAUCAAUAAUUAUAUGUACAUAAUAAAAAUAUUUUAUAUACAUGUUUGUAAAUGUGUAAAUAAAUUUUAUUUAGCAUUAUGUUCAAUUCAGUCAUUUAUAUUUUUUCACCAGUUUAAUAAUAAAAUUUACGAAACACAUACGUCUGCUUUUAAAACUAAAAGUACUUUUAAAAAUAAAUUUUACUAAAUGUUCAGCUGAUUCUCUUCACAAUUGAUCAAUUUCUACAGCAUAACUAACUGAAAUUAUUUUAAAAAUAAAAUUACCAAACUGACCCUAAAUCAAACCAAUAAAAAUGUUUAAAAGUAAUAAAAAUAAACCAAAGUAAAUGUACAAAAAUUCAUGCAUAAAUUGAUAAUCAACAAAAACAACCAAAAGUUUAACUCCAAGUUUUCUGUUCAAUUGACAUAACCCUUAAAUUUCAAAAGGCAUAAUCAAUUUUGUGUCUAAUCCUAUAAAAUUAGAAAAUUAAUGAAUUCAAGGGCAAAGCUACAUUGCAACAUGCCUUUGGUACCCCUCUCUUUUGUCUUUUUAAAGGUCAAUUAUAAUAGUGUCCUGGUAUUUGUUAUAAAAAUGAAAAUGUUGAAAAUUUUUAAAAUUUUACGCAUUAGUCCUACACCUACACAGUAUCAUUUUUCUCAUCCAUUUUGCACCAUCAAUGACAUCAUUUUUCUCACCCAUUUUAAUUAAAAGGUAAUUAAAAUUAUUUUCCAUAUAGAAACAGAAUAAUAAAAUAAAUUUUUUAUUCUUAUUUUUUAAUUAAUUAUAAAAAGAUAUUUUGUAUUAAAACAAUCACUAGUGACUACUGUUUCUUCGCGUGCAAUGAUAUUUUUAAUCGAAAGGGGACAUGAAGGGUUCCAUUAUAUUUGAAAUUGGAUGAUUUACAUAAAGAUAGUCUCAAUGCUAGCAAAUGGUGAUAUGUAAAGUUGCAUGCUCCUUCUAAAAUAACUGCAACAAUAACUAUACCACAAAAACACAAGGAGUUACAUUACACUACCACCUUUUCUUUUCUUUUCUUUUCUUUUUUUUUUUAAAUUUAGAGACCCUCAAUUUGGUUGUUAAAGGCAAUGAACCUUAAAACGUGAUGUAGGAAGCAUAUUAGAUAAAAUGAAUUAGAAUUUACUAGAAAUUAUAAUAUUUGGGUCAAUUUAAAAUUUAAUAUUUUAUUAAAAUUUAUCUUAUUUAUUAAGCUUACUUGAGUCAUAUUUGUAAUUCUAACCUAAUUAGGAUUUCAGAUUAUUUCUCUUAUUUGAGAAAGAUUAGCUACUAUUAUAUAUAUAAACUUGUUAUUCUUAAUUUAUGAUAACAGACACAAACUUCUUAUUAAUAAUUUUUAAUUUUUUCAUAAUUGAGAUAUCUUCUCCUUGGUGAGAGCAUCUUUUUAAAGUUUUCAAGACAUAAAUCAUAUUAGAGUUUUUUUCUGUACCAGGCAGAGCAUUCUCGACCACCAACUCCAUACAUUAGUUCCAUCAAGUUAAAAAAAAAAAACCCAACAAAACCCGAAGCCACCAUCACAUCCGUGCCACACGGCUGCCGCCGCCACUGGUUUCUCUUCUUUUUGGUCGAUCCUCUCUCCCAUCCAAAAGCCCUCACGUCGCCAAUCAUAACCCAACCCAUAACACCACCAUCCCGUCACCGUAGCCACGGGAAACUAGCCAAAACAGCCGCUGAACCACCACGAAAAUCCACCUCUCUAUUCGCUGCAAUCCGUUGCGAUUCACAUCCUCCACCACCACCCAUUCGUCCACGAUCAUCAGCUCUUUCUUUUCAACCCACUCACGCUGCCAACCCUCGGCCGGAUCGCCAGAAACUGAAACCAACCUCCACCCACUACUUUAACUCAACUUUUCAAUCAAAUCACAACUAUUUGAGACAAAUCACCACCAGCAUCACACUCAACACCAUCAAAUCUUCUAGAUCCACCUAUCCUAGGCCAAAUUUUCGACCAUCGUCGCUGGCAACACCAACUUUUGCCUAUUUAUAAUUUUGCCCCUUUACUUUUCUAUACUUAUACUAUUACCUAUAAUUUUAUGUUCUUUAAAAAACACCCAAAAACCAAACAAACUUAUAAAAAAAUAAAUAAAUUAGAAUUUACUAGGAAUUAUAAUAUUUGGGUCAAUUUAAAAUUUUGUAUUUUAUUAGGAUUUAUCUUAUUUUAUUAAGCUUACUUGAGUCAUAUUUGUAAUUCUAAUCUAAUUAGGAUUUUAGAUUAUUUCUCUUAUUUGAGAAAGAUAAGGAUUAAUUUAGCUACUAUUAUAUAUAUAGGCUUUUUAUUCUUAAUUUAUGAUAACAGACACAAGCUUCUCAUUAAUAAUAUUCAGUUUUUUCUCAAUUAAAAUAUCUCCUCUUUGAUGAGAGUCUCUUUCUUGAGUUUUCAAGACGUAUAAUAGAACGAAAUCUAGUAUCGCUUCCGCCCUGCGUUAAAAUGUCAUCUAAUCAUAGGGUCUUGUUAUAGUUGUUUGCAUUGGAAGGCUCAUCUAUCGCCGACAUAUCUAUUUAUCCGGCAACAUUGCCACCAUUACAUUGAUCAGAGAAUUUUGAAUACGUUGAUAGUUUUUUGUUUUUCUGUUCACUCACGUCUAUUUCUUAGUGAUGAUACCGUCAUUGUUGUCAUUGGUGGUGCAAUAAUUUUUAGCAAUAUUAUUUUGAUUUUUCAUUUGAUUUACAAAACUUAAAUAUUAAAUAUAAUACUUAAUUUUAGUCUCAUACACUUAAAUAUUACUAAUAUUCAAGUUCAUGGAUGGAUAUUGAAUAAAUCAAAUUCAGAGUAUUUUAUAUGGAUACUAUCCAAUCUAUUCAGAUCAGAUACUUAGACAUCCAACUUGAAUGGAUUUGUUUGCUCUUUCUAGCUGUUAACUUGAUUAAUAAUUCUAUUGGGUUUGGUUUUAAAACUCCUAAUAUGAUAAUUCAUUCAUGACACAAUUAAUUAUUCACUUAAUUAUAUUAAUUGACUUCUAUUUUAAUUGAUAGAUAUGUGUUGAAUUGUCAUCUCUAUUGUUAUCCAUGUGUGAUGUUAGCAAGAAAGAAGAAAGAAUAGAAAAUACUUAUUUUUAGUUUUUUUUAAAGAAAUAUUUAAAUUAUUUUCAAAUAGAGUAAUUGUUUAGAAUUUUUUUACCCUUCUCUCCGAUAAGUUAAUGACUAUUUAAAUAGUUGGGGUGGAGUAACAAAUACCAAUUUAUUUAAGCGUGCAAUUAAAUUAUUAUUAUUUAUUUAAGGACAAAAACUCAUUGUUAAAAAAAAGAUUUUACAAGUUAAUAAACUAACAUUUUAUUAUUAUUAGUAAAUUAACAUAUUUUUACUAUAUAAUUAAAUAGUUGAUAGUAUGUUUAAUAAAUAUUAUGUUACAAAAAAAAUUAACUACAUAGAAUAUGAAAUUAAGUUUAUUUUUGUAUUUUGUAUAUUUCAUCUACUUGAGAUAAUAAAAUCUCUUGUGUUGAAAAACAAAAUUAUGGGUUUUGAACCUUGUUCACAUAGGUGAGAGAUAAUUGGUUGCCAUUAUGUUAAAUUAAAAAAAAAAGAUCAUAUUUAUACUUAUCACUAAUUAUGGUUAGUAAAUAAUAUACAUGCAUUGUUUAACUAUAUAACAAAGUAGUUAAUUAAUUAAUUAAUUAAUUAAUUAAUUAAUUUAAAUAGAUAUUAAUAUAUGUAAGAAUAAGUCAUUUAAUUGGAAACCUAUUUCAAUGGAGUUAAAAAAAAAAGAGAGAAUAUUAUGGACUUAUAUGUCAAAUUUCAAAACUUUUGAUUUUGUUUAUUUUGCAUGAACAAUAAGGGUCUUUGAUGUUAAUAACCCAAUAAUCACAUCUCAGCCAUUACGCAAUUCUUACAUUAAAUCCAACGGUAGGUUUGAAAAAGACAAAAAAUAGGGUACCAAACCCCACGGGUAUUGUAGUUGGACCCUGAAAUUCAAACUCCUUUCACUUUUCUGUUGUUUGGUUUUCACUAAUAUAUGGGAAUUUAAUUUCUAUUUAAAUUUAAUUUUCAUCAAAUUGUGCAUUUUGGAUUCCCCACCGAAGGCUGUAAAAUUCAAAUUCUCCUCCUAUUAGAAAUCGAAUCUUCCAAAAUUGCUCCUCUCAAAUAUUUAUCAAUUAUUUUAAUUCUUAUCAAAUAAUUCUUAUUUAUGAUUUUAUUUUUUCAAUUUAAAUUGUCACUAAGGAGCCUGACUUACUACCACAGAAAAGCAAAAAUACAAUUUAUAGAUUAUGAUAAUUCCAUGUAUUGUAUGAGAAUUGCAAUCUAAAAAUUUUCCCUACAAAACUUUAAAGAAAUUAUUAUUAUUACCAAUUAUAUGGACAUAACAAAAUAGAGAAUAAAAUUUAAUAAUAUAAAAUAUUUAUUUUAGUUAUCAAUAAUUAUAUGUACGUAAUAAAAAUAUUUUAUAUACGUGUUUGUAAAUGUCUAAAUAAAUUUUAUUUAGCAUUAUGUCCGAUUCAGUCAUUUACAUUCUUGCACUGAUUUAACAAUAAGAUUUAUGAAACACAUACGACUGCUUUUAAAACUAAAUGUACUUUUUAAAAUAAAAUUUACUAAAUGUUCGGUUGAUUCUUUUCACAAUUUAUCAAUUUCUACAGCAUAGCUAACUGUAAUUAAUUUUAAAGAUAUAGGAUUACCAAACUAACCCUAAAUCAAACCAAUAAAAAUGUUUAAAAGUAAUAAUAAGAAACCAAAAUAAACGUACAAAAAUUCAUGCAUAAAUUGAUAAUCAACAAAAGCAUCCAAAAGUUUUACUCCAAGUUUUCUAUUCAAUUGACAUAACACUUAAAUUUCAAAAGGCAUAAUCAAUUUUGUGUCUAAUCCUAUAAAAUUAGAAAAUUAAAUAAUAUUAUAUACUAAUAAUUAAAUAAUAUGCAAUUAAUAAUGUUUAAAAAAUAAUGUUAAACAUAUUGUCAACUAAAAUAAUUGGGAGAAUUGGAGUUCCAAGAUAAAUUCUUAUCGAGUCCCAAAUCAACAAUUGGGAUUAAUUUCAAUCUUAAACUCCGAAACUCCGACUGCUUUUAAAAUUGGUCCUAAUAAUAUGAACAAAUCCCAUUCUGAUCAGUAUGGGAUCCCAAUCCCAUACCUUUGGAUUUCGAUGGUAUUUAGUUGGAGGGAGAAGAGAGGAAGGAAAUGAAUUCAAAUUCCUUUCACUUUUCUGUUGUUUGGUUUUCACUAAUAAAUGGGAAUUCAAUUUCUAUUGAAAUUUAAUUUUCAUCAAAUUGUGCAUUUUGGAUUCGUCACCGAAGGCUGUAAAAUUCAAAUUCCCCUCCGAUUAGAAAUCGAAUCUUCCAAAAUUGCUCCUCUCAAAUAUUUAUCAAUUAUUUUAAUUCUUGUCAAAUAAUUCUUAUUUAUGAUUUUAUUUUUUCAAUUUAAAUCGUCACUAAGGAGUCUAACUUACUACCACAGAAAAUCAAAAAUACAAUUUAUAGAUUAUGAUAAUUUUACGUAUUGUAUGAGAAUUGCAAUCCAAAAAUUUUCCCUACAAAACGCUUUUUAAUCGACAGCAAAUACAUGCUUUCAAAUUUAGUCAGCUGAACUAAUUUUUGUUUUUUUGGAUUAAUUUUGAAAUGUUGCAUCCAUAACGAGCUGGUAUUGAAAUUAAUGUUAACAACAAAAAUAGAUGCAAAAGGAGAAAUAAGCAUCAUGGCCAUUAAUAUUUUGACAUUCAAUGUUGAUUUUGAUCCCACUAAAUUAAGCCAUCAAAAAUUGCUGGGAAGGGAGUAAUAUCUAUUUAUAACUGGAAAUUACUCACCGUACAAUGAUGAUUGGAGCUGCAUGUAUCAUUUAUUAUUAACAAUUAACUUAUGAAAUGCUUUGAAUGUACCUCCUAGGUCGUAUUUACUACACUAGUUAGGAGAAAUUACGAUGUUAAAUUAUUUGAUAAAUACUUAUUAUAAUUUGAAAAAUAUGUCACAUUUGUCCUCCACUUUAUGAUAAAAAAUUUAAAAUAUAUAUAAAUCAUUCAUUUUAUAAUCUUGAACUUUAUUAAAGUUCGAAAAACUAGUAUUACUCUAUAUGAUAUAAUAGUGUGAUGUUGUUACACUAUUUUACCAUAUAAAAUAUAUUUGCUUUCUUAUAUAUAAUGGUUCUGACAUCCUUAUUUUAACAAAGUGAUGAUAUCACUAACAAACUAAAUAACACAUAUUUCAAUACACCAAUAGAUUAAAAAGAUACAGUUCUUAAUGUGUUAAAAUAUAUGUUUCUUGUAUAUUAUUGAUAUUUUCACUUUAACAAAGCGAGGGUCUCCUCACUAUAGAAGUACUUUAUAAAUAUUCUUUGUAUUUUUGUGAAAAUUAUUAUUUAAAAGUCAUAUCUUACCAAAGACUAAUAGUUUUUAUUUUAUCACUAUACCGUACUUUUGAAGAUAGAACACCUCAAUACCAUGACCUUAAUUUUUGAACUCUGCUGUACAAAGUUGUUGGCUGGUCUAUUUAGUUUAGUCUUUCAAUUAUUUGUCGUUUGAACUGAGAUGAUCCGAAUAAAGCUAUAUAUCAAUAAUUUCCUAGUGAAACUUCGGGAAAAAAAAUAAAAAUCCUCUCAUAUAGUGGCAUUAUUUUAAUUCUCAGCUUGAUUAUGUUUUGAGUUAACUUAUAGAUUAUUUGAAAUAAAAAGAAUAUAAUUUAUUUUUCUAACUAAAUAUUUUUAAAUAAUUUUGUUAAUUUAAUGAGUAAUUAUACACUUACAAAGUUAUGAUAUAAAAUUUAAUCUAAUUUAGCUAAGAUGUCCAAUUUAAUACUAAGAGCAAUGUUAAGGAUCCCAAUAAUUGAGUCUCAGCUGAUAUGAUAGUCAUUUAUUAGAUAAUCGAAAUAUUAAUUUUAUUAGUUAUGAAAUUUAUUAUCUAAUAAAAAAAUAACACAUAACAAUUGGGUCUCAAGUUAGAAUUCUACUAUCGAAAUUCCUAACAUUAUUCUCAAAUUAAAAAUUCAUCAAAAUAAUAUCUAUUAUCUAAAAAUAUAAAUAUAAAUAUAAAACCAUAGAUUUACUCUUCAAUCUUCGUGAUUUGGCCGAUUUCUCUUAAAGCUUUGGUUUCUUUAUAAGUGCAACGAGAAAUAGUAAGAAGAUUAAAAAAGCAAUAAAGUAAAACUUUAAAAUUUUUAUUUCUUUAUAUUUUUAUCGGUCAUUUGACCGGUACUGGCGUUUGAUUUUCUGACCGAGCUACUGUUUAGUUCUAAGUUUUGGCAAUUAGAACUGGUGGAUGUCGACUGUUCAAUAAUGAUGGCAGCAUUGACGCAGUGGAAUAAGGAUCACAUAUCUCAAACUUUAGGUGAUGAUAUUGUUAGAUAUUUCAUUGAUUGAGGAUCACAUGUUUUAUGACCACUAUUGUUAGAUAUUUUAUUGACUUACUAUGUAAGUCAAGCAAUUAUUUUUAAAUAAUGAUAUUAUAAUUAAAAAUCAAGAAAUAUUUAUAAUACUUAAAGACUAAUUCAGAUUAUUAUUAUUUUAUAUGACUUAAUUAUUAGCUGACAAAUAAUUAAAAGGUCAUAGAACAAUAUUUUUAGGUCAAAUUUGUAUUCUAAUAUGACACAACUUGUACUUUCAUUCCUAUGCUAAAAUAUAUCUAACCUACUAAUAGUCAAGAAAUAUAUCUAUUCAUCACAUACUUGUUAGAAAGAUUAUCUACUAAUUAAUCAUUGAGACGAGAUUACGAGUCUCAACAUAAAUUAGGAUAAAAAUUAAUACAUUGAAAUUCAGAACAUUUCUUUUUCCUCCUUCUGCAGUUUAAAAAGGAGUCGCCCACGAGUACUGAAAUAAUUUUAUCAGAUUCGCUUGAAAGUAGUUUUACGAGCAAGCAGUUUUUCCCUCUUGAUCCCCGUAUUCGUCAGCUCCUACUCUUUGCCUUCAAUUCUCAGUCAAGUAGUAUCAGUUUUUGUUGUCAGCUCUCUUGAAUUUCACUGGAUCAAGUUUUCUCUUGGCAUCUGUUUUGUUGUAAUCUCCAGUCUUUGUUAAUUAGUUUCUCUCCAUUCCCAAUCUUGUUGUGGCCUGCUGUUGUCUCUGUUUGGUUCCAUAUCUACCCUUUGUACUUCUACCGUGUCAAGAUACCUUCAUUUUUUCCAUCUCUAUUACCAGUCAAUAUUUUUUCCGUCUUUCUUCUGGUCAAUUCUUCAGUUAUUCUGAUUGGUUCCCUUCGCCUCUAUUAUCUAAAUCAUUCCUUAUAUUAAUUCAAUCAGUUCUCGAACUAGAAAUUUUUUCCUUGUUUCCAUCUUCUCACCAGAUCCAUAACAGCUUUUACUCUUUCUUUCAUUUCUCCGCUUCCAAAACCGGAUAAACUGUCCAUCUUCGUUGUUUCGUUUUUUUUUUUUUUCACUCCCUCUUUGUUUCGC
rnacentral:lncRNA from 1 species